CUCUCUGACCUGUUCGUGCACUCCUCAUCGACCAUCAUUCACGAAUCAUCACCGAUCGGCGGCCCGGCGAUCCUCACCUCGCACGUUUUCAGCCUCAGCUAACACCAGCCAGCCUCCACCGGCACACGUCGAUCGAGUCACACGGCCACACCGUGCCUCCACUUGAAGAGCUCAGUCUCCAGGUCCGAUCCCAGUCGGAACGCGGCCUAUCCUAUCAUCCCUUGCCGGGUCGAUGGAUGGAGGCGGUUGGUUGCGAGCUCCCAACCAACCAGGAGGGUCGGCCGCCGCGCUGUUUCUCGGCGUUCCAACGGGGUUGCCCGCACGCCACAGCGGGAAGAAGAGGAGAAGGGGCGGGCGCCUCAAGGUUCCUGGCAGCGGGGGCGCGCGUUGGCUGGAGAAUUCAUUGCGGCGGUUGGGGAGGACGGAUGGAUGGGUGGCCAGCAAACACCAACGAGCUCCAACGAACGGGUCAACUCGGAGGUUUCAACUUUCAAGUGGCCCAGGGCGAGCAAAAACCACCAAACUGUACGUGCAAGGCCACCGUGAUGGAUUUGCAAGCAUUUCUUUUUCUUUUUUGACUGCUGGGACAUGGAACUAUUUGUUUGAAAGUAAAAGGUUACUAAGAUUGGCAAAGAUGCAUGCGAUUAGCUGGACAACGCAGCAAAAUUCUUCAGCUCUCUGAAUUUGGGUUUGGGUGCAAGGAUCUGUGCAUUCACAAACACAAAAGUACGCGCAUCUUGUGAUGAGUCUACAUUAGAAACAGUGAAAUUUGGGGGAAAUGUAGCAAGAGAGAUGCAGUUUCUUGCUACCAUAUUGAUGCUGCUCUGAGAUUACAAAUGGUCCGCCCUUCGGAAUUGAAUCGGUCGGGGGCCACAUGCCAGUGAAAACUGUUCUGCUGGUACUGUUUGAUUAUUACCGUUCCCCUGCCUUUUUGUCCUUUUAAUAAAAUGAAAAAAGAUGACUAAUGUGGGGGCUCUUGCCAUUCACCUUCCCAACAGUGUUGAUGUGGUUGUCCUCCUGCCCUACCUGUACUACCUGUAUCUGUAUUGUCCAUGUCGCCUUCAAAGCAAUCAAGCCCCUCCCCCCUCGUGUGUACGCACGUUACCACAGCCAAAAAAAAAACAAGGCAUUGUCAUCUACAAUAACUUCAGUUUGUGCGUGGCCGGCGACAUGUGAGGUGAGCCCUGGAGCAACACAGCGCUGGACGCUUCCGCUUCAGCUGCGGACCAUGGGAGAGGAAACGAGAGCGGCUUAAAUAGCACUUCACCCCCUGAACCCCUUGCGUGUGCCUUGUUUGCAACAGCUUCUUGCAGGCUUUGGCUUGGCUUGCAGCUUCCUUUUCAAUCCGUGUGUAAGCUCACAGCCUCACACCAUAUCACUGUGCUGUUGUCUGUGCUGCAGCGCAGUGUGCGCCCAUCUCCAGCUCCAGGCCUUUAUAGCCUAGCCUUUUCUGGCCCCGUGAUAAUUCCAGAGAGAGAAAGGAGGACAGAGGGGUGAGAGAGGGAGAGAGAGCUGAGAAGGCAUGGCCAUGGAGAGUAGUGAGGAGGGAGCCACACUUUGUGGCCACCAAGAAGCGGCGGCGGCGGCGGCGGCCGUGAAGGGAGGAGGAGGGGGCAAGAGGAGGAAGAAGGGGCAGAGGAGAGGGGGAGAAGCAGGCGGGGAGAGGAAGAAGUACAAGCUCGUGAGCUACCACGAGCUGCCGGACUACAUGAAGGAGAACGAGUUCAUCCUCAACUACUACCGCUCCGAGUGGCCCAUCCUCAAUGCCGUCCUCAGCCUCUUCUCCUGGCACAACGAGACCAUCAACAUCUGGACGUGAGUAUGCGGUGGAUUGGAUUCAGUCGCAUCGCCGUCUCUUCUCCUCUGAAUCUUGUUGCUGGUGUUUCUUGUGGGUUCAAUUCAGGCAUCUCCUUGGCUUCAUGCUGUUCUUCGGCCUCACCCUGGUGCAUCUUGGCCAGUACUUCCCCCAGGUUGCUGAUCUGAUUGGGCACCUUUCCUGGUGAGCUUCUCUUCAGAUUCUGCUACUUUGUUUCAGUGCAAAUUGGUUAAUCUUGUUGAAUGCAUGGUCGGAAUUAGAAGUGCAAUAUGAUGCUACAGUGACACUAAGGAAGCACCAUAAAUUAUCCAGUAGGAUUUUACAUCAUGCCUAGCUUCUGGUUCAAGGGCCAAUGAUUGUUGAGUUCGUACUGAAACUUUUGUGCAAGUAAAUCUAGCUGUAUUCGCAGGUCUCACCAACUGAAUUUAAUUCUGAUACUCAACCUCGACAGCGAUAGUACAUAUGUUUGCUUCAGCUAUGAUGAGGUCGUUGAUUAAAGAAAGUAGUUCUACAAUUGAGAAGUUACUUAUACAAAUUCUCUCUCUUUGUUUUUACUGCAGGCCAAUCUCAAAGGUUGCUGAAAAUGUCUCCAGCAAUAUCGGGGAUGUCUUAUCGGUGAGUAACUUCCAUUUCAUGAAACAUUUCAUCCAUAUGGUAAUUCUAGGAGAAUAUACUGGAUUGCAGUAAAAUUGCCAUGGUUAGAAUUCUUUUUGCUACUUUGAAUGCAUCAACCUUUCUGUACUGGUCUGUUGCCUUUUGUUUGUUCUGAUGUGCAUGAUAUGGAAGGCAAGGGUGGGUGAGCUUCUGAUUGCUUGGCUUGAUGGGUAGAUUUAACUUUUUUUAUGGCGCCUUUUUUCUGGUCCCCAUGAUAAAAAGGCACAAAUGUGUUGUUGCUUCACUUCAUCACAACAAGUUUCCGUGAUGUGUUCAGAGGAUUGCGAUCUAGUGAUGUGCUCAUGUUCAUCCAAGUAACAUGACCACCACGACACGGCUCUUGUGUUGCCGCGGCUUUCUUUCCGGGCCAAAUCCUCGUGCUUGUCUACCUAUAGAGUAGCAAGACACUGUUCGAAACAAUAUAUCAUCAUGAAUAUUGUUUGGAGGUUAGGUGCGAAAAGGUCACGUAUUGUAGCACUCUGGGCUCGAUUUGUGUGAUCUUGGAGGCUAUGCCAUAUGUGUACUGAUCUUUCUUAUGAACCCUUGUUUCCUAAAGGAUUUCAUAUCAACCUUCCAUUUUCACUUGAUUUUUUUUACUGUUGAUCCGGGAUUGCAACAUACUGAUGCUUAACUGACCAUGUAUAGCAAGUCUUCAUCUGAAUUAUCACUUGCUUGUCAUGGCUUCCCAAAUGUCCAAAUAGAAUAUGGUAUUAUGGUUGGAUGUAGUAUUCACACUGUACUGUCACUUCGCAGACAAUUACUACUAUUUGGAGCACAUCGUUUUCAGAUGUUUAAUGGCAGUAUGUUAGAAUUUACUUGUUAGUUUUCGGUAACUGUCAUGCCAAUGGUUAACUUGGUAUUGUAGCACUCGGUUCAAUUCGCAUGAUCUUGGAGGCUAUGCCAUAUUUCCAUGUGAAUAUUAAUUUUUUCUUAUCAAGCUAUGUGGAAUAAAAUAAUUCAUAUAGCCUUCCAUUUUCACAUUCCUAAAUUGCGACAUGUAUAGCAAACCUUUCAUGGCUUCCCAACUGUUCAAAGGGCAGUAACCUGAUUAGCCAGAAUAUGGUUGGGUACUUGGGUGCAGUAUGUACUGUUAAUUCCCUGUCAAUCAUUCGGAGAACAUUGCUUUCAGAUGUUUAAUUCGAUGCUAAUUUACUUGUUUGUUCCGGCAAUAAGUGACAUGGCACAGUGAUUAACUUGGUACAUACACAUAUAUAAGUAUAUUUGAUUGAUGCAUGUGUCAGGGUGCGGCGAUGUUCAUCCAGACGAACCCGACGCUGGCGUCGUACGGCACGGCGGUGGCGUCGCAGACGACGCGGUGGCCCUUCUUCGUGUUCCUUGCCGGCGCCAUGUUCUGCCUGCUGAGCAGCAGCGCGUGCCACCUGCUGUCGUGCCACUCCCACCGGCUGAACCUGUUCCUGAUCCGGCUCGACUACACGGGCAUCGCCGUCAUGAUCGUGGUCUCCUUCUUCCCGCCCAUCUACUACAUCUUCCAGUGCGAGCCGCGGUGGCAGGCGGUGUACCUGUCGGCGAUCACGGCGGCGGGCGUUGGCACGGUGUACGCGCUCAUGUCCCCGCGGCUGAGCGCCGCCCGGUACCGCGCCCACCGCGCGCUGCUGUUCGUCGGGAUGGGCCUGUCGGGCGUGGUGCCGGCGGCGCACGCGGCCGCCGUGAACUGGCACGAGCCUGCCCGGAACGUGACGCUGGCGUACGAGGGUGCCAUGGCGGCGUCGUACCUGGUCGGCACGGCGUUCUACCUGAGCCGGGUGCCCGAGCGGUGGAGGCCCGGGGCGUUCGACCUCGCCGGCCACAGCCACCAGAUCUUCCACGCGCUCGUCAUCGCCGGCGCCCUCGCACACUACGGCGCCGCCAUCGUGUUCCUCAAGGCCCGCGACGAGAUGGGAUGCCCGGCAAAGUGACCGGGAGCUAGCGCAUGGAGUGGAAAAGGAUUCGUUUUGUUUACAGCGGCUUUACUUACAGUUACAGCAGCAAGUGUGCAAUAUUAGUCUUGUUACCGUCCGAUGAAUGACAGUUGAUUGGAAUUUUUACAGAUUCGUUCUCAAUUUGUACAUAGAAGAAGCUUAUGAUUGAGCUAAUAGAUUCUUUGUCGGCUUGAAGAUCCUGCAAAAUUGCAAAUCCAAAUGUUUUUCAUCAAGAGGUGAUGCAGGUAGAGAUACUACUGUUGCUUGCCAUUUGCCAAUGCCAAGCUUCUCGAUCGUUGCGUCACACGUCUCGCGUACUCUGUAGUGACGACGCGAGCAAGCUACUCUUCUCUUCGAGUACACAGUUGCUUUCAGGGCAGGCGGAGUGGCCUAGACGACGAGGCCCUGUACUGUACAGACGGAGAAGUCAGCCGUAGUCUAGAGAUGGCGCUCAGCCGCUCACCGGCCGGCUGGCUGGCCGGACUCAUAAAUGGCGCGGCGGACGACCCGCCCAACAACCGAAUGGACCUCCCGUUGCGUGCAGGCCGCGGCUGUCGUGCCUGGCUGGCUGUCGGUCCAGUAGACCGGCCGGCCGUCCAUUCGUGCCAUUUAUUCGCCUCGUUCGGCCACCGGCGGGGGAGCUUUUCGCCGUCGGCAUCAUUUCGAUCGUCAGCCGGGCCGGCGCGCCCAAGUGCCCGCCGCGCCAACCCAAUCAUGGCGCGACCGCGAGGCAUUCCUGCCACGGCCGCCGAGCUGGCCGCGGUGGAGUUGACUGCGCGCGAGACGGCCCACGGCGCAGGGCCCCGCCGGUCGUCGGCCUGGCCCCACGUGCCCACAUGCCGCCGGCCGGAGAGGACAGCGGCUUCACGGCGUUGAGCCGGAGACGGUUGCGAUGGCACGGUUAAGGGGUGGAACACCCUACUAAAGUUUAAAAGUUCAUAGCACCUGUCACAUCAGAUGUUUGAUGCUAAUUAGAAGUAUUAAAUAUAGACUAAUCACAAAACUAAUUGUACAAAUUGAGUUUAAUUCACAAGACGAAUCUAUUAAGCCUAAUUAGUCCAUGAUUUGAUAAUGUGGUGCUACAGUAACUAUUUGCUAAUGAUGUAUUAAUUAGGCUUGAUAGAUUUGUCUCGCGAAUUAGCACAGGGUUCUGCAUUUAGUUUUAUAAUUAGCUCAUAUUUAAUUUUUCUAAUUAGCAUCCGAACCUCUGAUGUGAUACUACUAAAGUUUAGCCUAGCAUCCAACUUCGGUACAUCCGUAGGCCGUAGCAGAGCCGUACGAUCUCAGGUUUUAUAGGAUACGGAUUUCUGUUCUAUUAUUUCUUCACAAACAUUCAAACAAGAUCAGUUGUGUCCUCGAAAAAAAAAAGGGUUCGGUUGUUCGACUUGGAUAACGUGGGCCGCUCUAAUCAAAUGAAUGGGCUCACUGUCACUGGCCCGUGUGGAGACGGAAGAAGCCUCUCACACGAGCACACGCACGACUCACGAGAGGGGAAGAGAGAGAGAGAGAGAGAGCGGCGAUGCCGGAGCUGCCGGAGGUGGAGGCGGCGCGGCGGGCGCUGCAGGCGCACUGCGUGGGGAGGCGUAUCGCGCGCUGCGUCGUGGCGGAUGACUCCAAGGUGGUCGUCGCGGCUGCCGGCCGCGCGGUCUUCGAGCGCGCCAUGGUCGGCAAGACCAUCGUCGCCGCGCGCCGGAAGGGCAAGAACCUCUGGCUCCAGCUGGAUGCGCCGCCCUUCCCGUCCUUCCAGUUCGGUCAGUGUCUCCGCGUACUAUAUACCCUAUGGGUCGGGUGGUCUUUGGCUCUUCGCUACUACUAGCUUCGGUACCCGAUGUCUUGUUGGUUUUUUGUUUUUUUUGAAAGCGCAGGAGGGGCAAGCCCCUACUGGAUAUAUAUUAAAAAAGGUAAAGAACAGAAUUACAGGCUAGGAGUUCAAAACGAAACUACACUAACAAAGAAAGAAAGGAAGAAAAAACUGAAAAUUACAGGGAUUGAACCCAGGCCGUCAUGCUGGAUGCCAAAGAUGGUUUUGCUCUCAAAAUAACUAAGGAAAACUCAGAGAUGAACUUCCUUCGACAAGAAUCAACUGAGGGGUCAAUGUUAUUGAACAACCAAUCAUUCCUCGCUGUCCAGAUGCACCAUGACAUUAAGAUGAUAAUUUCCAUGAAGAAUGGCACUGCCAGCUUUUGUCUUGCUGUUGUUUCGAACCUGUUUUAUUGUCUUGCUAUUCAGAAAUUGUUAGGUGAAAUGCCCCCAUUUAGUUCGUGCUCCUAUGCAAUUGUACAAAAGUUGCUAUGGUUAGUUGUGAUUUAUGUUGAAUUAUAAUUCUCCUUAGCAAUCACACUAGUUCUGCUGCUUUGCAUCUGUCUAAUACUGAGGAAGUGAGAGUUUGUAAGAGUUUUGUGUGGAUUGCAGGGAUGGCAGGUGCGAUAUACAUAAAGGGCGUUCCUGUUACGAAUUAUAAGAGGCAAGUGGUCUUCUCUGGUUCAUACUUCGCGGUUAUGCGAGUUCAGUAAUAUGUUGUUAGUAAUAAUUCUUCGCAUAUGGCUACAGAUCAGUUGUCAAUUCUGAAGAGGAGUGGCCCUCCAAGUACUCUAAAUUCUUUGCUGAGGUAACAAGCCCAGACACAGUAUAUCAUCAGUCCCUUUUAGCAUGGUGCCCAUGCUCUUAUUGGUAAUAUGCUGCUUUUGCAAUUGUGCUUGUAUAGACUAGGAAAUGUGAUGUGAAUGUAGCAAUCCGUGAGUUAAUCAACAAAGAAUUCCUUUUCUUGCACACUAUUGUUCGUUUGUAGCAUGACAUUCAAUAGAAAUGCCUUCCAGCAAAAUACAUCUUCAGAUGAGCCAAUGACUAAUCGUUUACGAGACCAAUGGACAGUGAUUGUUAAUGCCCCCAUCUUGCUAAGCAGGACUUGGGGAUCAACUUAGGGCUUGGGUUGUAGGUGAUGAAUUAGUUUGAUAAAAAUGAAUAGGCUCAUGGAUAAGUAACAAAGUCCGGGAUUUCCCAGUGGCUGAUCGGAUGUAUAGUUUGGAGACAUGGCAGGCAAGCUAAAAAACAUAUUCUAUUGUUGUUUAAUCUCAACUUCACCUAUGGUGACUAUUUUUUUGGUUGUUUAGUUGAAAGACUGAAAGAAAAAUUAUAAUUAAUGAAAUCUCAAUUCAAUGUCAUCCUGUCAAAACUCAAAAGUUGACUUGGGUAGUGUCCAUUUUGAACUCUGUAACCCUUUUUGCUUGAUUUACAGCUUGAUGAUGGCUUGGAGUUUUCCUUCACUGAUAAAAGGCGCUUUGCAAGAGUUCGUUUGUUUGAAGAUGUAAGUACUGUCACAGGUUCGUUCUAUUACUUUCUAUCUUACCAUCCAAAUUUACUCACCUUGGUAAUGCUUGCAGCCAGAAACUGUACCCCCAAUUUCUGAGCUAGGUCCAGAUGCUCUCUUUGAGCCAAUGUCUGUUGACAAUUUUUUGGACUCCUUGGGUAGAAAGAAGAUUGGAAUAAAAGCUCUUUUACUUGAUCAGGUGAUCAGCAUCUACCAAUAUAAGCCUUGUCUCAGCAAAAAAGUUUACCCUGCAAUAUACACACUUUGACUUGUUGCACUUAUUGUAAAAUGAGCAGAGCUUUAUAUCAGGCAUUGGUAAUUGGAUUGCAGAUGAGGUGCUUUAUCAGGUAUUUGUACAUUCUACAACAAUUGGUAUAGCUUGCAUAAAAGGUAGCAAUUAAAUUUGAUCUGUUUCCUUUUUUCAGUCAAGGAUCCAUCCAUUGCAGAUUGCUUCAAAUCUAUCUAGAGAUGGUUGUGAAGCAUUGCACCGAAGUAUCCAAGAGGUGCGUUAAACUCAGAUUGCUUUGAGGAACUGCAUUACAUUCUGCUGAAGUAGCCUUGCCGAAUGCAUAAGUCCUGACCAAGAAUUUACUAGGUUGUGAAAUAUGCUGUUGAAGUUGAUGCUGACCUUGAGCGCUUUCCAAAGGAAUGGUUAUUUCAUCAUCGUUGGGGCAAGAAGCCUGGUACAGUCAAUGGUGAGAUUCUUUUCGUGAAGUUUCAUUCAUCAUGAUUUUCCUGAAUGAGCAAAGAUUGCUGAUUCUGUUUUUGGUGUGAUGCUAUAUAACAAAUCAAACAUGUUAAUUCCAAUUCUUCAUAUGCAUUAUCGGAUUUUGAUUCCUUCUGAGGAUUUAUCAAGUUCCUGGCCCUUGCAGGAAAGAAGAUUGAAUUCAUAACAGCUGGUGGCAGGGUAAGCGCUUGUCCUCUCUUCAGUAUUAGACCUUUUCAUCUAGCUUCUGAUCUUAUAUCUACUCUCUUUACACAGACAACAGCCUAUGUGCCACAAUUGCAAAAACUGACUGGAACCCAAUCUAGCAAAAUGAUAGCAGCUAACCUGGAGCAACUGGCUGAGAACGGUGAUGCCAAGGAUUUAGAUACUGAUGGAGAAGAUGCUGAUAAUUUGAAGCCAAAAAAGCGAGCCGCCACCUCCAGAGCUGCCAGGGGACAGCAAAACAAAGAUACCAUAGGUGCCAGUUCCAGAAAAGCAAGGGGAAGCGGUGGUGGCAGUAAGAAACCAGGUACCCAUGUUGAGGCCGGGGAACUGAAAACGGCUGUCACUGAUAGCAAUGGCGAGCAAGGUUUGGACCAAGCCAACAGUAAUGCAGUCAAUAAAUCAGAUCAGGUUACAAGAAGAUCAUCAAGGAAAGUGAAACCCCGUAAGUAAAUCAGAACAAGAGCUAGGAAUCAAUCCAUUAGUCUUCAAUGGAAAUUUGGAAACAGCAUAUUGAUGUAUAUAUGUUGCCAGCAUAUUCUACUCAUUUGAGAGAAAUCCCUUGAAACCUGUAGGAACCAUUCGCGCUUUGUCUUCUGGUUCAUUGUAUGUAUCACUGAUUCACUGUAUAUGCCUGUUGGGUAUUCUUGGGGAAUUUGCUGUAGGGCCACAUUUGCCCUGUCCUCCUGUGAGUGCCGCAGCUCUCCAGUGCUUUUUUUUUUUUGGAACUAAAGCUCUCCAGUGCUAUGAACAGAAACAUAUAUGUCUAGGUACUAUAAUGCAUUGGUGUUUAUGUGCUCCAAGAUGCUAUGGAAGAGGUAAAGGCUUUUUACUUCCCUGUGUUUGGGCGCGUGCUGUUUCACAAUGGAUUUUCUACCUGCAGUAUACGCGAUUGUUUGAUUCUUCAAUCUUGUUUCAUUGCUGAAUAUCUGCCCAAUGAAAAUUUCUGAAGAUCGGUCAUUUUCUCAAAUUUGGAUCUACCUUAAGGAUGGUUCGGAAAGGCCGACCCGAGUGUCCUGGACCGUUGAAUUGAGAUGGAAAAGUAAGAUUCCACAAGCUUUUCUUGAUGAAAGCAGUAAGAUGGUGCAUGAACAGAGUUUAUAUCUUGUGGACUGAGAAUGAGAAGCCAGUCACUCACCCACCAUAUCGUAUAUGAUGAACUGAUGGCUGACAGACUGACAGAGGGGGCCAUGCUGAGAAUGCAUGCCGACUGGCGUUCAAGACUCGACUCCAAGUUUCUUUCUUCACAUGCAUGUGCAUGUCGUCCGGCUUUCGAAAGCUAUGUGCAUCAAGGACGCGGCGUAGUACAAAGCAGCAACUGUUGUAGGCCACAUGGAUCGAAACAAACAGCAAUCAGCUGAGGCCCUCUCCAACAGUAUAAGCCAGCAGCCAGCUUUAAGUCGGAAGAGAGAGAGGUGAAAAACAGGAGCAGCAGGUAGUAUUGGAAGACAUGCCGUAAGAGAGAAAUGUACUGGGAGUUGUGCGAGGCCAUCUCUGGUUCUAGCGCUAACCCUUCACUUUUGUCACUGUUCAUCGAAUAAAAAACUCUACGAGCUGCCUUAGAGCUGUCCGUUGGAGAGGGCCUGAUGGAUGGCAGGAUGGGUGCCCUCGCUCGCUCGCUCACGGCUCACGGGUGGCGUCGCGCCAAAUGACACAUGCCCUGCGCGUCACUUUUGCGCCUAUCAUGGCGUGCCGCCGGUCGGCCGCAUUAUGCAGAGCUUGCAGCUCCGGCCGGGCCGUCGUCGUCAAACUAUUCUCUAGGGUUUCGCGGAGACUGGUAGCUAGCUAGAUCCCCACGCACGUCGAUGCGUUGUCUGCUCUCAUGUGAGUGAGAGAUCGCUCGGACCGAGGGCCCCGGCAACAACUCGACCUGUGGCUGUGCAGUGCGGUGUCUCACACGCACUACUGGCAUCGAGAGGCCAAGCAUACAAAUCCAAAAUUCCAAUUAGAUAUUCAGAUCCGUGUACACGACAGCGCGUGCAGCAAAUCAGUCACCGACACCUCACGCUUUUAUUUAUCGUCUGCCGUACGAAAGAUGUCGUACUCGUGCAUGAUCUCAGUCUCACUCGAGAGUGCUAGAAUUAAGUUCCACAUCAAGCAAGCAUAAACCACAGGCAGAAACAAAGUGCACAAAUUAUUGGAGACAUUACGCAACAAUGUCUCCUAACUUUCUUCAUCUCAUGACCUCAUGGCAAUAGAGAUCAACCAUCAUCAACACCAUGCAUCUUGCAUGCAUCAAACUGAAAACCACACCACACAAAUAAUCAAGCUAGCUGCCGGUCAUUGACUGAGCAGCUUAAGAACGAAACCACGACAGAAAUUAAACAACCAAGCAUAGCUAGAGCGAUCCUCUUCCGGAGCCUAGCUAGGAAGCAGAUGGCAUCCUCUCAUGUCCAUCUCUCUUCAAACUAGCAAAGAAAUUAAACCCACAACAAAACCCCUGCAUAUUUGCACGUAGAAACACAGAGUCACUCUAGCAUGCGUAUGUCACUUGCAUGAACUUGUCGAUCAGACGGUGCAGGUGUAGCCUGGCGGCGGCGUCUUGCCGCAGGUGAGGAGGAGCUGGAGCGCCAGGGGUAGGUAGAUGUUGAUGUUGAGGAGCUUGAGCUUGAUGGUGGUGCAGAGGCACACCGCCGCCUCCAGCUCCACCAGCCCCUCCAGCACCGGGCAGCACUUGUUCACCACGGGGUCGCCGAGCCCGACGUGCACCAGACCGCCCAGCAGGUCCACGCACGCCCCCAGCUUCAGCGAGUCCGCCGGGCAAGUCGGCGACGACGGCGUCGUCGGGGUCGAGGGAGGCGGCGGCGGGCACGGCGUCGAUGGGCUGCCCCCGCCUCCGCCGCCGGGCGGGUAGGUGACGGGCGGGCCGGUCACCGGAGGCGUCGUCGACGGCGGGCCGGUGAUAGGAGGGACGGUGACUGGGGGGCCGGUGAUCGGAGGGACUGUGACCGGUGGGCCCGUGAUCGGCGGGUACGUCACCGGCGGGCCGACGACCGGCGGCGUCGUCGGAGGGCCGGUGAUCGGCGGGUAGGUCACCGGCGGACGCGUGACCGGUGGGCCGACGACGGGCGGGCGCGUGACCGGCGGGGCGACGACCGGCGGGCGCGUGACGGGGCCCUUGGGCGGGCCGACGACCGGCGGGCGCGAGACGGGGCCCUUGGGCGGGCCGACGACCGGCGGGCGAGUGACCGGCGGGUAGGAGGGGCCCUUCUUGGGCGGGCGCGUCACCGGCGACGGGUAGGAGGGGCCCUUGGGCGGCUUGGGGUUCUUGGGCUUGGUCUUGGGCGGGUGCGACGGCUUGGGCGCCUUGGGCUUGUCGCAGUCGCAGUCCACCUCGUGGUCUGCUGCGGCGGCUGGCAGCGAGAGGAUGGGCGUCACGGCGGUGGAGAGCAGCAGCAGCAGCGUGAAGAGGAACGGCGGGAGCUUCUUACCGCUCGCCGCCAUGGCUGCUGGUGGGUUGUGGUGGUACUAGAGGGCAGGAGUGUGCACUCUAGGGUUUCGAGGUGGUGUGGUUUUAUAGGAGAGAGUGAGCUUGUUAAGUGACGCCCGUGAGUGAACACUAGGGCGUCUGGCACUCUGGCUAGGAGUGUACUAGUGUAGCUAGGGUACUGGAUGUGUACAAGUGUGGGAGUCACUGCACUGACGUACUCAAGUUACUGUGGUGUGUGGACUGCAGUAAACUAACUUGAUUUACUGGCAGUUCAUCUCUUCGUGAUGAUCACGUGGAUGUGUAACAGUUGAGUUAGGGUGCAUGUGUUAUAUUCUUUCUCUCCGUCUUCUUUUGAUAAGUUUUUAGUAUCAAACUAACAAAAUCCAUUUGGGAGGGCUCUAACUCCGGCUCCUUGGAUGGCUUCUGCUGGAGCCCUAUCGGCUCCUUGGAUGGCUUCUGCUGGAGCCCUAUCAAAGGGCACGGUGGAAAACGGCUUCAGGAGGGAAGCCCCUGAAAUCCCGAUGACUGAAGCCGUUCGGUGGGGAGGGAUAAAAAAAUAGGCUCCCCGCGGCUCCUCGCGUUGGUGGACUUAGUUGCCCUUCGGUGGGCCCCACGAGGACGCCGAGGACUUGCCCCUAGGGCGCGGCAGGGCUGGUGGAUGUCGUCAGCGCGGGGGGGGGUCUGUGGAUGGCGGCGGUGGCACGGGCGCAGAGGAGCCAAAGAAGAGGGAGAGGCGGCGACGACGCUGGACAAUGGCGAGGCUGGAGGACGGUGGCAGGGAGCUGGAGGAUGGCGGUGGCGGCACGGGAAUAGGGGCUGGAGAAAAGUGAGAGGUGGCGGUGUUGUACGGUGGCGAGGCUGGAGGACGGUGACAGGGAGUUGGAGGUGGCGGCUUGGAACAAGACUGGAGAAAAGGGAGAGGUGGCGGCGUGGGCGCAGGAGAGUUGGAGGAUGGCGGCUCGGGCGUGGAGGAGCUGGAGGCCGGCAGCGGCGGCACAGGCUGGAGGACAGCGGGGGCUGGAGGGUGACGAAUGGAUAAAGAAGAUAGAGAAGGAGAGGGAAAGAGAGGGAAGAAAUAAUGGAAAGAAAAGAGAAAGAAAAAAAAGAGAAAAGGGUACUAUAGAUAUUUUACAUCUUUUACCAUCGAGAGAAGCUGUUUUACCAAACGUUUUUCUACAAACUGCUCCAUCGAAGAAGCCGCAGCCACAGCCGUUUUAACCGGAGCCCUGCCAAAUAAGCCUUAGUGUAGAAGUUAAUCUACUUGUAUAAAGCCUAAUAUGUCGUAUAACAAGAAGGGUUAUGGUAGUUAUAGGUUGACAAAUUUUUUAGGCCAAAAGAUUUUCGAAACUCGUUAUUCAUCAAUGAAACCAAUUCAUAAUGCACGGGGUCGAGAGAGGGACAAAUAAAGGAAAGGUGCCCCUGAGCCCCCUCAAAAAGAAAAGUAGUAGAAACUGGCCUGAGAAGAAAGUUGCACCAAUCUCAAAUCAAACCCAAUGGUAUGUUUCCUAGGAAUCAAUCUGUCCUCGCUAGCUCCAAAGUCUAGCGAAAUCCCGUACGCACACACAUUGCACAUGGUGAGCAAAUCAUGCACGGGGGACGCAGCUUGGGUGCCGGUGAAGCACUGCAGUACACACCGGUACAUCACGCGUCGUGGGAGGUAGUCCGGAGAUGGAGCGGGCCGGCCGGCCGGGCGACCGACCGACCAACGCUGCCCUUCGUCGUCGUGCGCGGCGAGGCGCGACGACGACGCGUGCGUACGUACUCGGUUCAUGCCCCCGAAUCCUUCGCCGUACUCAGCCGCUCCCACGAUUGGAUUGCUGCUAGCUAGCUGCCGAUUGGAUACGCCUGCAUGCACUCCCCCCACAGUUUGCGUGUCGGCGCCACGCGCCCCGUACGAACGACAAGCUCGUGGUUGGUGGGGGUACACGCCAUGGCCAUGCCAGCAUGCCGCCACCGUACCACCACCACUCCACUGACCGGUCGCCGCAGCUUCGUCGUCGGCGGGCGCGCGCGAUCACCCGCACGACGAGAUUCCGGCCGGCGCUCGUAUCCAGCCAGACACCCUCGUCGGCGGCGGCGACCGGCCCAGUACGCGUGUGAUACGCCUCAGCUGGUCCCUCCUCUGUGCGCGCGUGAGACGGUGGGAGGCGACGGACGACGCACACGCAGCAGCUUCCCGCUCGGCGGCCAUGUAUCAUGCACAUGCACUGCACUUGCGGCCUGCGCCACCGUACCCCAGCCGCAGACGACGGAUCGAUCCGGCGUCCGUGAGGCGGGUGUGGGCCGGGCGCGCGGACUGGACGUGGCCUUGUGCGACUCGUGAACCCGGCGGCCGGCCGGGGCCAGCGCGCCACACCCUAUCCGGUCAGCUAUCCUCUUCCGGUCAUGGCCAUCGCUAGCUGGCCGGCGCUAUCUUUUUCCCUCAUCGGCUCGUCCCCUUGCGUGGCCUGGCCAUGGCCGCCCUUGUCGCCUUGUCCAUUCCGGCUCUGGUCUCUCGCGCUAGUCUAUGGGCGGCGCGUCCGAUUGGACGAGUGGUUUUCCUUGGCUAGCUAGGAUCGACGCCGGGCGGCCCUACUGCAGUGCAGGGCUUUACGAUGAUGAUUGUGUUUGAGGUGGUAGAUUGCGCGUGAGGGAUCAAGAUGCAUCUAUUUACACGCAUGCUGAAUUGCUGAUGCUGAUGAGCAAUAAUAUCAUUUUUGUGAUUGUAUAAUGCAUAUUUGCAACAAUAUCAUUCUCAUUCGAACAUACUUUCAAACAUGUGUUGUGGUAUCUAAACAUCGACAGGCAAAUAGUUGGUCAGAUGUUCAGAUGUUAUAAAACUUGAAUAUUCGAACACGUACCUAUGUCUUUUAUAUAUAUAGAAUGAAAGAAAUAAAUGGACUUCCGAACCAAACAGCAGAUAUAACACAUUUAAUUUGUACAAUAAAUCUAACGAUAUUAUACACGAUCAAAUACAUUAGUACCGAUCGAAUUGUCUACGGUAGACAAUUCGAUCGGUACUAAUGUAUUGUAGAUUAGGGAUCCUUUAAAAUAAUCACUGUUCCUAUCCAUAUGUCUUAAUUUGUCCACGUGAGAGGAUGCAUGCACGGGGUACAUGUAUAUUUGGAUGUUUGCGUGGAAGUCCAAGGUUGGAUCAUAUCGAGAUGUGUCCUGCCUAAAAAUCCUCUUGUUCCCGUCCUGCUAAUUGCAACGGUGGCGCGGCCCAUGCAUGUGCAUUCGCCCCCGAUACGCACAUGUCUUUCUCGGAGAUGUGGGGGGCUGUGUUUUCAUGUCACGAGAUGGCCGUACUAAGAUAAACCGUGCGAUUCACAAGUGACGGGGACAAACUUUAUUCAUUGCCUGGAUAAACGUGUCAUGUCGCGUUGCGCAACUUGCUCGCCAAUUGGAUGCUCGCAACAGAAUUUAAACUAGUGUAUCAUUUUUUUUUAAAAAAAAGAUAAUACGAAUCUACUCGUCUAUUCGGUUUCAGAACGGCUGCAAUUGCAGUGCCCGGAUGCGUGGCCGCACGGAGCUGAACAAGUGAACAGAGCGACACGCGUGGUGGAGUUGUCAGCAGGGAUGGGUGGGCUGGGCUGGGCUGUACCCACUGCUGAAAUUCUAAUAUCACUCCGUGGGCUGCUCGUUUUAUUUCCUUGAUGAACCCCAAGCAACAACUGUUGGAGCCCAAAAGUGGCUGGGAAAAUCUGGUCACACCUGUUUAGACCAGUCGGACCGGUUUAGGAAAAGUUCUUAAAGUGCAAAUUGGACUUCAUCAUUGCGUAGAUCUCGUCGAGUAGAUCAAGAUUCAUAUAUAGAACGUCCGAGUUGGAGUUUGGAUGAGGGAGAUACGACCUUUGCAAGAUUUACACCCGGCCAGACCGGUCAGACCGAUUGCCCAGGCCGGUCUGACCAGUCUGGUUCUGUGUAAUCCGAGUAGGAGUUGUAAUUUAGCACGAUUUGUAUUAGGGUUUCGAUUCCUGCGUGGGGAAGACCUUCCCUCCCGAAGGGAUUCGGCCGAUUGAGAACAGAACCCAAUCGACAAAAAUCAAUCUACUAUUUUGUAUCUUUUCCUUUAUUCUUUUGCUCUAGCUUUUUCAAUCUACUACUUGCUGUUCUUCCUUUAUCUCGACGACGUUUGAAGGCGCUCUGGGUGGUCUGCCGAUCAUAGAGCAACCUUGCAUGCGCCUGCCCGACAGGAUCCUUCCCGCGCGAGCGUUCGAAGGUCUACCGUCGGCCUGUCCGACAACCGAUCAGACCGAUCCUUGUAACCGGUCAGACCGACCUAUGCCGAGGUGCUGCACCGAGCUCCAGCACGCGCCGCACGGUCGUAUGCGUUCGUGUGUGUUGGCCAAAAAAUACGUCAACAACAACACAGCAAGCAAGCAAGCAGCGAGCAGGAACUCCAUAACCCUCGCUAGCCCUAAGCAGCAGCAACGAGGUUGCUUGCGUGGACACGGCAGAUACGAUGGCGACGGAGGCGAACAAGGGGGCAACAAUCCUGCAGGAUUGGGAAUGCGACAUCGCCGACCGCAGCGAGACUCGGUUGGAGCCGAUGAUGUCCUCUGCAAGGUCACAAGAACGUAUGCUCUAUUUUCCACAAGACAUGCUCCAGUUCUGUCCACGGAGUCCCGUCGUCAGCAACGGCUCGGUACAGCUGUACGGGUACAUAGCGGCUCGUGAUGAGAAGGACGGCAUGCUCAACUACGUCGUGAAUUACAGCAGGGACGAUCCCAUCGUCGUGCAGGAGGGUUCCGCCAACGGGAUGAUCGGCCCCAAGAGAGGCAUCGAAUGGUGUUCCGUUGUUCUGGUAGAGUUUGACACGAGGAUCAAGAAUGGAACGCGAGAGGGUGAUGAUCAGCAGCUGAUCGCCAGUCGGCAGAUUAAGUUUGAAGCUAAGCUUUAUGGAUGUGCCAGUCGACGGAUAAAGCUUAAGCUGGCUUCUAUCUCAUGGUCCAAAGCAAUGUCCUCCCUGUCACCCGGGAUCAGGACUAUGAUAAUCAUGUUCGGUUGAGGCGCCAGGCAUCCAUCCAGAAUAUUGACAUAACUUGUGGUGUUUUGCUAGGUGCUCUUUCCUGAGCCAUUUUGCAUAGAAGCUUUUUCCAUAUUCCUCAAGUGAAAAGGUACCAAGAAAAUAUCCGAGCAAGAGAAAACCUCAGCUACCACAUAUCAUGGAUAACAGAUUUUCGUUCAACUGUGAUUUGAUUUGACAAACACGGUCGCAGAUUGGAUCAAAGGUUAAUUAUGAAAUUGGAGACAGUUAUCAUUAUCCUACAGAAAUUCAGGGAAAGGAGUAAUGAGGCACCACGUUUGCAAGACACGCAGAUAGGCUUGGUCGCAGGACUCGCAGCUGGGCUCGUUUCCGAUUUGGGCUGGGAGCUAAUGUGACUUGACAGCUCAGCCCGCACUCCCCCCCGUCCCCACCAGGACACCAGCAGCAGGACUACACAGUUCCCAUUCCGCCUCGUUUAGUCCCACCUCGGGAAACGAGAGGCGCGCAGCACAGCUUAAAAACUCGGCUCCCACCCUGCCCCUCGCCGAGCUCAGCAGCGCGAGCUUGUAACCCGAGCGGGGGCUUUGAGGUGGUGUGGACGUUGGCGUAUGGCUGCGGGCUCGGGCCGAUUGCGCUCUUGCUGGCCCGCCCGUUCCAAGUUGGUAGUGGGUCGGCGGGGUUUGUGCGAAAGCUUGACCUCACGAUCCAUAAUGCGGCAGGCACAGCGUGAGGCUGGCUUCACAGAGCAGCGAUAACUGCCCGCUUCCAACGGUGGAAGGAUAACGGGCCGCUGCGCUCUCGGCCCAACAGGGUCUCGCAGCCUACUCCGACGAACCACCAUCUUUUUUUUUUUGUCAACUUUUAAUCCUACGGGUGCACAAAAUUACUUUUACCCACACUCCCAUUGCUCGCCUAAUUGGUGAUGAGACACUGUUUUUCUUCAUUGAAUAGUGCCACUCUUCUUUUUUGUCCCUACUGCUUUCUUCAUUGGGCCUUGUUAAGAGAUUGCAUGAUGAAAAUUUUCGGAUGUCAUACGACAUUUGCAGAUUUACUUUAGCUGUGCUCAUAUGCUGAAACCUACUCGAAGAAAAAGAACUGGAGUUACCUUCUGAUUUAAUGAGGGGUAUAUGAUGAAAAUUUUCGGAUGUCAUAACGACAUUUGAGCUGUGCUCAUAUGCUGAAGCCUACUCGAAAGAAAAGAACUGGAGUUAUCUUCUGAUUUAAUGAGGGGCAUUUUGAUAUUAAAUAUUGUAAUUCCAAUCUUAAACCCAGCGUUACAAACAUUAGCAAAAGACUGGAUACACAUAUCCUUCUCCCAAACCUAUCGCUUCGUAUCACUACCCCAAACCCAUGGUGCAUCCAAAUGCCACUAAAAGGAUAAUCAACAUUGUGACUGUGAUCAAUUCACAAUCGAAACAAUUUAGAAACAUUCUGGAUCACAUUUUAAUUGGAGUAACCGUACCAUAUCACGAGUAAUCUGCCAAUGUUCUGAUACACACCACACUGAACUUGUUGACAAUGUUUGAUCUCAGGGCAAGGGCCAAGGAAAUAAAAGAAUAAACUGUAGGGCAAACUGAUGACAAGCAUCGACAACUUAACUUUUUCGGACAGAUGUGGAGUGUCCAGAUAGCAACAGAAUCACAGAUGUUUGCAAGCCCGCAAUUUAUAGAUUUUAUAGUACAAUAUGACACAGCAAAGUUUUCAUUAAGUCCACAGACCCCACAUGGUGAUGCCAACUCACGCUUAAGCAUAACAGUAUUUACGAAUCUACCAAAUAAGAGUAGCAGUCCGCGUGACAUUGCGGCUCAACAGCAUAUAGCAUGAAUCGCAUCUGCAAAAGAGGUACACCAACAUUAGUAUACAGAAGGUAAGUUCAAUAAAUCAAAAGUAUGAACCAGAAGCAUUCGCAUUAUGGAAAUGUGCAAUCAGAGAAGAAUAAUGAGGAAUACUCAGAUUUGCACACAGAUAACCUCACAUUUGCAGAGCAUUUAUGGCUUAUCGUAAACAAACCAGAGUUAACAAAUAUUAGCUGAGAAAAUUGAAAGUCUUGAUCACAAGUAAAUGAGUAACAGCUACUCAGGUAUAAAAUUCGAGCCAAAACUGCUUCAUACAAGACAAAAUCUACUGGCAGUGUGCAAAAUGCAAAACAUGCUUCAGAAAUAUAUUUGUACACCUAGGUAUGCAAUAUAAAUGGUAAUGCAUAAUCACUGUUGAGCGCAUCAUAAUAACACUGAAGGGGUACACCAUGAACCACACUACUUCAUCGCAUACUGCAAAGGGCUCAGCUAAUAAUGUGAACAUGCUAAUAUAUUGAAUAAUUAUAUCACUGGUACUGUUAGAACUAAUUUCAUCCCAACCUUAAUUUUGUGACUUCAACUACCUUUAACUUGGUAAGACAAACCAAUCUCUUUCACACAUGCUCUUACAUUCACACAGUGAGACAGUCAUAUGGCAGUUCUCUACUAUCAGAACAACCAGCUUUUUACUUAGUCUUUUUCUACAAAAUGGAGCAGGUAGCGGGAAUCGAACCUGCAUAGUUAGCUUGGACAGAUAUAUAUUCAUUGACAAGCAUCCUGACAUGAUAAGGUAAAGCAAAAAGAUGUGGCAAUAUGGAUCAUCUGAUAAACUCUAAAUGUGCAUAUUCUAGCAUGCCCACUGGAAAACCUCAUGCAUAAAACACCAACCAAUCAAUCAAACAACUUUACUAUAACUUUAUCUCUCAGGCAUAUUUAUGCACAUCCUUCAGCGAAGGAAAAAACUGCAACAGUAUGUAGGGGUGGUAAAGGGCCCUCUAAUUUAGCCUAGAAAAUUUAAGGAUCGGGCUCAAUAAGGGCCGGGUUGAAAUAAUAUGUGAUUUUGAGCUAAAUAAAUAUAGGGUUGAGUUGGAUUGUGAAGGAGACAUGAGGGCCAUGAUCCAUUACCACCCCGUCAGUAUGCACAGCCACACAGGUAACAGCACCAUCAACAAAUGGAUAUAGACAUUACACUGGAGCACAAGAUCAGUGUGUUUCAAACACUGGAAGUUCAAGAAGCAUUACACUAUUGUUCCCAUUAAUAUUUGCCAAGCACACAUGUAGGUUUUAUCUGGUAUUAGCAUCGUAUGGAACAGCUAACUAGCCAGCACACAGUAGGUAUUCAUGUGGUCAGUUCCUAAGACAAACGGAACCUGAAUAUUACAAGGAACGACAAAUGUGCAGGGUCUUCGAAGUCAAAAAUAUUACUGUGACACAUGCGUUAAACAACAUAGCCCACACGCUCGGAAUUAACCAUAGUUUUUUCAGGUGUCACGCGAAACUUCCAAGAUGCUACCCAGAGAAACUUCUAUCUAUGACAGUAUGAGAUUAGUUAUAAUAAUGCAAGUCCUUGCCAACCACUUAACCCCAUGAUGGUGGUUUUAGGGAGUGCUAUGCUGCUUUAGGCAUCUUACAUACUAAUAAUGAUCUCUAACAUUAGCUGUAACAAACAAACAACUAUACAGUUAUUUUAAAUGCCAAACACAAAGGUACCCCACCACUGAUAAGAUAUCGUCAUCCUUUUUAGUAGUGAAAGAUUGAAGAGAAGCUACAUCAUUAUUUGCCGAGUCUAUCUGCUCUAUUGUGUAACUCAAAAACUCUUAUUGUGACACUCAAAAACUCUGAAAAGCUUGGUUCUCAACUGAUACCACCACUUGCAAUCAGGCACAAUGUUAUCCAGCAACGCGAUCAACAUAGCAGUUUGCAACAAUAUUCAUAGGCUGCCGCAGAAAAACAUACAUUUAGUACGGGGGGGCUAGGAUCAAUCUAUCAUCACCUGAAAACGCUGAAAAGCGCUCAGCCGCGGGCCUUGAGCUCGGCAAGGCGGCGAGAGAGGUCGUCCUCGUCGACCUUCUCCUUAUCCUUGGCAGCAGGGAUGGCGUGCGCAGCGGCCUGAGGCAGGCCGACGGAGACCUCGAGCCCAUAGUCGUCUGCGACCUGCUGCAUGAGGCUGUUGACCUCAGUCUCGGGCGUGGAGAGGGAGGUGGAGCCGGCCAUGGCGCCCUCCAUGAACUCGGCCUGGACCUCCAUGUUGACGAACUGGCGCUCGAAAUUGUCCAUGGUCUCGGACAUCUUCUGGAGGUUCCCGGUGGCGAGCGCGGAGUCGAGCGACUUGACGAUGGACUGCAUGGACUUGCCGAUGACCUGCAUCUUGGCCUGCGUGUCGAGGCGGGCCACGACGGCGUCGAGGCGGGAGGCGAGGCGGAGGUAGUUCAUGUGCUCGGUGCGCUUGCGGAUGGCGUUCUCGGCGUAGAUGCGGGCGCCGUCCAUGUUGCCCUUCUCGAUCGCCUUCUUCACCUUGAGCUUCUGCUCCUUCUCCUCCUUCUCGCACUUGCGCGCCUGCCGCUGCAGCGACUUGGAGGUGAACUUGAGGUCGAAGAUCUGGUUCAUCAGCUUCUCGGGGUUCCCCAUGGCCGCCGGCGAGUGGGGGUCGAUAGGGCUGGGCUGGAUCUGGGGCUAGGAUAGGGUUUGGGGGAGAUCGAGGUGGGGGAUCGGGGGAGGGUUCGCGGCGGCGAGGAGGGGAACGAAUGGGGAUUUUGUCGAGGCGAUCGGAUUGGGGGAUUGGAUACGAUUUUGAUCGGGGAAGAAGACCACGCGGUUUGGGGGCAACACGGCUAAGCAACGGCAACGCGCAGCCGUUUGGGGGGAGGGACUCCGUGCGGUGGCUGCGUGUGGGGUCGUCGUGUGGCGGCCGUGUCCUGGACGUGGAUGGUAAGUCACGGGGUUCCCUUCGGCUGCGUAUCCACCGUUCAUGUGCAUCCAACGUUCCUUCUUGGUUGACUUUGCUUCUAUUUUGUGGAAAGAAUUCUUCAAACGGUGUGCCAUUGUGAAUUUUCACAGUUUAAUAUGCAUGUUAGUGAUAUUUUCACCGUUCAUGCGCAUCCAACAAGCCACCAAGGACUGUCAGAAGUCUAGAUACCAUCAGAAUUUAUACUGCUACAUAAAAUACUCUUGCAUAGAGGCUUCGUACCAGAAAUCCAUUUCAUUCACCUUUUUAUCGUAGAGGCUUUAGAGAGGUUGGCAUUUCAUUCCACGCUAAAAUUUAAUAUGCAUAUAACUGUGCUGUGAUAAGAGAUUCCGGUCUAAUAUGACAUACUGAUAAGUGAGCACUAGUUUAUCGUGUUAAUACUGAUGUGACUUAUAAUCCAAAAUUGCAUCACAGAUAGGAACAUCCAUUCAUACAUAUAGUAAUUAUUUUGCUAGGUCCAAGAAGUAAGAUGGAAGCCUGAUCGUGUUAUGAGAGGUCAAGUAGUGGUCUUGUCUUCUCUUCUGACGUACAGCAGUAGCAGCCAAGCACUGUAUACUUGCUAUGGACAAAGCCAUGUUGCUUGCAGCACUCGUUACGCUCGCUCGACAGCAUGCACAUUGCCACACAUGUUAUGAUGGCCUGUCGCCACAACCAGCGCCUACUCCCAUGUUGGCCACCUCUAUCUGAUCGUAUACAUUCAUAAUAGAAUUUGCUAGUCAGUUCUAACUGAUGGAAGGACUACAUUAUUAUAAUUGUAAUUAUAUAAGAGAAUAUAGUAGCUAGCUAGCUGACCAAUAAUUGUGGCAUACUAGAUCAACUAUAUGUGUAACUUACGGGAUGCAAUUGUUGUGAUAAUGUUCAACAGGAGGAUCAAUAUCGUCUUCCUCCCCAUCCUAGUAAUCUUCAUCACCAUCCUCAAACAAAUAUAAUGGAUGGAGCACAAUUGAUCGCAUUAAGUGUUGAAGCUACUUAUAUAAUGCUGGUUGAUAGCGGAAACAUCGAAAUAUGCCUACGUAUAAUGCAUGUAAGCAAGCUGUUAUUGAUAUACAUCCAUGGAUUACUAAGUCAUUAAUUAAUUUCUACUAGGAUUUAUUAGGAUUUGCAUAUGGAAUGAAUUGCUUUCCAUCAUUUCUUUCCUCACAGUGUGAUUCUACUAACUAUACCCUUGGCUCGUGCUCUUGUUCUUUACCUCACACUUUUUAUGAUCAAUAGGUGAGAAAGACAUGAAGUAAUAAAACUCAUGGUGUUAUCUUUGAUAACAAGGUGCCAACAGAGUUCUAUCGGUAAUGCGAUUUUGCGGAAAGUAAGACAGUACAAUCUUUGAAUGACAAAGAGUGUCGCAUGCUCGUGAUGGCUAGGAAAUGGUGCCUAAGAUAACCGCAACAACUUAGUGACUUUUUUGGAUGGUUAAAUAAAGAUGGUCCAAUGAUGACUUGGAUGGCAAAAAAAUAAGGGGAAAAAUAAUUUGAAGCAAAGACAGAAAAAGUAUUGUAGGUUAUAGAAUAAUAUAUAAAGAUUUCUCUUAAGGGUUUUUUGUAAAUUCAUUGAUAGAAAUAAUAGAGCUCUCUCAUUUCAUUGUUUCCUAAAUGUUAUAAAUUAAUAUGUAAACCGGUAGAACCGGUUCUACAUCAACUAAAGUGACCUCUUGAGGGAAGUUGAAGGAUGUACUCGGUUAUUUUGCCAUUCGAAAACUAGUAGGCAAAAGAGUUGCCUCGUGACUAGUGGUGAUAAGAGAACGUCCACUAGGGUGGAAGAGAAAAAAAGUUAUGAUAGUUGCAAAUCGAAUCAAGAGCUCUAGUAAAUCCAUGCUUGUGCGAUAUUUUGAUUGGUAGGGUGUUGCAUGGACCGGGUAAUCUUUUAGGCUAGAUGAGAUGAAGAUCAAGGUUUUUCUAGAGGCUUUUUUUCCAUAUAGAUUUAACAUUUCCUCUUGUGGUCAAUUAUAAGGCUAGAUCACAUGAAAUGAAAAACAUAACCUCUAAACUAUGAAUUGGACAUAUCUAUGACCCUCUUUCUUUUUUAAAAAAAGAAAUCUGUCAUCUUCACACUUUCUUCUUCGCAUAUCAUAACUUCAAAUAUAAUCAACGAAGGGAGUAGGCUUGAUUUGACUCGAAAAACUUAUGUGAAGGUAAAAAGAUUUUGAACCAAAUCAUGCCAAACUAGAAAAAAGAAAAAUAAUUGGAGCUAGUUUGGGAAAAAAAGAUUUUUAGGUACUACUCCCCCCAUCCAAAUUACUAAUCGUUUUGAUUUUUCUAGGUACAUAGUUUUCUUAAACAUAUAGGAUGUAGGGAGAAUACAAUCGGAAAAUUUAUAGUAUACUUGCUUGAAUCAUUUUGCAGUAAUCCGUUUUUGGAUAACUUUAGUGUUUAUAAGUCAACGUUCACUCGAAUACAGACCCAGGAGAGCACAAUCCGCGCACGAACUGAGGUCGGGACUCGGACGGCUCCGGCUCGGCGAUUCGGCAUCGCUGGACCUUCUUGCUCACCAAGAAGCCCAACUCGGCCUCCAUCAUAAGCCCAUCUCCAUCGCUACUACCCCUGCUCCGCUCCUCUCCUCGACGGCGACGCAUCCCUCCGGACCCUCCUCCGCGACCUCGCCGCAGCUCCGGCCAUGUCGGUGAGUGCCCCGCCCUCCCACGCCCACCGCGCCUUCCUCCCUCCCCCCCCGGAUCUCGAAUUCCUGACGGGUUCGGCCCCCGCCCCUCGCAGAUCUUCGAGUACAACGGGUCCGCCGUGAUGGCGAUGGUGGGGAAGAACUGCUUCGCGAUCGCCAGCGACCGGCGGCUGGGCGUGCAGCUGCAGACCAUCGCGACCGACUUCCAGCGGGUGUUCAAGAUCCACGACAAGCUCUACAUCGGCCUCUCGGGGCUCGGCACAGACGCCCAGACGCUGUGAGUCGCGGUUGCCGAAUUUCCCCCCGCCCGCCCCACGGGAUAUUGUUUUUGGUUCGGCGGCUUAGGGUUUUGGGUUCCUGUGCAGGUAUCAGCGGCUGGUGUUUAGGCACAAGCUGUAUCAGCUGCGGGAGGAGAGGGACAUGAAGCCCGAGACCUUCGCCAGCCUCGUCUCUGCGCUCCUUUACGAGAAGAGGUGAGAAUUUUACCAGCGCAAUUUUAGUGGAAUUGCGUAGGAUAGUGGAUAGGUCUUGCUUGGUAGUUUUUGUUUUAGUUCCCUGCCAGAUCAUGAGACAAUCCAUGAAAAAAUUUACUGGAUAUGUUGGCUGUUAGUAUAUAGGUUGAUGCUGCUUGAGUGUUUGGUCAUAGGAAGGUCUAUCGGAGACAAGAAAAUUGAUUUUAAUGUUGAUAUGUACUUUUGGGAACAGAUGGAAGUGAAGCUUUGUGAUCACACAAAUUUAUGCUAGAGUUUUAAAAAAUUCAGCCGGUGGGGAAAGACCGCCCCACGGUGUUGCACUAAGAAGAAGCAAUUCGUCCGACUGAGGAAAGGUCCCAAACCUUGGCUUCACCCCUAUUAGGGCUGCACUACAGGCCGGUGCCCUGCCACUAUUUCUUAGGGCUUGCCAGCGAGGGGCCUUUUUUUUUGUGCCACCAUGGUUUGUACCCUGGCCAGCAGCUCCCGCACCUGGGUAACUAACUGUUAUGCACUUAUGCUAUGAAAGUGUUGGGUUAUGUCUAAAGUUUUAUACCACUGUAUGUUGCACGGUUAGUGGCUCUGUGCUGAAUGUGCUUUCGAUGAACUACAUCCGUGUUGUCACCAUCAGUUGUUUCAUUUAGAUCCAUAAAUAAGUACAUAUUUUUCUGUGCAGAAGAUAUUAGUUUUUUGUAAUUGGUGAGAAUAUUCAACACCAUACUAUAUUGGUGUUUUGGGAUAAAGAACUUUGACGCUAGAUGCAUAUAUAAAAUUUUGUCUAGACUUGUCACUCCACUAAGAGAGUACUUCAGAUAUACUUUGUAUGCUUGUUAUGGUCAAGCUAUGAGUUGUCUAUUUUCUAUUAGUGAAUUAGCUGAACAUAAACCAACCUUGUAGAUAAUUUUAAAGAAGCCUUAUUACAACUAGGAUGAUAUGUUGCAAAGUUUUUUCUUCUUCAAGGAGGAAGGUGAAUAUCAUUAUCUGAGGAACUAGGGUAGGUAUGCUCGUAUUUACGAAGAUUCUGAUUGAUAAGCACCGGUUUUCAAGCCUUUUAAUUCGUAGUUGGUCAUAAAUUAGUUUUUGAGUUCCAGUAUUGAUACUGACUUACAGCACUUGGCAAUAUUCAUCUAAUUUUUAUCAUGCCACAUGAAACUUUCAGAUUUGGGCCAUAUUUGUGCCAGCCAGUCAUUGCUGGACUUGGAGAAGACAACGAGCCGUUUAUUUGUACCAUGGACUGCCUUGGUGCAAAGUAGGUAUCUGUUUACGUUGUUUUAACUUUUUGAAUAAGUGCUUGGUUUAUUUUCUGCUUGGAAAAUUGCAUUUUAUGGUACUAAUGAAGUCAUUUUUUUGGCUAAUGAGUCUCAUCAUCUCAUGCCACUAGUCAUGAAAGUUAUCCUGGAAAUGCCACUGGUCUGUAGAAGUUGUUCUUAAAACUAAUUGUUGUCCUGAAAAUGGCACUAACAACCAUGCUAGAAGUUCGAACCAGUGGCAUAAGACCAAUAUCCAAACAAGUAGUGGCACCAAAGGAAUGUGAAAAUUUCUCAAUGCUAUGGAAUGAAAAAUCCCCUCUGCUUAUCAUCUGCAUCCAUUUUACUGUGUUGAUAAGCCUAUUUAAUUUCUUGUUCACCUGGGUACAGAUUUCACAAUAAUUAGGGCAAGAAAAUAUAACAUGCUAUUUAGCAAAAAGAAAAGGCUUUGCUAAGAUAUAAUUCUGAUUGUUCAAUAUUGUUCAUUUGAUUCUCCCUCUUGACGCACAUGAAUGCAACCCACACAACGUGUAUCUUGUCAAUGAAUGCAUUGUUUUGGUCACAAAAUUUUCAGACAAAAAAUCUAUUGAUAAUCUGAGUAUUGGAACUUUCUCCUCAAAUCAUAUCUGGUUUCAAAUGUCAUUUAGGACAUCGAGACUGUAUCUAAUAUGACACUUUGACUAUCGAACUAUUUCCAUGAUCAUAGACACUCCCUGGUAUAAAAGUAGUACUAUUUAAAUUACAGCAAGUUACUAUGAAAGUAAUUUCUACAACGAAUCAGUAACAUCUACCAUCUUUUUGUCAAUCUAUGUAACUUUGUAUUUAGUAAUGGACAAGUUAAAGAAGUCCAACCAACUAAAAGUCUAAAAAUCCUAAAACAAUGUUUGGAAUCGGAGGAAGUUCGCUUGAUGAUAAUUUGUUUGUCCACCAAAUUUGAUAUCUCUUGUUCAUCUCCGCCUUUAUGCCUCUGUCACUGCUGUGUUCUAGUGAACUGAUUGAAGAUGUAUCUUCCUACGCAGGGAACUAGCCAAGGAUUUUGUUGUUUCUGGGACAGCAUCAGAAUCUUUGUAUGGUGCUUGUGAAUCCAUGUACAAGCCAAACAUGGUAUGCUCUUUGAUAUGCUUUAUCAACCUGUCUUCUUGAGAAGAAGCCAUGGCAUACACCAUACAACAUACUUUCACUUUUGUUUUGGGUCUGCCAUGUUUUGUGAAGUUUCUUUUCUUGGGCUGUACUGUUGCUUCAGUUUGUUCUGUUAUUAUUUUGAGCAAAGUUGAACGACAUCUUGUUAUUUUUCAUGACAUAGGAACCUGACGAACUCUUCGAGACUGUAUCUCAAGCACUGAUGUCAUCUGUAGACCGUGACUGCCUUAGCGGGUGGGGAGGCUACGUUGUGAUCGUGUAAGUUCAGUUUAAUGAACUUUCUGUUACCAGCUUAUGCAUCAAGAAACUAGCACGACUCUAGUGAUAUCCACCAUGUCUCUAAAGAAAUUGAUAGUAAGGAGCAAGGCAUUUGGAAUUAAUUGUAUCAGGGAAAUAAUGUCUGAAUCGAUCUACUUCAUGUGCUUGAUUAUCGAUCAUCUACUAACUUACAUGUUGCGCAUCUGGGUGCAGAACACCGACUGAAGUGAGAGAACAUGUUGUGAAGGGCAGGAUGGACUAAAUCAGCACCAUAGAAUUCUUAGCUGCUUUCCGAUGCUUUGAUGCCGGAAUGUUACCUCCGGAGUGUUGUGUUUGGAUUCUGAAGUAACACUGUAUCAUGACAGUUGAUGUUGCAUUCUCUGAGAGGGAACGUUUGUUUUCUUUACCCCACUAUCUUUGUUUGGCGAGACUUGUGCCGUUCAUGCAUGGUGCAUUUGAGCUUAAUGGUGGAAUACUGAAUCGAUACUUAUAUUCUGGCUGGAGGAAUAUAUUCUUGGCAGAAAUCACCAGAGUACCAGACUGUUGACUGAACGGCUGUGUCCCCAAGAUUAACAUAGGAUUGUGCAAAUUGACUUAUAAAGUAAACAUACGCUACUGGCUGCUUCACUAACAUGCAUGCCUCGAGCAAUUUCAUCUCCACUGAAGAUGCAUACGUGAUGCGUUUCUCUUCUUUCAAUGGAAAAGGGUGAUGCGUUUGUUUAACAUAAAAGCACAUUUUAGGCACGUUUGGAGGAGCUCCUCCUGGCUCCGGCUCCUUUAGACGGGUCACUAUUCAUCCAUUGUACACAUGCUGGGGGUUCUUUUCUCUCUUUCCUCCUCCCCCUCGUAGCUGCCGGAGGAGCUGGUAGAGCCACAAAUUGUGACUCCACCGGCUUCGGCUCCCUCCCCUAACACCUCUGCCACCUACAGUGGUCGGAGCCGGAGCUGACGAAACUUGGUCAAACUGACCCUUUAUGAAAGUUGCAUACGUAAUGCAUUUCUUUUGGGUAAUAAUUAGCCAUCUGUUAUCUUAUUAUUACUCAAAUACUUCUUGAAUACUAAUGGUCUGUUUGUUUAAGCUUCCUAGCAGAUUUUCAAUGUGAAAAGUUAGAAGCUCAAACAAACAGUGAAUUUCUCAUGUAGCUUCUGGAAAGCUGGAAGCUCGGAAAAGUUAAAUUUAUACGAAAACUUGGAAAGCUCAAGAAGCUAAAUACAUUUUCUAAAAGCUAGUAUUAACUUUUCAAAAUAAAAAGGCAGCAACAGCUUUUUAGAAAAGUUCAAAAGCUGCGGCUUAAACAAACAUUUCUUAACUUAUAUUGCCUAGAGAAACAACUUAAUUCGACAUUUCUUAACUUAUAUUGCCUAGAGAAACAAUUUAAUUAGUGCCUCAGAUGGAUGUGUGAACGGUGCUUCGAGAGACAAGGACAAUAAGAUCACACGAAAAUAAUGAUAACUAUUUUUUGAAUCCAUGUGACAAUAAUCAGAGGAUUAUAUUAGUAACAAAUUACAAACGGGCGAUAACAAGCAUAGCAAUCUAAUUAUCUAACUCAAAUCGUUGGCGAUAACAAGCAUAGCAAUCUAAUUAUCUGACUCAAAUCAUGGGUCGAGAGAUCAAAUCCAAACUGCCGCACCACUCCACGACCAACAUCAUUGUCCCUGUUUGUUUGAGCUUAUUUAAGAAUCGAUUCAUGGGCUGAGAGCCUGAGAGAUCCAAAUCCAAUCAAACCAAACCGCUGCACCGACCGCUCCACCAUCAAGCCAUUGACCAUGUUUGUUUGAGCUUAUCUGAGAAUUGAUUAAUUGAUUGUUUGAAAAUUUGGAUUAGAGAAUCUGUUGUCGAGAGAAUCUGCUUGCUGAUAAGCUGGGAGUUUGACAAACCUAAUUAGUAGUUGAUUAUCUAUUUGAUUCAUGAGUAUGAGCGGGAGAUGAUUUUAACAUUAUUUUUAAAAUUUGUAAAAUAUAAAUUUUGAUAAAAAAAUAGUAAUACAUUUGAAGUUAUUUUGAACUGGCCAAGGCAAUCAGCAGUUCAGCACACACACGGCGGUGGGAACAACCGUGGAAGGGACGGGACGGGGCGGACGCUUCCUUUGCCUGGCGUUGACAGUUAGAUGCGACCGCGGGAGCGUCCGUCCGCCACCGCGUCCGCCUCAGCUCCCCCUCGCCUCCUCGGGCUGCCUCUAAUCUCCCUCCAGCACUAGUGGGAAAGUUAGGAAUCGUCGGCGCAACGCCUCGGCAGAUUCGCCCGCUCCGAUCCCACCAUCUCCACCGCCGCCGCCGUUCCAUCCGGUGCGGCGGCGAUGGCGACGCCGUCGUCGUCGGCGGCGAGGGCGCGGAGGAAGGUCCCCAGCCCCCCGAAGCACCGCCACGACGGCACCUCGCCGCUGCCGCUCGGCAUGGACUGGAGCCCUCCCCCGAAGAGAUGGGUAAGCGCCCCCACCGCGAUCCCCCUCUCGCAUCUCCUGCUCUCAACCCCGUCACGCUGCCCCGCCCCGGCGCGAUCCGGCUCCCGCUCUGAUCUCGGAGGCAGAUGCGGUUCCCGCCGGCUGCGCUGCUGGGGGGCCGGUGAUCCCGCUUCCGGGCUGGAUUUGGUGCUGCUUUGCUCGAUUUCCGCGGGAUGUAGGUGUGUUUUGUCUGCUUGGGGGUUGUCGAUCAUUCGAUGCGGCAGGCGGUUUCGAGUUAGGAUUUCGCUGCAGCUGCGUUGCGCGUACUUGUAUGUUGCUGCCUGUGUCCAGGUAUUAAAUGUGCGGGUCGGGAUCUGCAGUAGAAUUCGCCGAGUAGAGCCCCACGCUGCUUGGUUGCUGAUUCAGUAGCUUAGAGCUUUCCUUUCAUUAGGGUUUUGGAUUUCUCGUUCUCCACUUGCAUGGAGUAGACCGCUCGCCGCAUCAUUUUACUGUGUGGGAUUGGAUGAGUCAAUUUCACGUCUGCUCAAUUGACUAGGGUUUUGGAUUAUGUUUCUCUUGUAAGGAGGAGUAGAUUAUGUGUUUCAUGGUGUGCUUUUGCUGAGACUGGGAUUGGAAAAAUCAGAAUGUACUCCAUCUUCAAAAGAUUGAUUUCCUUGCUAGUCAGUAGUAGUCUUCUGCAGAGUCUGAGUGAAGGGUCUGUAGCUUAGCUUACCAGGAACAUAGGUGGCAUUUGUAAUUUAGCUGGUUCCAGCGUUAAUGCAUGAUUUAAAUUUCGGCCUAAGUUGUGUCAGUUAUUAAGGUUUCUAGUUAGUAUGAUCAGUGGCACCUUUAACACACUUUUGCCUGAUACAAUUCUGUAUGCUUGGUGAGGAAAAUUCACUAAUGCGUAAAGCUGUAAACUGUGGCAGAGUUUCCAUGUAAAAGUGUCCAUGUUCUAAAGGGUUCCAUCAAGAAACAUUUCUUCUACUAUAUUAUUGGUUUCAGCACAAUGCUCUGAAACUAUCUGUUGGUUGACGCUUCUCACAGGCUUGUUGCCAAUUGACUUCAUACAGGAGGGAAGGAACACGGUAUGGCCACAUAACCCUCAAACAGGCUGGAGUUACUGUGUUAUGAUACCUUCUUGGAUCACUCAAACACCUGAAGCUGGUGUGACCGCUGACAGCUUUUUGAAAUCUGUCGUUGUAAGUACUGUUUACCUUGUAGGUUCUUAUUUCUCUAUUUGUAUCAAUGCAUGCCGUAAAUGACUUGAAUACACUCAAUUUAGUUGCAUUCCAUCUGCCAAUUGGAAAAUGGCAUGUUUCAGGGAUUGUCCUUGUUAUACAAUAAAAUAAGCUAGAAGUGUGUCACAAAAAACUUUUAUGAACCAAUGGAAAAUUGAGAAAAGAAAAUAUUCACUAUUUAUAAGCCAAAAACUGUUUUUUCUUUUAAGGUUGUCUCCAUUUACAACUUUUAGACAUCUUAAUAUGUUAUCAACUACAUUUUGGAACUUAGGUGUUUCUAAGGUAUUGCAUUGCCUAUUCCUUUUCAUUUUCUGUGAUGUGAUUAGUUGCAAUCAACAGGAAAAUGGCACUUAUCAUUUGUAUGUUGUGGAAAUCUUGACUCUUGAUUUAUCUAAACCUUGCCAUUCUUGUUUUUAUGUAUCUCUCUUUAAUGCCCAUAAAGGACAGUUUUACAGGAUACAUGUCGGUAUACAAUCUCCAGAAGGCUUUAGCUCUAGCCACGGAAUUCUCAGAAGGUUUAGUGACUUUCUGAAGUUAUCUUCUGAUGUAAGUUGAGGCACUUGUUCUCAUGUUGUUUCAAAUAUUCCAAUUAUUGCCAUUUGUUGUUCACAUUAUCUGAGGGUACCAUUAUUACUUACCGAUAAUAACUAUUGCUAUGCAGUUGAUCUAUGGGUUAAAAGAUGUUGACCAAGGAAUAAUUUACUGAAACAAGUCUUGAAUAGUGUCUCUUUUGACAAAAAGACAUCCUCCUUUUGAAAAAGAACAAUGUUUUUUUAUCACAACUAACCUGGCAAGCUACUCAGGCUGAUAUUAAGUUUUAGAAUGUGAUCAGCAUGAAGAAUCAAUGUGUAGCUCUAAGUAACCAAUUGUGUCGAUGCACUUUACUUAAGCAAGUUUUAGAAAGUCCUGUAAGAAUCAGUGUAGUUAAAUGUAACUAGUUUUGUUGAUAAUGAAUUGAAUAUGCACCUCACAAACUUACUGAUGUUUCUACUUGUUGCGGUGCAUCACAUAGAUAUGUGCUGUUCAUUUUCAAACACUUUCUGCUACAAUGCUCUUACAAGUUGCAAGUCUGUACUAGUGCUAGUUCGAACAAUCGUCCUUGCUGACCUUAGAAAAAUGAUGGAUACAUUGUUCUGAUGUUGAUAUGUUAGGUCAUUUUCUGUCAUUUUGUUUUGAUGGAGAACUUGAUGGUUUCUUGAAUAUGAUAUUCAUUAGCUCUUGAUAUAUUUGUAAUCAUGUGAUUUCUUUUAAGUUCAGUAUUUUCUUUCUCAUACUAAAAUUCUCCCGUUCUGCAGCUUAAGAGUGCGUUUCCCAGAAAAGAUGUCCCAUUGGCUCCUCCGAAGCAUGCUUUCUUGAGAAUAAAUUCAAGCAGGUUGCUUCUAGAAGAGGUAAGAUGUAUCUUGACUCGAUAUACUACCUAAUUUUCCCUAUGUCACCUGGAUGCUAUAUGUUAAGUAGUUCACUAUUUCACUUCUUAGACUUUGUGUUCUCAAACUGUUCUGAUUGCAGAGAAGGCAUGCAUUGGAGGAGUGGAUGCAAAAGUUACUUUCUGACAUCGACUUGUCCAGAAGUGCUCCUGUUGCUGCUUUUCUUGAACUUGAAGCUGCUGCACGUUCAUGUAUGUGCUAUUUGGUUUAUAUUUUCCCUAACUGUAAAUUAUUUAUUGUCUUAAUUGCACAUUGAACAUAUUAGCAGCGAAUUUAAUUAUAAUGUUGUACUACAUUUAGAUUUCCAAGACCGGAAUGGACGUCCUUCUGAAGCAGGUUCUUCUGCAAAAAGUAGUACUGACUCUUCUCCACAUCCUGAUGGACCUGCUUCUGGUUCUCUCGCUGAGUCCAAUCAAAUAAACGAAGUGCUUACUCGUGGUAGCAGUCUGACAGGAGCAACUGGCAAUGGUGUGCUGGGAGAAGCUAUCUUAGAUCAGUCCGAUGAUCAUGUUAGUAGUGUCUCGAAUCACAGGAAAGGGAGCCUUAAUUUUUUGGAACAUGAUGGUAGAAAUGGUUCGGCAUCAUCUUACAGGGGAGUUGUUUCUGAAGAGGCUCAUGAUUCUAAUCCUGGCCAUGCUCGCAAGGACUCUGCUGAAAGUAUUGGGAGUGAUUUGAGCUCUUUAAGAGGAAGUGAAUUAUCUGUUCCAGGGGCCAAUAGCUCCCUAUGGGAUGGUCCUGUGGAUCUACCAAGUGCCAUGGACGCACAUAUUAGUCAAACAGAGCAUCUUACUGGUUUAGAUAUGCAGCUUUUGUAUGAUGUGGAUGCGCAAGUCAUCCUUCCAAAUGAUCAAAAACAGAAGUUGUCUAGACUUUUGAUCACCAUGCAACGAAGAAUAGGGACAGCAAAAACUGAUAUGGAGGAUCUCAUAGCACGACUAAAUCAAGAAGCAGCUGUCAAAGAGUAUCUUACGACAAAGGUAUGGCUUUUCAUAUUAUUCGUUGCUUUAUGAUUUGCGUGCAUCUAGCUCUACUUAGUAUUACAGGUUCAUGCUUAAAAACAAAAUGCGCUUUCAGUUUUCAUGUUGAAUAAGAUUGUAUGGCUUCAUUACUUUUGUGCAUUCUUAGUAUUCAAUUCAUUAUUUCUGUGCAUCAACCAUUCUGUGGAUUCUAGGCACUCUGUUUGGUAUUUAUGAUUUCGGAUGUAGGUUAAAGAUUUGGAGGUUGAAUUGGAAGCCACAAAGCAAAAAGGUAGAGAGACACUGCAGCAAGCUAUCCUGGCCGAAAGAGAGAGGAUUACACAGAUGCAAUGGGAUAUGGAUGAGCUUCGCAGGAAGUACUCUGAGAUGGAGUCAAACCUGAAGGUUGAACAAGUCAGUUUUCUUCGCUGUUCUUGUGGCCUGGUUAUUUUAUUAGCCAUAUGAAAGUACUGAUUGUCUCACGCUAUAAUGUGCAGAAUGAGAAAACUCGUGUAGAGUCAGAGAAAACAUCUUCUAGCGGUGAAAAUGAAACACUACUUGAAGAAUUAGAAAUGAAACAAAAAGAAGUUGAGAGUUUGAAACAGCAUCUUGGAGAAGUUGAGGCAAAGUCUAAAGCAGAUAUAAAGGUUCUUGUCAAAGAGGUCAAGUCUCUUAGAAACUCCCAAAAAGAGAUGAAGAAAGUGCUGCAUCAGUAUAUUGAGGAGAAGACUGAUUUAGAGGUAUAGUGACACCUAGUUCCUAAAUGAUAACCCUCUAACAUAGUUGUAGCAAUGUCAUUGCUUGUUUUCUAGCAAUACCUGUUUGCUCUUCUGACAGCAUAUUCAACAUUAUUAAUGGUUUGCUGGACCAAUGUGGCUAACUGCCCUUCCUUUCACUUGUGUAUCCUGCAUGCCACCUACCCUUGAAACCCUGGAACUUAACUUAAUCCUAUAGAACUGUUGCUGUUUAAGCUUGGUGACCUUUUCAAGCUGUUACACCCACAAAGCUAGUAGAUGCAAAACAUCCUGGCCUUUUGCCUUUCCACUACACAUGGAUUCAUCCUACAGUUCAUCUGAUUUGGGAAGACUAUCAUAAAACAUUAUGCAUGCUAGCUGAUAAGAUGAUCUAGCAUUAAAGAAUAUGAUUAUCUUGAUCAACGUACACAUGAGCCUUUUUUUUUAUCUCUAUGUGUUUCGUUUUUGUCAAACUUGGAUGGAUAAAAUUGUUCUAUCAAGGUAGGAAGAGUAGUAAAGGCUGUAUUAGAUAUGGCUUGAUGUACAAGUGUACAACGUGUAUAUACAUGUGUACAGAUACAUGCAUACAUGUCUAAUAGGAUGUGAUUGUUCUUAAGAUCAACACAUGCACGGACACUUUGUUUUAUUUUGUUAUCUCCAUGCGAUUCCUCUUCUCAAGCUUUGAUGGAUAAAGCUAUGAUCUAAAAGGAUUUCUCCUUGUAUGUGCCUGAUUUCUGGGAAUUCGACUUCAAUGCUGCUUCUUUAUUUACUUAAGUUCAUGAGCUGGAGAAAGGGGACGAGUCUUUUUAUGCAUGCUAACAUCUCAAAUCAAUUAAUUGUUAUGAUUUUAUUUUGGUUUUCCUUAAAUCCAAGCUUCUGUGCGUUUGCAUCUCUGUAAUUUCAUUUUUUGCAUUCAGUUUUUAAUGUCUUUAAUUGUACCUUUUUUGGGUUCCAGAGGGUUGUUAAUAGAGAGAAGCAGCGGUCAACACGCUUGAGGUUAUCCCGAGAAAAAAUUCUUCACGAGUGCAGACUGCUGCGUGAGCGUCUACAAGAAUGUAGUGCUAAAUUUCUAGCAGAAGAACAAGACAACUUUACUGUUGAUCCAUCGUCCUUGCCUGAUGCACUAGAUCUUCUGGCAACAUCAGACAAUAGAAUACGGCUACUCGUUGCAGAGGUAAAUUUUAUAAAUGUUAUGGUAGACUAAUGUCAUUUAUUUCCUGUUUUAAAUGGUAUGUUAGACUAAUGUCAUUUAUUACCUGGGCCUGCUUGGCCAAAUCCUAGUUUUAUAUUCUUAGAUAGCAACCAAAGUUAUGUUUUCUUUUUCUUCAAAAUAAGAAAAAAAGAUUUCCCCCCUAUCGAAAGUAGAAUGCGAUUCAAAAAUAUGAGAAUUGUGAUAUAUUAUCCUAAAAUAGUAACAGGGAGACACGAUUAUGUAGCUCAGUUUUUGUUGUCAUUUGGAAUAUUACUGCAAUGUUCCCUUACUUCAGCAUUUAGAAGAUCCUGAACUCUCUCCCUCCAUUUGUCCCUCUUUCUUGUGAAAUACUCGUAGCUUAGUUUCUGCAUUAUUUUUGAAGCUAAGAUUGUUUACAGUGUUUUAAAACUGGGUGUAGUAUUUUUGAAGCUAAGAUUGUUUACAGUGUUUUAAAACUGGGUGUAGCUAGGUGAAGUUGGAUAAUGUAAUGUCCCUACCAAUAUCCUAGUCCUAGCUUUAGAAUUAUUAAGAUGAAGUUCACCAAAUCUAGUUCUUCAACAAAGGUUUACACUCUGAGUAACUCAGGUUUGGAAUUAUGUAACAAUGGUCUCUUUAUAGAAGCAGCAGUAGAAGCUAGUUUCUCUUGGGUUCUGAGUUCGGAGUUUGAGCCACAUAUAAUAAUAUUUACCUGGAUCCUCGAGUCGUUUUAUUUAAGGUGUAGAAUUUUGUUCACUCCUGAAAAUAAAUUUCAUGGGGUCUGCACUCAACAUCAGUUUUUAAAUUUACUUUCUAUUCACUCCAAUGGGGUUAUUACAUGUGCGCUAAUCUAUGCUCUGCAUUGAUUCCUCCAGGCUCAACUUCUAGCACGAGAAGAUGAACAAGGCUCUUCUGAUGAUGGUGACAAUUCUGAUAGUAUAUCCUCAUUAACUAUGGGCAGCGAAGAUGCAAGUGUUACUGAUGAAGAUACAACUAAAAUGCUGUCUGAUCUGCUUAUCGAUAAUGCACAGUUAAGGAUGCGUCUCAAUGCUGUCAUCCGCAACGCUGUAAAUACUGCCGUGAAGCCAGAGAGAGAAGGUAAUGGUGAAGUUCUCCCUAAGAGGACCGUCCUCAACUGGUUGUUAGACAGAUGAGAUCAUGAGAACUUCACCGAUGUAUAUUCUUGUGAAUUAGAUCCUGAAACCUUAUGCGGCUUGACCAAAGUUAUAGUGAUGAGCAUUCCUAUAGUGCUGGAGCAGCCUCAGGAUAAAACUUUCCCUCCAUGCGGGGAGCCUGGAAGCCUGUCUUGCUGUUGUACGAUUGUUUAUUUACAUGGAAAUCACGGAGGAUUAGCAUAUUUGGCUGGAUUGUCACCUCGCAUUCGUGUUGCGAGGGGCCGAGGUCAGCAAGCUUGCUGAGCUAUCGAGAAAGCUCGCAACUGGGGCGAGGCUGAUGGAGAACAUAAAGAUUCCCCAUUUUUGCACCAUAUAUGUAAUUAAAAGCUGGUGAUGUCUGUAUCAGCUUGGGUAUCAGCUUGAUCUGUAUCAGCUUGAUUAAAAGCCCCUCCCCUUCGCUCUCACGCCCGCACUCCACGGGAAAAAUGGGACGCGUGUCGUGCAGACGCGGCUCCAUAUUUGGCUGUUUCUAAGAAUCGCAACUCAGCCCAGGCUUUAGUUGCUAAAGUUGUGAGGUGCCAAAUUACUGUUAUAGCACUGUAGCACACUGUAACGUUUCGUUUGUAUUUGUGAAUUAUUGUCCAAACAUUGACUAAUUAGGCUCAAAAGAUUUGUACAAUAAAACUGUGCAAUUAGUUUUUAAUUUCAUCUACAUUUAAUGCAUGUACUGCAAGUUUGAUGUGAUGGGGAAUCUUCUUUUUUUGCAUAGUGUCAAAGUUGGGAGUUGAGCUCGUCCAGGUCGUACCGAAAUCGCGUUCGGAUUAUUUUCAAAUAAACCCUACUAAAAUUUUAUUCUACACGAAGAAGGGAAAAUUCGAUGACGCUGUCAUUUUUGCAAAAACCCCCCCGCGAGGCACUUUUUCGAAAACCCCCUCCCGACUCCCUCUCUCCUCCUCCCCGCCGCCGCCCUCUCUCUCCCUGCUCUCUAGCUCUACGCCGCCACCUCCCCUCCCCUUCUCCCUCUCCACCUACCUCCGCUGCCCCUCCCCGCCGCUGCCACUCCCCGCUCUCCGCCGCCGCCGCCACCCCGCCCACUCCCGCGGGAUCCAGAUCAAGAUCCAGCGCGGGGGCGUGGCUCGGUACGGGAGGAGGAGGGAGCGAGGGAGGGCGCGGUAGGAGACCCCGAAGGCGGCCGCCGUGGGGUCAGGUGGGCCCCGGCGGUGAGCGAUUGGAUGUGGUGGCACUGCUGCGAGGCCACGCUGCCGACCUGGCCUUCUUCGCCGUCGAUGGCGUCGCCUCCAAGGACCUCCGCAUUGACCCCAACUCCUCGCUCUCCGUCAGCGUAUUCCUCCCCACGCCGCCGCCGCCGUCCCCCCACGCGCACCUCCUCGCCCACCUGCGCCGCGCCAGCAACCCCACCCCGGCCCCUGCCUCCAACGGCGCGCCGUACCGCGGGUAUCUCCCGCACGUAGUCCUGCUAGUUGGGUUGUAACCUAGGUUAUAACCCCACCAAUCUAUUCUCACAAGAAAAUAAAUAUAACCCACCCCAAACCAAACCUCCACCAUCACACACCACACCACCCUAAACUUUCCAUUGCAUAAGUUAUACAAACUGCUUGCUGAAUAUGGUUACAACCAAUAAGAACCCAUUAGGUACCCAAUAAAAACUCAUUAGGUAGUUUUUUUGUUUGAGUUUGUAUGCAACUCUUGACAGAGGGUCCACAUGUAAAUCUAGCCACACUAUUUUGCACAAAGUAUUGGACUGUCAAACUAAUUCAUCUGCAACAAGUUUCGGUCAAUUUCUCUAAAAUUUGAAGGUGUGAAUGCGAGGUUUUAGUUUUAGGGUCCGACUCUUUGACGCGGGGCUCACAUAUAAGUCCAGCCGCACUACUUUGCACAAAGUAGCGGACUAUCAAGCUAAUUCAUCUGCAACAAGUUUCGGUCAAUUUCUCCAAAAUUUUAAGGUGUGAACGCGAGGUUUUAGUUUUAGGGUCCGACUCUUGACGCGGGAUCCACGUAUAAGUCCAACCGCACUACUUUGCACAAAGUAGCGGACUGUCAAGCUAAUUCAACUACAACAAAUUUCGGUCAAUUUCUCUAAAAUUUAAAGGUGUAAAUACGAGAUUUUAGUUUUAGGAUCCGACUCUUAACAGGCGAGGUUCCAGGCUUUUGAAUUCUUAACGGGUCUCAACCCACGGGUUGAGAGCCUUUUGGACCCCAAAACAAUACCAGAACCCCAAACACCCUCCAAACUAUCUAUUUGUGAAAUCUAACCCAAACCAAACCAUUUAUUAGGCGAACCCAUUACAAAUCAAUUCAAAUGAGCUCAUUAUAGAAACCAAACCAAUAAAACCAAUAAACCCAACCCAAUUAAGGCUACCCGCACGCCGUCUCCUCGCCGCGCGCCCCGGCCUCGGCUCGCGCUCAUGAGGGGACCCAUCUCCUCAACCAGCCCCACUCACAUUCGACCAACGCCGCGGUAUGCUAGGUCGCGUCCGCCGCAUCAAAUUGCUGCUCCAGCCGACCGUUCGACCCCCACAGGUACGUCGUCUUCAUUAGGCAGUGUACUUAUACUGAGCUACCUCUUGGUUGGUUGAGCAGUUGUGUGAUAACUUAGCAUUGAUGUUGGCAGAUUUGCCCACUAAAACUGCACGUAGAGCUUGAGUAAUUAAGUACUGGGACAAGCCAAGAUAGAUUGCUGAUAAGAACAACUUUCGUAAAUGAUUUGAGAUAUCGUUGACUUUAUUUUGUCUUUGCAUAAUUGCCCUUUCCACAUGCAUGACAGGUGUUUGAUGUAUUUCCCCUUUAGUAAAUUGUUGCUUUUAACUGAAUAAUAGGCUUGGCAAUAUGCUGUGCUCCACUUUUACAGUUGUUUCCUGCCUCAAUAUUUUUACUCCUGUGUUCAGAACAUGCAUACAGAGAAAAAGUUUGUCCUGUGCAGUUUGGGUUUGAAAGAGUGCCAUUACUGCAAGAAUACUGGUUUGAGUGACUUUUAUGGUUUCUAGAGUUGGAAAUACAAGAACACUGGAUUACUAAAUCUUUUGGAAGAAGUAGAAAUGCAGUGCAUUCUAAAAAUAUAUAGGAUAACCAUUAGUUUUUUUGGGUAGAUAUGUCUACGGCAGCAUCAAUUGCCUGUUGCAACCUGGUAGGUUGUUUUGAUGCUGAAAAAAUAUCCAAGUAGACCAGUGUAGGAAAUAUUAUGGGCACCCUAGGCGUGGGAAAAGCAAAGUGUCGGUGAGCUCGACCAAUGCACACCUCUCCUGUUCUAUGGCGGCUCUGUCCCACCUCUGCAUCACCUCUCAUUUAGCCAUGGCUUGGAAGUUCAGAACUUUUGACCAUACUUGGAAGUUGGAACAUGUUCUUGGACCAUUCCUACAAAAGGGCUUGAAUUUAGGCCCAUGUUAACUAAAACUGAAGCAGUUAUAAAAAGAUGUCGUAUUACCAAACUGAUUAUCUGAUUAAUAUUUACAUUGCAGGUUGUAGGAAAGAAACCGGUGGAAACCAACAUUUUUAUCGAUCAAGGUGGUGAGUACCGGUGGCACUGGAGGACAAAUAUCAGCCAUGGCUUCCUACCAACCUGCUCCUAGGAGCCAAGGUAUUGCUGCUAUUGGCUCAUACAAUAUAUAAUAAUUGAACUGUUGGAUCUUAUGAUAGGACAUGUGUUCUCUUGAUUCGAAUUUGACAGUUUCUGAGAUCAAAUAGCUCAUUCUUUCAAUUGUGCCUAUUUGUAAUUUAGCCGUUCAGUGGAAGAAUGGUGAAAGCCUACAAACCGCAGCAUCAUGUCUUGCCUGCAUCUUGGCUCUAUGCUUAUAAAAGUAUCUGUCACUACUAUUGCUAUUCCUUUUCUUCAAUUGUUUUACAGACUACAGCAACUCUGUGUGCUCCUCAGGUAAUUGCAAAGCAAUUUGAGAAUCUUGCAUGCUCAUGCUAUCCUAAUGGAAUAUUUAAAUUAAAGAUGUGGAAUUGCAUGGUAAUUCUGCAACCAAGAUACAGGAGAGCACUGCAAGAAAGAGGUUCGCGUCGCUAACAAAUAGAUUCUUUGCUUGUUUUGUGUUGGCUGAUGGUGAAAACUGAAAAGCUAUGCAUGAUGAUCUGAAACUGUUGUUCAGUUUUUCUGUGACAAUCACCUCUUCAUAUAUAGUUGUGCCGCUCAUUGAGCAUUGGAUACUUUUUAUUUCUUAUUGUCAUAGGCUAUUAGGCUUGGAUGUUAUUGAGCAUAGAACUUAUAUCUGUACUUCUAGGUCCCAUCCAUCCCCUAACAAGAAAAUUGCUAAGAAGCUAUUUACUGGUGAAGAAACUGGAGAUGGCAGUGGUGGCAGUGGCAGCGGUGCAGCCACCUCUGAUCAGAACAGGUACUUAGCUGUAGGCAUAUUUUCUCUUACACAAGUCAUCCUGCUUUUAGAAAACAUUCAGGUAGCAGAUCAUUUGAAAGUUUCUAUUACAUCUCCAUGACACAUGCUAUAGAAUCGCCUGUAUUAGCAAUGCAAUUUCUGAAUUGUUUAUUUACCACUUUUGUUAUCUUGCAGUAUAGAUCACAAGAUUGGUUAUGCUAGAGUGGUGUGGCAAUUAUAAAGUGCUUUAACUAUUACACAUGUCAUCCUGUUUUUAGAAAACAUUCAAGUAGCAGAUCAUUUGGAAGCUGUUGCUGUUACAUCUCCAUGACACAUGCUAGACAUUAAAUAAUUAUCCUUUUGCAGUCCAAGCAAAGGAUGCAUGAGCAGUGAAGCUCAUGUUGAUUUUGUCUCUUACCAGUUGCGGCCGACUUUUGUGUGCCCCUUGUCUCCGGUGAGAAGAGUCUGAUGCAUGGGAUCCAGACAUGGGAUCCAGAGUCUGCAUCGACCUCUGCCUGCAAACUGUGUAGCAUGGUGAUUAGCUUUUGCUUUCAGUUAGUAUUCAAAGCUACCAGCUAGGUUGUUUGGUAGCCAUGCCUACUUGCUGCAUGUAGAUUUAUGGUGGUCGGAUGUGCUAUAAUAUUGAUGCUCCAAAUGCCAGACACCUAAUGGAUAUGAUAUAUUGGUGCUCGGAUGUAGCCAUGGUGCUCGGAUGUAGCCAUGGUGUUCGGAUGUGCUGUAAUAUUGAUGAUUGAGAUGCUGGACAGACACCUUAGGGAUAGGAUAGUCUGGUGCUCAAAUGUGCGGUAAUAUUCAUGAUUCAAAUGUUGGACAGACACCUAUGUUAGCAUGUUGAUGAUGUGCUUGGUACCGUAUUCGGUGGUUUCGUGUUGAUUAUUUAUCUUAUACCAUGCAUGUAGUUUGUCGCAUUUCAUUGCCUUAUUGUUACUUGCAUUUGAUUGUUGAAAUGGUAGGGCGCACAUCGCGCCGAAUGUGCUAGUAUGUACAAAUGUUUCUGGCUGUCAGCCGGUGAAUCUCCAGCAGGACUAUACACAGUGAAAUCACCUUAGACCAAUCUCUCACUUGGACUGUUCAAGUGUCAAUUCUAUAUCUUUGUUUCAAGGAGUGUUCUAAAAGUGUGUUAUUGUCAAUGGAGCACUCCACUGUCAUCCCCUGCAAAAUCUGAUCUGUUCCUUGUGAAGUAUCUGCAUAUUUAUUCUUAUGAAAUUAUUACGUCCAAAUGGGACCGAAAAUCCUUUAAGCAGUAUGCCCCUGCGUAUCCACAUCGGUGACCGAACAGAUCGUGGUCGCUGCCAGGAAAGGUACAAAGUCGAUUUUCCGCAUCUUAUCCAUGGCCCCUCGAUCAAAUCAUGCACGAAUUGUCAUAAGAUCACAGCGGCAGCUGCGUGUCCUGAUGAGCCAUAUGGCCGGAUCUGAUGGAAAGGGAGGAGGCACUUUGUACAAGAUCACACUGUCUCCCAGAUCAUUUUUACAGAUCACAGUUUUUUCCCCUAAACUUUGAACAGGCAGAUCACAGUUUGUUCGCUAGAACAGUUCCCUCGCGAGUUGCGACAUCAGAGAAAGAAAAAAAAGCACGCGAGUGGGACCGCCGGUAACAGGGCAAAGGUCCCCAAUCCGGCCACCGGGCCCACCUGUCGGCCAAACAACAGCGACAACGGUGCCGUGUGGACGCGGUGCGCACUCGCGUUCCCACCGCCGAAAAGAACGCGCGGAUGAUCACACGCAAACGCAGCGAGGUAAAGCCAACGGAAAUAAACAGAUUAAAGUUAAUUUAAAAAAAAAGAGGAAAGAAAAUGGACGCAAGGGAGCAGGGGGGGACAGUCCGAUACAUACCCUCGCGAGCACGAAGGCGUCACGAACCCAACCAACCCAACCCAUCAGCCCAUCAGGACCCAGACCAAUCAAGGCGUCUCCGACAUCCGACGCGGCGGCGACCAAGGGGAGGGGUUGACGCCCGCCCAGCCGUGUGGAUCGCCGGGGGGAGGAGGGAGGGAGGGGCGAAAGCGCGUGCCGGAUGUCCCGCGGCGGCGGGGAGUAGGGCGACGGCGGCGGCGGGGACGGGCGGCUGCGGCGGCGCGACGAGGCGGCGGCGCGGGAGGGCGGCGGCACCAUGUCUGCGGUAGUCUGUGGCAAGAGGUCCUCCUCCAUCUUCGCCGACGAGCUCCUCCCGCCGUCACCUCCAUCCCCACACUCCUCCCACCACCACCUCCACCACCCGGCGGCCAAGAGGUCCCGCCGCUCCCCGCCGCACCGCGGCCGACGGGAGGCGCUUCUGCUCCAGCUGAUCCCGCUCUUCCCCGACAUGGAUCCCCAGGUCCGCCUCCUCGCGCCUUCCAAGCUUCAUCCUUUCCUUUCCCCAUGCGUUUUUUUAGGUCGUAGAUGACGAGAUGCGGUUUAGGCCCCAUGAUCUAGUGUUGACCAUUUCGGUUCCGUUGCUGGAAAGUUGUGAUCCCCAGCGAUUUUAUCUUGUGCUGAUGCGUAUUUGGGUGCGGAAUCGGGAAGGUCAUGGCGGCUGGAAGCUGAAAUGAAGCUCCUUUUCUGGGAUUAAUAUCUUUUACUACUUGCAAACUUUGAUAUGAUAUAUGAAACUACGAGAUGGUAGACGGAUAAGUCUCUUUCCCGUUUCAUCGUUGAUUUAAUAGUUUACAUGCUUGCUCAGAUGCUUGUGAUACUUCGAAGAUAGAAAUAGAAUUCUAGAAUGGAUUACCGCCGCUGCAUUUGAUGGCUUUGGGACAUGAUGGCACUGAAAAUUGUUUGUUAAUGUGUUUUCAUGAACUGAUAUCCUGCGUAUGCUUUCUUCACAGUGCUAAUAGCCAAGAGAAGGUUUGUGAACAUAUGGAUUAGCUGCAUUUAAUUCGUCUCCUCACUUUUGAGAACUUUUGAGCAUUAUACGCAUCAUGUAUUGUAGCCGCUCCAAGCAUGUCAUGUCCCCAGCACACAAAUUUCUUUAAUAAUCUAUAAGGUUUUCUUACAAAGGUGCUAAUUUAACCUCCAGCUGGCUCUUGAUGGUUGGAAUUGCUUUUGUGUAGUAUGAGCUAGGUCGAAAUACAGAUAUUAACUUUCCCUGCUAAUAUUUAUAUAGAUGUUAUACAUAUGUGCAACAAAGCUGACAAUGGUUGUUUGAAACAAUUGUAGUUGCUGGAAAAAGCUCUGGAAGCAUCUGGAGAUGACUUAGAUUCUGCAAUAAAGAGUUUGAAUGAGCUGCGCUUGGAGUCCGCUGGUUUCAAAUCUGAAAAUGGCCAGCCUACUGUAAUUCAGCCAUCUGUUGAAGGUUCAUUUUCUACCAAAGGCUCUUGUUUUCCUUUGAUGCAAUCAUUUUUCAACAAUCAUACCUCUAGUUCUUGUUAUACUUGUGAUAGUUUCCAGGCAAUGACUUGAUGGAAGUUUGGGUUUUGAUACCCCCAUUUGAAUUUGUCCAUCAGUAUUAUUCGGAAUCCUAUUAUUUCACUAUUUCAUGUUUCCUUGAUUUGUUGAUUCAUAAAUUGUUUACCAUCAUAUUCUAUGCCAUCAUGCAUGUCUCAGACUCAUGCUUGGAUCAUAAUUUAUAAUACAUAGAAUUGGAUCAUACUGCUUUGUCUCUUAUCUUACUCAUAACUUCACCUUGACAUGACAUUAAGCUGUGAGCUCUUUCAUUGCGUUUAGUGGUUAACAUGAUGUUGUAUCACCUAGAAUGGUAUUAUUGCCACAGUAAAUGAUGAUUGUAUCACAACUUAUUUCCUAAUUCAUUUUUAUUGAUUUCUGAAAAGCUACCUUGGUUUUCCAGAUUGUAUUACUGACAGUAGGAACAAUUUUGGAUCCUUGACAGGUAUUCCUAAUGGUGCCGUGGAUACUGCUACAGAACAUCCACCUGCCGUUGAUAAUUAUCAGACAAGUAAUAAUGGUUCUGAAUGGGUUGAGCUAUUUGUCAGAGAGAUGACUAAUGCUUCUGACAUAGAUGAUGCACGGGCUCGUGCAUCGAGAGCUUUGGAAGCUUUGGAGAAGUCCAUUGUAGAGCGUGCAGGAGCUGAAGCUUCACAAAACCUGCAUAAGGUACCCAUGCGUUACAACUUGUAAUUACCUGAAGCAUUUGACAGAUUUGUAGAAAUCUUGAUGAGUGAGGAAGGCAUGUUCAAUAAUUCUUGCACAUUUCCUUGGCAUAUAGGAAAACAUGAUGCUCAAGGAGCAGUUGACAGUCGUUCUGCGAGAGAAUGCUGUCCUGAAACGGGCGGUCGCCAUUCAACAUGAGCGCCAAAAGGAGUUUGAUGAGAGGUCUCAUGAAGUCCAAAGCUUGAAGCAACUUGUUUUGCAGUACCAGGAACAAGUGAGGACAUUAGAGGUAAUAAUCCUAGUCCUUUCUUCAGCUACUAUGUUUCUUUUCUCUGUGACAUCAACUGAAACUUUUGGGUUUUGUUCAUGUAUUACAGAUAAACAACUAUGCCCUCACAAUGCACCUCAAGCAGGCUCAGCAGAACAACACCAUGCCUGGGCGUUUCAAUCCUGAUGUCUUCUAAGCAUAGAGGCAGCCUUCAGAUUAAUAAUCUAUGAAGAUGUCUUGUUUUACCAACUGCCCCUUGAUAUGGUAGUGUGCUACUGGUGGAUUCACCGCCCAUGGGUCCAAAAUUUUCAUGUUACAAUAUUAAUUUAAAAUUUGUUGCCUUCGUGCAAUUUGGCUAUCCAAUAUAUAGUGUUUCCCCAUGAUGCGGUGUAUGAUUUAUUUUAUCCAUGGCUAGCAUAUUCAGCAACAUGAUCAGAAAGAAUAUCGUCUCAUGGUUGUACAGAUGAAAUGCUGCUGUCAAGUUUAAAUGAAAUGCUACGCUCAACUUCAUUCGUCUCCCGAUCUCUCAAUGUCCGGAUAUCAACCCAGGCCAGUUCAGAAGAGGAUGAAUGCUCCGGGAAUUUUUAGGAUUUGACUUCGUAUUUGUAUUGAAUUAUACCGAAUUGAACUGGUAUUAAAUUGGGUCAAACGGGCCACUGCCCCUACUUCAGGUACUAAUUGCCAAUUUGUCCUCCCCAAAAACCGCUGUCACUGCCCUUGCUUUGCCGACUUGAAACCUUCACGCGCCUGUUCGUGAAACAAGGGGUAAACAUGCAAAUCAAAGUAAGGAUAAAUGCAUUAACAGCAAACAUACAAAGAAAUAGUCCAAUAGGUACAUGGAGCAAUUGACACGCAAUUUGUUAUCACGAGAGGCAAAUUAACAAUUAGACAUAUCAAAUGAGGACGACAAUGGUAAAAUUGUCCUUAAUUCUAAGGAUUUGCUUCCGAUAACCCCGCACAAAAAAAAAGCUCUAAAGCAUUUCCAGCGGACACGCACCCCAUAUCUUCAUUUGGCUAUCCACUUCAAAAGAUUACCUCUCCAUGUUACCCUGCGAUCCAGGCCUCCAGUAGACUAGCCAAAUCCCACCCUCCAAAUCCUAUUGACAUAUAUCUUAUCGGUAUUCAAAUUAUUUGUAAAGGGUAUUAUUUAUAACGGACUUUAAUUUUGCAAUGGCUCUAAUUUGAACAGUUUAAUUUACAAUGGUUACAAUCAUCCGGAUAAAAUUUACACACUUGACUACGAUCUACGAGUAAAUAGUCACCGUCAACGGAUAAAAUGAAGAAAAAGGAAAAAAGAAAAAGGGAAGAAAGGAUUUUACAUGGGCUGCCGUGUUUCGCCUCUCUAGCCCAGCCCACGUUUGCUUACCCUAACGUCUCGCCGUCUCCUAGCAUUCUCAGCACGCAGCCACGGCUUACCUCCCUGCUUCGUCUCUCCAUAGACUCCAUGCCACAACCAGCGACGCUGCCACCUCAAAUUGCUAGCUGCUCUUUCGACACCCGAUCCUUUGCAUGCUGAUAUCAUUCUCCCGAGCGUAUUUGAUUAAUCUAAUAAAAAUAGGAGAUGCUCUAUAUGCAUCUUCUUGUGCUAUUUAAAUACUACCUCUAAGCAAAACUUGUACAUUGACUAUAUGUUCAAGAUAAGCCAAGGUAGUUGAGAAUAAUCAAUACAAGUUGAUGCCGUUGAAGUACGUAGUUCCUACACGCAACAUUACAUAGCUCAGAUAAAGUAGGACUCAAAAAAACCCGGUUAGUUAUCCUUCUCUCGUUAUCUUCGUGAAGUUGAAUGUUUUCUAGUGCAUACAUUGGUCGUCGCGCAUAACAAACCCGGGUUUUAUGCCAAGGAAAUGGGUGGCAUCCAUCAUGUAGUAUUGAUUCGACAUGACCGUCCUUCAUGGAAAUUAAAUAUCCUUCCAUUAGCUCUGAAUCUUUUAGUAAGGUGGUUUUUCAUCCGAAUAUUUUUUUCUCUUGAAUUUCGAGCUACUCCACGCAUAUUCCUUAUCUUGGAUGUACUCACAUUUUGGGUUGGAAAUUUCAGUUAUCUAGUACCACAUCAAGAACUCAUGUUUAUGGGUCGAGUUGGACCCGAUCGAAAGGUAAAAGGACAUGUUUCAUUUGGUAUUGCAACGAGUUCUGUAUUUGUCAGGAUUCUCUUAGAUCAUAGUUGCUCUAGUUAAAUGAGCAAAAUUGAGGUGAGUUGAGAAUAUUCAUGUACUACCAUUUUGUUCUAAACUAUGAUAUCAAAUUGCUGUCAUUGUUCACCGUCAAGCUCCCUACUGAGAAAAGAUAAUAAAAAAAUGCUUUUAUAUGAAUGUAGUUUGAGGAUGUGGGAUACGUGGCUAGCUAAUAAUUCUCUAUCCUUGCACAUUCCUUGUAAGCAUCUUGCAGGGAUCGCAUAAUAAACAAUGUGAUUCGACGUUGUUCUGUCAUCUACUCACCUCCAUGGACUUGACGACACAUUACUUGUAAUUAAAUCUGAACAAAUCUCCAUAUUAUAAUUAUUAAAUAAGGAAGCAUGAGCUCCUCCACCAAGCUACAAUAAUAUUAAGCACUGACUUGCCUCAAAAGGUGUCGUUUGCCUGUAUCGUACGCGACAGAGUGAACAAAAGGGGCCGGGGUUAGAGUGGAUUUUCCAGAUCCUACAAUUUUCCUGUGAAAUCACACCCAAAUAAAAGUUUCCUGUACUUUUCCUAUGCAUCAAUUCUAUAUAUGUUCUGAAGGCUGCUAGGUACCAAAUCAUAUACUCCCUCCGUUCCAAAUUAUAAGCAUUCCAACUUUCUUGGAGAGUCAAAGCAUCUCAAGUUUGACCAAAUUUAUACAAUAAAGUGCUAACAUUCAUGAUAUCAAAUAGGUACCAUUAGUUUCUUCAUUAAAUAUAUUUUCAUAGUAUAUCUAUUCGGUGCCAUAAAUUUUUGUAAUUUUCUCUAUAAUUUUGGUCAAACAUGAAAAUAUUUGCCUCUCCAAGAAAGUUGGAAUGACUUAUAAUUUGGAACGGAGGGAGUAUAUAGGAUUGAGAAUAAUCCUUUGAUUUGCCGAACAAAAUCCUUCGUUCCAAAGGAGCCCUGACCUUAAGGAACAAGCAGAGAUGCAACCGUAAUUGUACGUACUGUUUCUAUACUCUUCGUGAUCAUAGUAAGCCCAGCGCUCUGCCUCUCUCCACCCAACAUGUUCGACGAGAUUUUUUUCACGACACUGACAUGGCUAAUGCCUUGGCCUGCUGUAUGCAUAGGAUCUCAUCAGCGCCGGGAGCGAGACGACGGUAACGACGCUGACGUGGGCCAUGUUGGAGCUCAUGCCGCACCCUGCGGCGCUGCGGAAGGCGAGGACGCGCCGCCGGGUCUGCACUUCCUGCAGCUGGUUCUGAAGGAGGCACUUCGGCUGCAUCCGCCGGGGGCGCCGCUGCUCGUCCCGCGGGAGUGCCAGGAGCACACGCGUGGCGUCCUCAGCAGCUUCGACGUGCCCAAGGGCGCCAUGGUGCUCGCCAACGCGUGGGUGAUCGGCCGCGACGCCGUGAGGUGGCCUGGGGCAUCGACGCCGCCGAGGAUUUGCACCGGCCUUGCGCUCGCCCUCGCAGCCAUGGAGCUCGGUCUCGCCAGCCUCCUGUUCCAUUUCGACUGGGAGCUCCCAGGAUGCGCUGCUCCGGAUGAGCUGGACAUGGCCGAGGCGCUCGGGAUCAACACGAGGAGGAAGAGUGACUUGUGGCUGCACACAAAGUGACGGCGAUAUAUCCAAGUGUGGAUAUAGAGGCCGGAUGUUAUCCAUUAUCAAAAAAAGUGAUGACUACUUGGACAGGGGAUUCCAGAUCUUUUACGCCUGUCGCGACCGCCACAAUAGAAUGCCAAUUAUUAGAAUUAAAGUUACAUGAUCCACGUUAGUGAAUAAAUAUUCUUACAUAAACAUCCAAAUUGUAGGCCGUGAACAACAACACAAAUAGCCUUGAAUUUCAGUUUUUGAAGUACGAUGUAGCUUAGAGUGGCACACGGAGGGUUGGAUGUAGGAAAAGGUCCCUCUUCCGGCGAACGGAGAUCCCCACCUCCUCUUCCAUGUCCAACUCACUCGGUAUGACUCCAGAUGGUAGCUGCCAAUCGAAGUGGAAGAGAAGCACCGCGAGAACAAGCUCCAUGUUUGCCAGUGCAAACGCUAAGCCUGGGCAUAUCCUCCGGCCAGCUCCAAAGGGAGUGUAGCAGAAGUCAGUGCCCAUGAAAUCAGUUGUGCAUUCUUCGAAUCGAUGGGGCUUGAAAACCUCGGGUUCGUCCCAGUAUUUCGGGUCCCUACAGAUGGCCCACGCAUUCACAAGGACAAUCGUACCCUUUAGCACAUCAUACCCAAGGAUCUCACAUGACUCCUGACACUCUCUAGGGAGGAGGAGAGGUCCUGGUGUAUGCAACCUUAAAGUUUCCUUGAUGAUGAGCUUUAUAUAUGGUAAAUUUACCAAGUCAUCCUCUGUGACCGUUGACUUAUCUUGCAAUGCACAACGCAAUUCAGUUUGUGCUCUCUUCAUCACACUUGGGUUCCUCAUGAGCUCUGCCAUAGCCCAUAUAAUAGUUGUAGAUGUUGAUUCACUUCCAGCAAGAAACAAUUCCUGCAUGAUAUAAGGAUUACCCUUUUAAAGUAAUUAUCCAAAUAGCCCACACUACAGAGCAUCUGGACCCUGUACAUAUUGUAAUCUCAUUAUACUCCCUCCGUUCCAAAUUGUAGGUCGUUUUAGCUUUUAGCUAGGUUCAUAGAUAUUAUUAUACAUCUAGACAUAUACUAUAUCUAGAUGUAUAGUAAAAACUAUGCACUGCACCUAAAAAAGUCAAAACGACCUACAAUUUGGAAUGGAGGGAGUACAACUUUAGCUUAUAAGAUUAGAGUUAAUACGUAUGCACAAUUCUACUCCAAGACGUAUUAACUCUAAUCUUAUAUAUAACUCUAAUAUAUAAUUAAGGAUGUAGUUGUAUGUAGUGCCGCUUGUAACAACUCCUGUUAAUAUGCACUACUGCACCACCAAAGUAAGUACUACAAGCCGUUCUCCUUUUCUAAAGUUUUAUUUUUGUCUUUAUUCCUGCAAACCACGGAGAUUCGGCAGUUAAUUUUUGAAACAAAGGAUCACUAAGACCCCCUGUUUUACUUGUUUUUAUUUACAGAAUUUUCUAUGUAUCUAGAACCCCGUAAAAUUCCAAGUGUAGUGUUUAAUAUGUUUUUCUAUGUUUGAGUCCCACAGUUCUUUUUUGUUCCCUAAUUUUUUUAAGGACGGUUGAUUCGAUCUACCUUUUUUGGAUUUUAUAACUAUUUCUUGGUUGACUUGCCCAAAUAGUUGCUCUGUUAAACUUCCAUAUGAUUUUCUGUACUGUAAUAUUUUUUAAUGAAAUUUCUACUUUUUAGCUAGCUAAAACUUUUGCUGUUCUUUGGCCUUGUACACACGCCUAUUAAGAAAACACAACUCAUUAGAGUAGCUGUUUUUCUGCAAUAAAAAUAAAUAGUCCCCUCUUGCUCGUACCAUGGAAAUGGAGUUGCUUCAAUGAAAACGAUGAUUAAUUAAAGAAAGAUAGAUACAGUACACGCUAAUAUAAAUAUAAAUUAAAGAGUCCCUAAAAAAGAGAGUACUUACAGCGAGGAUGGCUUUGAUAUCUCCCACGUCGAGCGGGCAACCGAAGCCACCUUCCUCCUGGGUCCUCAAAAGGACACCAAGCAGGUCCUCGUCUUCCGCGACGUCAGUGGCGCUCGCCCCCGACCUGCGCUCCCUGUGUUGCUCAAUGGCGUAGUCCACCAGCUCAAACGUCUUCCGCGUGAACGCCCGAGCCUUGCGCACCGUGCCAUCAAUGGCGCACACGAGCCUCGACGACGGGAACAGGUCACAUGCAUUGAACCCGGAACCGAUCUUUACCGCCUGGGCGACACACUUCAGGAGUUCCUCCCGGCGCCCGAACCGCUCGCCUAUCAUGGCGCGCAGCGCCGAGUCGGCGACGAGGUUGGCUACCCGCGCGGUGACGUUCACCGGCUCGCCGGCCGGGCACGCCGCGGCGAUGCCGCCGACGAAGCGGGCGGCCUCGUCCUCGCGGAUGGGGCGGAAGGACCGCACGCGCUUGGCGCUGAGGAGCUCCAGCGUGAUGAACUUGCGGAGCUGCCGCCACCGCUCGCCGUAGGGCGAGAACGCGACGCCCAGCCCGCCGGCGACCGUGGCCCUCAGCGUCGUGCUCAGAGGGCGCGUCGCGAAGGUGACGUCGUGCGUCUUCAUGACCUCACGGGCGGCGUCGGGGGACGAGGCGACCACCGCGGGCAGCUCGCCGAGACGGAGGUACAUGACGGGCGCGUCGUGCCGCCGCGCGAGGUCGGCCAGUGCGCGGUGGAUUAGCGGGGUCUUGACGAGGUGGUGGAGGCUGCCGAUGACCGGCAGCCGCCAUGGCCCCGGUGGCAGCCUUGGCUGAUCCUUGCGCCGAAAUUGGAGGGACAGAAGUAAGAAGGGGAUAAGAAGCAGCAGCAGAACAUGCGCCAGGAAGUACAAGCUGCCUGAGAGAUUCUCCAUGAUGUGCUCACAAUUAACAGGAGCUUGCGGUUUGUGACAAGCUAGUAGAUGUCGGCAGUUUGUGUGAAUGUGCAGCAAGGAAAGCAGGCUGACAAUUUAUAGAUGCACGAACUGAAGCAGCCGGCUUCUCCUCGAUGGUAGGUUUUGUUGAAAUUUGGUCUAGAUUUGAGCAAGAAGUAAGGGAAGGAAACUACUGGAGCAGGGUCUGAUAGGUUUCCACUUUUAUAGCGAAGGGAGGUAUUUGUGGGAUUGUUUUGGCUACGAGCCAUAAUGAAAAUUUAACUUGGUCCGAAUCCUAUAACCUUGCUGCUUCCUUCGAUUUUCGAAAUUAUAUCAAUAUAACUAUCUUUCUUGAGUCAAAUUCUUUUAACUUAAACCAAGCAACUUUCGUUUUUAGGAAGUGCUCUCUUGCGUAGCAAUUCCAUGAAAAAUGUAAAACCACGUGUAUACGUGACUACAAAACUUAUCUCAACCGUUGAUUUCUAUGCAUCCAACUAUUGAUUUACUACCUACCACAUGUACUUCUCACUUACCCAUGAUCCAUCUCACCACCGAUUCAAAAAUGGAUGGCUCAAAUAACUCGUGUGGUCACAUGCACAUGUGAAAAAUCCAUGUUUGCAAUUCCAUCGGGUGUGGCAUGAAAUUUCAAAGCUUAAAGUACAUUUUUUUAAUAAAUUUGUACUACUUAUUUUAUUGCUUCUCUCAUUUUCGUCAACACGAAUGGUCCUAGACUAGAUUUGCAUCAAGUGCAUCAUGUAAGAAGUUUAAGUGGUACCAUUGAGGUUAGGUAAUGUAGCUAAUCAAGUGCAUAAAAAGAAUCCAAAAAAGUAUAAAUAGAUAGAGCACACAAGUAUAUAUCGUCUACAUGUAUAAUUUAAACUUAAAUAAAACUUAGGCAAGGUGAAAUCAAUACGUGAAUGGGUUUCUAGUUGUAACCUCAGCUACAAUUUAUUGUAUUAUUUCUACUUAAAUAAUUUUUUUAAUUCAACCUCAAAUCUUGUUUGCAUGUAGACUUGUAUGCUAUAUCCAUUCAUGAUUUCUUUUAGAACAUUUAGGAAUGCUAUCUAAGCAAUUGAACUUCUCCAAUUGUACCAUAUUGUACUGUACAAUGAGCGGUGCUACUAUGUCCAUACAUUUUAGACAUUCUCAACAAACAAUACCUAAGCAAUGAUUAGCCUGCGUUGGAGCAUAUUUCUGGCUUUUAGAGAUGUUAGUAAAUAGUAUAUUUGAAAAUUUAAAAAUGUUUCCACAUUUCUAGGUGUUAUAGUACUUGAGCUAAAUGACCUUGGGUUAACCGAAUUGUUUAAGGCUUCCACAAUGCUACUCCUAAAAUAAUUGUCGAUCAUCCAUUUGGUUAUAUCUCAAUGGCUAGGAUUGAAAAAGUGUUAUUAUCUCCUAGAGAAGUUCUUUGCCUUUCACUAAUGGCCAAUACCCAUUUGGAUAGCUUUGGCUUCGCUUCUUCGCCAUACUAGUGAUGACCUGCUACAUAACCUAAAUCCAACCUCCGUUGCACAUGAUAUAUAGGCUAUCGACUAACUUGCUUGUGCACAAAUGCUAAAAUGUGCAGGAUAUGCCAGAAUAGAAGACCGUGCCAAUCACUUAUCCACGAGAUCAAAGAUCGAGUUAGGUAUAGCCUUGAGGCCAUAAGUCACAAUCUACUGAGAAGGCGUCCGAAUGACCUUGGUUGUCUCUUCUUUGUCCCCCUUCUUUGUAUAAAUGCUAAUGAGCGCUUGAACCAUGCAUGAAGUAGCAACUAUGAUGAUCACGAAUCGGACAACCUAAUUUCUACAACUGAAACUCCAAAUGUCACUUUAGUUACUAACAACUUUUCAUUAAUAUGCAUGAGUACUCCUCUACUAUACAGAGCCACUAAUCAACAAGAACCACUCGAGGACAUUAUGUGCGUAUCUUUUGAGAACCCAUAUGAUCCUCUACAAAGAGCAAUGUCUCUACACAUGAUAGGUGCAGCAACCCUUCUGUGUUAUCAUGUAGACAUAUACAUAUCUACAUACAAUGGGUGCUACAAUAAUCCUUUGUAUCAACCAGGCAUGUUUACUGUACAGAAAAGAGAGAGGACGGUAUUUAAACCUGACAAUUCCAAAUUUAUAUGCCAGCCACAACUGUCACAUUAGAAUGCCAAUUAUUAAAUUUGUGUGUUAAUAUACAUUACAUGAUCCACUUCAGCGAAUAAAUAUUCUUACAUAGACACCCAAAUUUUACAAUGGUGAUCGAAUAACAACAUAAAUAGACUGAUAUUUCAGUUUUAGAAGUAGGAUGUAGUUUAGAGUGGUACACGGACCAUUGGAUUUAAGUACAGGUCCCUCUUUCGGCGAAUAGCGACUCCCAUCUCCUAGCUCUGCCAUGUCCAGCUCACUCGGUAUGACUCCAGGUGGCAGAUGCCAAUCGAAGUGGAAUAGAAGCAUAGCGAGAAUAAGCUCCACGUUUGCCAGCGCGAAUGCCAAGCCCGGGCAUAUCCUCCGUCCAGCUCCAAAGGGAGUGUAGCGGAAGUCGGUGCCCAUGAAAUCCGUUGUGCCCUCUUCGAAUCGAUAGGGCUUGAAAACCUCGGGUUCGUCCCAGUAUUUCGGGUCCCUACGAUGGCCUACGCAUUCACAAGGACAAUCGUACCCUUUAGCACAUGACAUCAUAUCCAAGGAUCUCACACGCCUCCUGACACUCUCUAGGGAGUAGGAGAGCUCCUGGUGUGUGCAACCUUAAAGUUUCCUUGAUGAUGAGCUUUUCUCCUAACGUGAUAGGUGUCCAGUCAAUUUUGUACGUGACAUCCCAGAUUUUGCAGCAACUGAUUCUAGGUCUCCUGACGUGAUAGGUGUCCAGUCAAUUUUGUACAUGACAUCCCAGAUUUUGCAGCAACUGAAAAUCUAGGUCUCCUGACAUGAUAGGUAGUGUUCCAGUCAAUUUUGUACGUGACAAUAUUUAAUAAAAACAGGACGCAUGUGACAAAUUCUUACAUGACAAUUUUCGUUUUAGAAGUAAUGUACCUGAUAGUUGCACGGAAAAUGAAUGAUGCACGUGCCAAUUUCUUUUUUUUGAAACGACGUGCCAAUUUCUUUGUUUGAGAAGUAUGUGAUAGUUGCAUUACAUGUAGCAUAUUUUAUAACACAUGAUAUAUCACUACAAGAGAAACCAUUUUCAUCCACCCCAAAUAUACCGACCAAAGUCGGGUGGAUGGCAGGUAUCGAAAGUCUUAGGUGGUAAUACUAAAGGCCUUCGAUGAUUUAGUGCGAGAUGCUAAUACCAACGGUACUAAAGGUAGACAUUAGUAGUACCAAUCGGAACUAAAAAAUUAUCCACAUGUGAAUUCAAAAGGAAAACAUCCCUUCUCAAAUAUAUCGGCCAAAGUCUGAUGCGAUACUAAUGCUAGAUUUGGGGUGGACUGAAAAUGCUUUCUCCAGUAGCGUUGGCUGUGAAUAUUUAAAAAGAAUAUCCGAUCCAAAACGAAGGGAAUAACUCAAGAUGAUGCUCUCCUGUCACCAGUGAUGGUUUUUAUGCACCUCCAACAGCAUUAAUGGAGUUGUUUGAUAUGCUAUCUUUUCUCACAUGAGUAGUGAAUGUUUGCGUUGGAAGUGAACUGUGCUGUGACAGAUUGUCCGCAAGCUGUGUGGCAAAAUUUACUCCGCAGCACAAACAAAGCCGUCAGCAGCACACCGUAGGAACAGGCGGGGACGCGGAGCCAAAUCACCGCACGCGGAUUGGGACGAGACCACGCAUCGCGCCGCCUCGAGCCACCGCGCUCUAUGCCGAGGCAAGGCAACCAAGAAUCCUACCAUCAUGGGGAGGAAGAUCAAGCAUUUCCUGGUCUCCCUCCUCUCGUGCUGCAUUGCUGCUGCUGCUGCGGCGGGAAUCGGAUCCUCAUCCGACGCCGACGUCAUCGCCGACCUCGUUCGAUCCCUCGCGAAGCUGCCCUCCACCUGGACCGCCGGCGGCGACGCUUGCUCCUUCAAGGGCGUCACCUGCUCCGCUGCCGGCCGCGUCACCGCCAUCGACCUUGCGGGGCAAGGCCUGGCGGGGACGCUGCCGUCCUCCAUCUCCAACCUCACCGCGCCCGAGUCGCUCCAGCUCCAGGGCAACGCCCUCUCCGGCGCCGUCCCGCCGCUCCGAUCCCCCGCCCUCACCCGCCUCUCCCUCGACGGCAACGCCUUCACCUCCCUCCCCGGGGACUUCCUCCGCGCGACUCCCGCGCUGCUGAGCCUUAGCAUCGACGGUCUCCCCCUGCCGUCGUGGCCGUUCCCCGCCGCCAUCUUCGGUUGCCCUUCCCUCCACACCUUCUCCGCCUCCAACACCAACCUCACCUGCGCCUUCCCGGCGGCGGCCCUGGUCUCGAACCUCACGUCGAUCAGGACGCUGCGCCUGUCCCACAACAAUCUCACCGGCGUCAUACCGGCGUCUCUGGGCAAGAUGGCGAGCCUGACGAACAUGUCCCUAUCCUACAAGUAUAACUACAACCACUUCCAGGGACCAGGGCCCGGUGCCGGUGUUCGCGUCCGCCGUGGCCGUCGACGACGUGGUCGCCGGCAACGGGUUCUGCUUGGAAAAACCCGGGCCAUGCGACGCGCAGGUGAGCACUCUGCUCCAGGUGGCCGAGGGGUUUGGUUACCCGCUUCAUCUCGCAAGGUCAUGGACGGGGAACGACCCCUGCAGUGGCUGGGUGGGCGUGAUAUGCGACAUGUCAGAUGUAGAGAUUCUCGGCCUGACGAGCUACAACUUGUCAGGGACAAUAUCACCGGCCAUUGCCAACUUGAAAGGGCUUAGGAAGCUUGACCUGGCCAACAUCAAUCUCACCGGGGAGAUUCCGGAUGCGCUCGCGGCAUUGCCGAACCUUAGCCUUGCUGAUGUCAGAAACAAUAGGCUCACCGGCCAACUGCCCAAGUUUAGGGAGUCAGUUGAUGUGUCAGCAGAUGGGAACAGCCCGAGUUUGUGGAAUCAUCAUGGUUCAGGACAAGGUAGUCAGUCUCAAUGGAGGCUCUUCAUCAUCUUCAGACUCCACGGAUGCCUCAUCAAAGUCUAGAGCAGGAACUAUUGUUAGCAUUAUCGCAGUGUUGUGUUUAUUUUUUGGAAGGGAAAUUAGCGUGUAAGAUCUCUUGUUUGUCAUCAUAAGCUCCAAUUUUAAUAACGCACAUAUAUGCUUCUCUGUCGAUUUUAAGCUGAGUGUUUGUGUUUCUAAUGGAGGCAGCACUCAAAAUAUUUUUUAUGCAUGCAAACACCUUUUAUUAAUUAAAAAAACAGGCAAAUCAGUUUGACGUUCGAAUUUCUGUCCUACUGUCCACUAUUAACAUGGCUGAUAUAUAAUAUUUGACUUGAUUUGGAGACUCUAUAUAUAGCUGCAUCCAAGAUACAGAUACCUACAGAACCCUCUAAACUUAACAUUCAUCAUCAGAAUACCAUCAUCACUGUCCGCGGGCACCAACUCAUCAACAUUCAGAAGUAGGGAUUAACUUCUUACUUGUAGCUAGAUGCAUCUAAGCAUCAACAUCAAUGUCUUCAGCCAGGUUGCACAAGAGGAGCAACGGUUGCAUAGUCCUCAGUGUAUCGUAAAUGCAUCACGGAGCAAAGCAUGUUUACUAUAGUAGGGCAUACAAGAGACACCCAGGAUACUCCAGAGCUAGGGCUACAACAAUGAACAACCCAGGAUACUCCAGAGAAAAGAGGGAAGGUUUGUACUGUUGGCUGUUGCAGAGCCUAAUCAUCAGUUCAGUGAGUCGGUAUAGUAGUAAGCAAAUUAGCAACCACAAGAGAGCAAAGCGAGGUAGCAGUCAGGUAGGCUCCACCACCACCUGAUUUCAUGCUUGAUUUUGUGAAUCUUUUACUCAUUAAGUUUUGGCACAAUAUUUGCUGCAUGCUUGCAUAAAAAAAGUUAUGACAACUUUAUCAAACGAUGUUUAAAAUGACGUCCAAACAAUACCGUUACGUACAAAUACACCUUUCUGAAAUUAUGGACUACAAAACUACAUGACACCAUUAGAGGCAAAAUGGGCUUUUUAAAUGACACUUAACACCGUUAGUCCUUAAAAUAGACAGAAUUGUCAAAUUGGGAAUGAAAUUCAGACCUAGUGUCAAAUAAAAAAUUUAAACUUAAGGGUUAAGAAAGGAAUGAGUAACUUUACCGGUGUCAAAUAAGAAAUUUUAUCUUCUUUACAGUAGUGUUGCAGCACAGGUACAUUAUUUACCUAUACCAUCAGAUUUUUACAUUUUCUCGUGCUUUUUUAUUUACUAGGAUCGUGCCCGUGCGUUGCUACGGGCAUAAAAGAUUUCUGGCGCAAAUACAUAAAGCAUGGGAAACAUGAUUUAUUUUAGAUACGUAAGAAUCAAUUUUAUCUGGUUUAUAACCAACAUGGUGUGAGAUGGUUGAAGUAAUGAAAUGGUCGUGAACAACAUUCUAUAACCAACAGCCUUGACGAAAUGAAAGUGAUUGCUCGCUUGUGUCAACAUACUUGUAAUAGAAAAUAAUAUAAAUAACAUAUCUGCUCUUAGUUCAUACAAAUAAGUGCAAGGUCUACAGGGUCUCGAUGUCUUGGUGAUACAUAGUUGAAUAAAACGAACGUUCACAAGCAUGUUUACGGAGAUACAGAUACAAACAACCAUUCUACUAUACACAUCUACAAAAGAAACAGACCUGUACCCAAGCAUCUACUUCCUCCGUUUCAAAUUGUAGGUCGUUUUGGUUUUUCUAGGUUCAUAGAUAUUAUUAUGCAUAUCUAUAAACCUAGAAAAGCCAAAACGACCUACAAUUUAGAACGGAGAGAGUAGCAUAUAGUGUACUUGAAAAAACAAAUGGCACUUGUCCUUAUAAGUAAUACACAUCACCUGACUAUGAGGGAUACAGUACAGUAAUAGAAGUAUUCAACAGAGCAUUCAACAUUGAACUCAAAAAUUUAGAAAUGUUGUCAGUGCGAAUCCUUCAAUCAAUCUAAUAAAGAUGAGUUGUGCACCCAAGAAGUACACUGAAAGCAAGUUCCAGAUGCCUUGUAAAUGCAUACACUUUUCACUUUGGAAUAUAGAAUAAAUGAAGGCAGAAUAAUUUAAUAGAGAAAUCAGCAUUGCUAAACAAUGCAGUAAGCGAUUAGCUCAUUGCUGAGAGAACCUGCUCCUAUUUUGGAUACAGACAUUGGAAUAGUACUACAAAUGCUUUAUAUCUCAUUAAAACAAAUAGAAUUUUUCUCUAGUAUUUGUAAAAACAUGGAAAUUGCAUACUUCAAGAAAUGCAAGAAACAUUUACAAAGGUACAUACAUUCUUCUCUGGAAGUGCACAUCUAGUCUUCUGUCUAUCUCUUUUCUUGAUUCCGCAUAUUUCUGAAGUCAAGCGAAUGCAGAAACUGUUCUCUGAAUUUCAUUUUGAUGGCCCACCUCCAAUGCAGCCAGCUUACUUCUGACUUCUUCCUGAAGAACAAACAUCAUAGAUGAUGAAGAGGUUUUAAAAAGAUAAACAAUGGGGUUCCAAAAAUAGUCAAUGCUGUUCUAUCAACCAAGAAAAAUAAUGUCAUCAGUGAACCUAGUGCCCUAACAUGGUGAAAGGAAACAAUUUUCAUCACAUGUAUAAGUGCUAUUGCUACUAAAGUAUGAUGAUAAGUAAAUUACAAUAUGAAAUGUCUUCUGUUUCAAAACAAUUUUCAGAUCAAUUCACCAAGUCUUACAUCCACUUGAUGCCUGCUCAUCUUUGCACAUCUGGAACAUGCUCCUGUCCUCGUCACACAUCUAAACACGCAUAUACAGUUCAGCAUGGCGUCCUGCUCCACUGUCCCAGUUGCCCGUGGCCAUCCAGCACGCCGAAGAGUAACAUGACGGAUGCCCAUUUGUGAGUCUCUUCAGCUUGAGGAGAAUUCCAAUGACUGUUGCAUAGGUCAGGCUCAUUGAUUCAAGCCAACGGUACAAAAAUGAGAAAAAGGGAAGGAAAAUUCAAGGUUAAAACGUAGAGCUACUAAACAAUUAUAUACACUAAACUGAAGUUUAUUUUUCUCAGAGACAUUGUGGUUCACCUGGUAAAAGACUUGGGAACUGCAAUAAUGUAUUAUAGAUGUCUUUUUGUAUUAUAGAUAUAUUUUCAUUAUUAGUCGAUCACACAAGUAACAGAUACAUUUUUUCUUCAAGAAGGAAAUUAAGUUCUAUUUUCCAAAGUCAUACCAGCAAUGCCUCAAAUAAAAUCUGAUGCAGCAAAACAAAGCAGAAAAAAUAACGGUUACGUACGGGUUAACCGGAGCCGCUUAUUUAUUUCUGUCAUUAGUUGGGAAAUUGGCAAGCUAGCCAUUCCCUUGGUGUAUGUUUUUUUUAAAACACAAUAUAAUGUUAGUGGAAAGACCAACCUCAUAUGGAAUACCUUUUGCUAUAUGGUUGUGGCCUCUCGCAGCACCGCCAAGAUCCAAUCCCCUCUGUCGGAAACCCAAUCCAAUAUUCACGGAGCCAUCACCCCGGAACUAGUCACAGCCAUCACCAUCCAGCAAGCAGCCCGAAUCACCGAGAGACGCGGAGACCAACGCAACCAGGAAGGCAGGGCCUCCCGCGAGAUCCAAGAAGCGAGACCCACCCACCGAACGGCGCCCCGCCACGCCGGCGCGGCGAGGUGAGCGAGCUGCUGCGCGCGAAGGGGGGAGGGUGGGAAACAGCGGGCGGAUUUGAAGGCCGUGCAGGGGCAGGGUGGUGGCAGCGCGGAGGGCAAAGAGAGGAGGAAAUUGGGGGAGGCCGGGAGGGGGAGGCCGAGGGGCAAUGGUGGAAGACGGGGGUGGAAGGGAUGAGAGGGGAGGGGCAUUUAGGUCAAAGCCGUUGGGUGAUUUCCCGAUUUGCCAUCGGUCGAGUUGAGUUUCUUGAACCAAUUUGUGUCGGGUAACUGCAUACCAAAAGGAAGAAAAUUGACGACUUAAAAAAAUGUUUAGCUUCCUAAAAAAUAAGUCAUUUUUUCCCUAAGGAAAGCAAUUACAUUUUUACAGCUACAGAAAGCAAUUGCAUUUUUUACGGGUAGAGAAAGCAAUUCCAUUGUACCGGUAAAAUGUAGAUAUCAUCAGCUUUCUUUCUUUUUUCUUUUUGACAACGUGGUGCACUGACAAUCAUUUUGAGAUUUUCGAUUCGAACAUGAAUGGAAAAUCUAGUUUGAGAAUGAGAACUCAGAACGUUUUCGUUUUAGUUUUAGUUUAUUCAUGGAUAAUUUGAAGUGCCUCAACUAAAAUGAUAUGUAAUCUGCUUGUUUUUAUCAGUAAUACACAUAGUGUUGACAAGAAAUAGCAUCACCUCAUGCAUAUCUAAAGAUGACAAAGAAGACGUUUUUCUACCUCACGUCAUGAAAAAUAUAUUUUCGGUGACAGAAGAACUUGUGAAAUAACUUGUGAUUAUAUCCUGUAUUAGCACUCCACCGAAGGUCCAAAGCCACUGUAAUCCUGAGUGCUCGACGCCCAUCAAUCCCGAUCGCUCGAGCUUCUCCUCCCGGCCUUCUACACCUCAAGCACACCGCAAGAGAACAGCUCACGUGUGAGUGUCGUUCCACCAACCCGCUCACCGAACCCGAGCACCGCCAACCGCUCGACAAACCCGAGCAAUGGUCUGUGCGGAUGGGGAGGGAUGGCGGGUGGAUGGGGAGGGAGGGAUGGUGCCAAGGCGGGUCGUCGCUGCCGCAUCAUGCAGACGUGUCUGCCCCCUUCGGGACAUUAGGCCACCGCCUCCGCUGCCGGGGUCGGCAGCUCGCAGGACUGGGCCUGCGGGUGGGUAACGCAUGGACGGGGUGAGAAAAGUUCGGUUGUUUUGGCAGAAACGACACUCCCUAACGUCGAUAGAAUUCUAUGGUUCUGCACCCGAUCCUCUUCCCCUCCACCCCCGAAAUGUAGGUCCAACGUGAGAGUUACGAUGUGUCUAAAUUAGGUGAGGAAAGAUUUUCAAUUGUUUUCGUUAUUUUUAUUAUAGAUUUUGUGUACGUACAUGACACAGUUGGAUCAAUGAUCUGUCCAACACAACAUGUUCAACAUAUACAUACUUAUUCUCCACAACAUAUUUCCAGAUCAUCCCAACUAUACGUUUCGUGGCACACAACAAUACGCUCACAACCUGUCACACACACGGCAUGUCCAACAUAUAUAGACAUGACAGGAUCAAAUCAUCUCUGUGGUUACAUAACACACAUUAGCACACCACACAUUACAAGCUAGAGUGCUGCUUCAGGGCUUUGGGUGCGGUCCGACGCAUGCAGGAUCACCACACGCAGGCGAGUUCUCAAAUCAAGGGCUCCCUCGCAGGCAGUGGCACACGCACGCUCGCGUGCAUGUACAGGUCCCUCUUGGGACGCACGGUGAUGCCCAUCUCCUCCGUUAGGUCCACAUCGCCUGGCAUGACUCCAGCCGGAAACUUCCAGUCGAAGUGGAAGAUAAGCGUGGCGAGAUUGAGCUCUAUGUUUGCCAAGGCGAACGUCGCGCCCGGGCAAAUCCUUCUACCAGCUCCGAAUGGUAUGUAUCGGAAGUCGGUGCCACUGUAGUCGAAUGCGACCCCUUCAAAUCGCUCUGGCUUGAAGGCUUCGGGUUCGUCCCAAUAUUUCGGGUCCCUGCCAAUGGCCCAUGCGUUCACAAAGACAUACGUGCCUUUCGGAACAUCGUACCCAAGAAUCUGGCAUGGCUCCUGGCACUCUCUUGGGAUGAGCAGGGGUGCUGCUGGGUGCAACCUUAGAGUUUCCUUGAUGACGAGUUUUAGAUAAUGGAAGUUAACCAAGUCAUCUUCGCUUACCCUCGACUUGUCUUGCACUGCGUGCCAAACCUCCUCCUGUACUUUCUGCAUUACACUAGGGUUCCUCAUGAGCUCUGCUAUAGCCCAACUGAUAGUCGUUGAUGUUGUUUCACUUCCACCUGCAAACAAGUCCUGCACGGUAUGCAUGCAUGGUGUUAAAUUUUAGUUUCUAGUGGAACAAACAAAUUACCUUUUCGAAAGAAUAAGAAAAAUGCUCUUAUGUAAAUCGGAGAAUAGAGCGGUAGUUACAAGGAUGACGGCUUUGAUAGUCCCAAUGGAGAGAGAGCUGUAGUCGAGGCUAUCUUCCUUCUGGAUUCUCAAAAGAACAUCAAUCAUGUCCUCGGCGGCGGCGGCGGCGGCGCCCCCUGCCGCUUUCCGCUCCCCAUGUUGGUCGAUGGCGUAGUCUAUCAGCUGGUAGAUUUUGCGGUGGAACGCCCUGGACUUGCGCACCGUGCCACUGAUGCCGCACAUGAGCCUCGAGGACGGGAACAUGUCGCGUACGUUGAACCCGGCAGCGAUCUUCACCAUCUGGGAGAGGGACUCCCGGAACUCGUCACGGUACUUGAACCGCUCUCCCAUCAUGGCGCGAAACGACGAGUCCGUGAUGAGCGUGGCUAACCGCUGGGUGAUGUUCACGGGCUCGCCGCCGGGCGGGCACGCGGCGGCGAUGUCGGCGACGAGCUGGGCGGUCUCGUCCUCGCGUAUGGGGCGGAAGGACCGCACCCUCUUGGCGCUGAGGAGCUCCACGGCGCAGACCUUGCGGAGCUGCCGCCACCGCUCGCCGUACGGCGUCAUCACGAGGCCCAGCCCGUGGGCGGCCGUGGCCCUCGCCGUCGCGUUCAGCGGUCGCGACGCGAAGGUGACGUCGUGCGUCUUCAUGACCUCCCGGGCGGCGUCCGGGGACGACACGACCACCGCGUCCAGCUCGCCGAGCCGGAGGUACAUGACUGGGGCGUCGCACCGGCGCGCGAGGUCGGCCAGGACGCGGUGCUUGAGCGGGUUCAUGAUGAGGUGGUGGAGGCUGCCGAUGACGGGGAGCCGCCAUGGACCGGGAGGGAGUCUCAGAGGUGGUGCUUCGUUGCGAAGCCUCUGCUGCAGCCGUGGCCUGAGGAAGAUCAGCAGGACAAGCGGGAGGAGAGCCAACAAGAGGUAGCAGGAGAUCAGCAUGGUUUUCACGUAUGGUUUCGUUUCUUUUGGCUGCGAAGAACUUCUAGCUAGAGUAAGCCAGUUUGUGUUUGCAUGUGCAACGAGAAUUUAGGUGCCCAGGCUAUUUAUAGAUGGCCAGGCUACAUGCACUACUGGAGAAGCUGAUGGACCUGUUCUCUGGCGGCUAUCAAGAGCAUGAACUGGAAGGAUUCAAAUAAUGAGCUCGCAAAUCGUAUGUGAGGACAUGCGUAACAUGGAUAUUGACUAGUACACCGAUUAUAUUCUCUCGUAGAUAUUUAAAUUGGUGUCAAAGGUUGAGUAUAUACAAUUAGUCAGAAGCAUACAAUUAGUCAGAGCUUUUCUCUUCGUACGCCAAAGGAAAUGUGUUCAGUCAGAAGUUCUGACUCGGAACUAGCGAUUGUUAAUGAUAGUGCCAUGGUCAGCUUGGCCCUGUUCCAAGCCGGGACAUUGGAUCCAGUACGUCUCAGUGCUGGAAUGGGCAAUCAGAAUCAUAGUUAAGGAGAUGAGGAGAUACAUUGAAGGGGAGUUUUACUUAAUUUAUGACUAGUACUAGUACCAAGCCACGCAGAUUGUGCGUAUCAGUAUGAUGGGCUAGUUCCCCUAUAUGUGCCGGCUUUAAACACACUACUGAAAAACUCAGCAUUCGUCCUGAGGUUCGGUACCGGUUGGUUUUUGACUCGGUACUAAUGCUCAUUAGUACCGGUUCUAACGGCUAGUUCCCUAGAAGCCCCCCUGUGACCUCCUUUAAUACCGGUUGGGAGCUCCAACCGGUACUAAAGUUCACUCAUUAGUACCGGGUGGAGCCUCCACCCGGUAUUAAUGUGCCUGAGGGUCUUUAGUACUGGGUGGAGGCUCCACCCAUACUAAUGGGUACCUUUAGGUCCUGUUUGGCAUGGCUCCAACUCUGGGUGGAUCUGCUCCACUCCAGAACUCCAGGUGGAGCUAACUCUGGGUGGAGUUGGAGCUGUCUGAUGGAGAUGUUUGGCUGGAAGGGUGUCCCCAACUCCAGAAAAGAAGAGUUUGAAGGUGAAUUGUCAUUCUUGCCCCCAACUCAUGGUCCCACCUGUCAUCCUCUUAUCCCCCUCUUUUCUUCCUCAGGAACAACAGCACCUCAGCUGUGACGCGCUCCAAGAUGUCGAGCGCCAACCGUCGGUUCGUCCGCACGUCCACAACGUCCCCAAAGUCCUGCCGGGCGAGCAAAUUCAUCUGCAACAUUGUAUUGAGAAAAAGGUCACAUAAUCAAUUAACAAAGAAGCACUGCGCAUUUCAUCAUUUCAAUAGAAUACAGUCUAUAGAGUCAAAUACAGAUGACUACGAAUCGAGAAAUCUGGACUAGCACAAGGUGAAAAAUUCUGUAAAAAGACCAUUUAGUGCAUACAUUUAGAACAUUUCAGACUAGAUUUCAACAUGAUUUUGUUCUCAUCUCACAACACAAACACAGGAAUUAAAUGAGAAAAGGGAAAAAUUUCCUCACCUUGGAGCUCAGCACUGAUAGAGGAGGGGAUUGACAGUGUCACCUCGCUCCCCUUGGCGCUUGCUUAAUAGUGGUAGGACAGAUGGCGGCAGGUCACUGGUCAGUCUUGGGCGGAGGAGGAUCCUGGCGGCGGCAGGUCGCUGGUCAAUCUUGGGCGGAGGAGGAUCCUGGCGGUGGCAGAUCUCCUCCCAUGGAGUUGCUGGGGUGGCGGUGGACUAGCGCAGAGGGGACACGAGAUGGCGGUGCCCAGCGGGCGACGUGGAUGUCGGGGCGCCCAAGGUCGGAUCAGGGCCGACGAGGCGAGCGGUGCAUCGAGGUGGGUGGAUGCAGGGAAGCCAAGCGGGGAACGAGCUGCUGGGGGUAGGGCGGCACGCGGUCAGGUGUGGCACGGGCUGCUCCAAGUCUCUGGAGGGCGGCCGGAGAUGGGAAGGGCAAUGGCGGCGUGGGAACGGAGGAAGAGAUGGAGACGGCGGCAUGAGCGGUGGAGGAAAAGAAUGAGGGCGGCUGCGGGGGAUUGGCGGCGGCAUCCCGCGGGCGAACGGAAGGAGGCGCGGGGAGGGGAGUCACGACGUGGGGAGGGGUCUCGGGAGAAAGAAAGAAGUGAAUGGUUUUUUGUGUAAUCAGUGGCAUUGGUGGGUAAUUAUCCACCAACUCCACGAGGAGGUUCAUAUUGGGUGAUUGUGGAGCUGCAAAAGAAGUGCUCCAAAACUCCACCCCCAUCUGCACUAUAGCUCCAUGGAGUUGGCAGCUCCAUGGUGUUUUGGAGCUGGGGUGUUUGGCUGGAGUUGCUGGAGUUCAGCUCCAGAGCCAUGCCAAACACGCCCUUAGUACCGGUUGGAGUUUCCAACCGGUACUAACUUCCCUCCUAUAAAUCAUGCGUCUUCUUCCUCCUGCCUGAGCCAUUUCCUCAGCUCGGGCUUCAUCCAUUCAUGGCAAAAUAGGGGAGGUGCUGCCGGAUUUUUGAUCAUUUCGUGGGGAUUCACUCAUUCAAGUGUUCUAAAGGUUAGAAACUUCAUUCUCCCUUGAUACAUGGUUAGUAUACUAAGUUUUAUGCUUUAGAGCUUGAGUAAUUUGUGAUUUUUAGACUAAGGUAUAAUGGAGAAAUUUUUUAUUUAUAUGCGUGUGUUAUUUAGAACUCAUAUUUAUGAUUUUUAGAAUAAGCUACAAUUUUUUGGAUGCUAUGUUUCGUAUUAGUCAAAGAAAUUGAUAUGAGGUUAGAGGAAUAAUUUCAUAGUUUAGUCCUUUGCAAAUAUGAACUAAAUAAAUUAUGGGAAAAAAUAUAAUUUGUUCAUAUUUUAGUCAUUUGCAAAUAUGAGCGAGAUAAAUUGUGGUACAUAGAGAUAAUUAAAUGAAAUAGAGGUAUGUAAUUAGUCAUUUUUAGAAUAAGCUACGAUGGAGAAAUUUUUCAUUUAUAUGUUAUGUUUGAGCUAAAUAAAUUGUGGGAAAAAAUACAAUUUAUUCAUAGUUUAGUCAUUUGCAAAUAUGAGCUAAAUAAAUUAUGAUACAUAGAGAUGGCUACUGCUGCUGGAGGUAGUGGCGAUGGUGGGGGCGAUCGUCAUUCCUCUCAUGGCAAGGAAAAAUCAUAGUUGGCCCUCAUGAUAAGCCGAAGAAAAUGAGCACAUGGGAGAGAGCAAUGCUUCGUUAUUUGGAAAGAUGUCAUGAAGAUGCUGUUGCAGCGGGUCAGGAACCUCCUGCCGUACGACUUGAAGAAUAUAUAUAAUUUCUUGGACAACAAGAAGUACAUAUUUCUGUUGUACAACUUCAAGUGAGCGUGUUUCCCAUCUCUUUUAUUUUUCGAACUAGCAGUUAAAAAUAAGACUAAAUAGCUUUUCACUAUGCAUAUAUAUACAGCUUCCAUUAGAUACUUCUUGUUAUCCUGGUUGAUCGAAGCAUGGUCUAUAUCCUGGACUCUCUGAGGAGAUCAAGAAAUCAAUACACUGACCUCAUAAACAUGCUUAACAGAGCAUGGGCUCGCUUUUGUCAACAUCACUCAGGUGAAUUCAAGGAGCAACUUCAUAUCCACUCUGAAUUCCCGGUAUGUAUUGAAUUUGCACAUCUUGUGUCACUUCUUUGAACACAACAAAUACUUCAUAACUUAUUUUGCCAUAUAUAUAGUGUUUGAGACAGAAUCUGGGGAAUAAUUUAUGCGGAUACUACGUAUGUGAGUUCAUCCAUGGCUUGGUACAUUCCAAGCGUAUAACUAACCAUGAAUUCAGAGUACGUAUACAAAUUUCUUAACAAUAAAUUAGUUCUAAUUGUGUAGACCCAUUGAUCUAAUAUAAUAACCUUUGCUAAUGACAUAGAUUAUGCACAUGAAGGAAGAACUCCUCGAGACGGAAAAAAUCAGGGCAAUUCAAGAAUAACUCAGUGGAUUUCUUCUGGAAAAGAUAGUAAAUUCAGCGGGAGAGUUCCCUAACGAUGGAUCAAAUCUGCAUCACCGUCCGGACUCGGGUUCAGAAUAGUUGAUCCAAAAUGUUGAACUUGGAAAGUUGAUGCAAUGUAAUAUUAUUCAUAUAUAUGUAUGCACAAUAUGUCUUUGUAUAAUAUUAUCUCAAAUGUAAUAUUAUAAAUAAAAUACAACUUUAUAUAUAUUAGCGUAUUAGAGUAGUAUACGUAAAGGAAAUAAAUACAAGAUACUAAUAUAGAAUAAAGAAAUAGAAAAGAAAAAAGAAUUUAGUACCGGUUGGGGAGACCAACCGGUACUAAAUUGGCCUUGGCCACGCGCGACGUGGCAGCCAAUUUAGUACCGGUUGGUGUCCCCAACCGGUACUAAAGGACCUCCUUUAGUACCGGUUAUUUGAACCGAUACUAAAGGACCCCUUUAGUACCAACUUAGCAAUACUGGUUGCAAAACCGGUACUAAGGGGGGUUUGGACCCGGUACUGAAGGUGCUUUCUCCAGCAGUGACAUGUGUUGAUAGCCGGAGCCGGUCGAGGACUCUCGCCCAAACCCUAACCCCCAUUAUUCUCUCCUUAGCUUCCUUUCACCACCGUUCAUCUCUCUCUUCGGAUCCUAAUUAACUCUUGCCACCACUCUCUCCCUCUUCUCAAACUUACACACACGCAUGCACUUUGCAUAGUUGCAUUGCAUUCAACUUUGGUAAAAAAAUUAAAUAUGUUGUCGGAAAAAACCACUAGGAAAUACCGCACUUUUUUUAGUGGCACCACGAGUGACGACGCUAUGUUUGGUGGAAAUCCAACGAGGUGACUUGAUUGAGAGCUGUGACCCACGAAAGUUUGUAUAAAGCCACCCCUCUACAAUUGGAAAUAAAUAAAAAUAAAUGAAUACAUAACUAAAUAAUAAGCCUAGGUGGCAGGUUCCGCAUAAUCGGUUGUUCAUGACCUUAUAAUUCAUGGACCAAAGUCGCAAAUCGCUUGUUCUCAUUCAAGCAUGAGUUCGUUCAAAGUCGGCAAGGGGAAUCAGAGAAAGGGCGGUUUAGUCAACAAUCAUGACCAUGGGAACAUUUGUUCGCUUUCUAGGUACCCCGGAUCUACUAGUCAUCGCCUUUGAGCUGGGAAUGUUUCAAACUGAGAUAAUAAGCAUGCAUUUUGUGACCUUAUUUUACUCCAUUUUCUAGGUAUAACAGCAGCACUGGAUCACGUUCUUGUUGUUCACUACUUAGAGCUUUAUUGAUUAGCUGUUGUGUAUUGUCCCGUUUCCUCUCUUCUUGUUGCGUCAAGGGUAAUUAUGCCAUUUUUCUUAUUAUGCUGUAUUUUAUUCACAGAACUAUAAGUCUUCCCUUCAUUUCUAGUAGAACAAUAAUCCAUAUACCAGUGUUUCUGUUUUCUUCUUUAGGAUAACAAGUGAGAUUGCUUGUUGGAAUGUUACUGACGCAACUCCCCUAUUAUUUUUUUUAAGUAUAUCCCAUAACCAAUAAUAGAAUCAACUAUUACUUUUUACAACAUUCUAUCAAGUACUAGCCUCCCAAUCACUAAGUAUGACUAAUUAAAUUACUCCUAAUAAGCCUCUCCAAUAUAAUGACGUCGCGACUGAUUCCCUCAGUGCCGAACCCAUCUCCAUCCUCAGCCCUCCACUGAAUACUGAUACAACAGAUUCUGCAAGGUUCCCUUUCCUUCAUUUUGGUUUAAGAUGAUCUUAUAUUCUUCAUGUACAAUAUUAACGAGCAGGUUGUACCACUGGCAAGAUGAAAAUGUCUUUCUGAUUGAUGCUACCUCUGUCUGUGAUGACCGUAGAUUAUAUAUAGAUGUGAGUUUCCCCCCACUAUGAUAUGGCUGCAUAUCAUAUCACAGACGCAACAGAUGCGACUCGUGGCCAUUUGUGUGAUGUUAGUUUAUACCCUCUGUCAUGACUGAUUCUGUGGUUUUAUCUGUAAAAAUGACUGAUUCUGUGGUAGUGAUCAUGGUCAUGUCAAAUGAGAAAAUUUCAAAACUACACUUGUGUAUAUUUUUUUUUGUGAUUGUGUCUUGUUCAAACCAUGAACAAAAUAAUAGUGCAUAAAACUGUGGUACAUUGCGGAUGCCUCAAUAUUUCCUUGCAAAUCAAUCCAGUAAAGUUUUAUUAAACAUUACGUAAAUCCAAUGGAUACGUUAGUGGAGCUUGAGACAAAUCCCAGGAUUGCUGCAGGGAGAGAUGCAUGAUCACAUUCAUCUGUUUUGACUUUUACGUGAUCUAAUCCUACAAGCUUGCCUUUCAUUGUUCUUUUUUGUUGUUGUUUCAUGAGCUAUUAUUCAAUGCUAAUGUGACAUCUAAAAUAAUCAUGUCCUAUGCAACUGUGAUUGGAAAAAAUCCAGCCUCCGAUCCAUGACCGGAAAACCCAUCACUAGUGACCAGAACAUUGCGUGUUGGUCUGUUACGUUGGAUGUGAGUCGGACACCCAGUCUGAUGUUAAUGUUUUAAGGCACACACACAACUCAUGCUUCAAACAUCUUAAUCUUGACCGACAAUUUGCUUAGGAAUUUAUAGUUUAUAACAGACAAAUUUAGUAUCACUUGGUUCAUAAUUCUAUAGUACUUUCAUAUAGUUUUAGUUUCAUGGUCAUGAUCACAAUAAUGUUAGUUUCAUCAUUCAUAUAAUGUUAAGUAUAAAUUAAAAAUUAUAUUUGUGUUUGCACUCUAGUGUUACCUUUCUAUUUGUGCAUGUUAGAAAAAUGGAUGUAUGUUCCGUGCUUCCAACUAGUUAAAACAUUUGAGUCGGUGGUGAUGACGGUAGUGAUAGGUUAUAAUCUUCUGUGGCCUUGUCUUUGUGUGUAGAUGGAUGUGGUAGGAUGAUGUAUAUUACCAUAUGCUGGUUUGAAAUAGCCACAUUUAUUAAAGCCAAUUACAUUUUUAUGAUUAACGAAUCAACUUGUAGUGUGUAACGUAACACUCUCUCUUAUUUAAGAUCAGUUGCAACGCAUGGAUCCAUCGACACUAUGGCCAGUAAAGGUUAACAUCUGUGUUGAGCAAAGCAUGGUGGUAUACUUUAAAAAAUAGCACUACAAAAAAUUCCUAUCAAUUACAUGUUACAGCACGAAGCAAUACUAAUUUAUUCAGAGCAACUCCAAGAGUACCUCAAAAAGUUCUUCCCUAAAACUAUAUAUUGGGGCUCUUCCAAAAUUUUUUUCCUGAAAACAUAUCAACCCACAGCAGAUCACUAAUAACUAAUCCUCAAUAUUUCAAAACAUUGCCACGUCAUCAUAAUUGGGCCCAUUAUCUUCUCCACCGUGUGGUUCAGCCAUUGUUGCUCCGCCGCAGCUCUCCACUUGAUAUCUUUCUCUCUUCUCUGAGCUGCUCCCUUCUCUCCGCUCGAUCUCUCCCUCUGUUUUCCAAUCGACAAAGCAUGGCAACUGAAGCUUCUCCACUCUUCUUCCACCGAUCAAAUCCAAGCAAGCAAUCUCCUUUUCCUCACCAAUCGGCGGAGUAACAGCUCAAUAUCCACACCAUGGCCGCAGGCCCUGAACUGCUCCUUUCUUGCUUCUUCCGAACAGCACAGCACCACGCCACCACCCGAGCUCCUUCAAGCCAAGAACCAGGUGCAGCUCCUCUCCUAGGCCCCGCGCGUUGCCUCGUAGUGGUGCCUCUCGAGCACACGCAACGGCGUGCCACUGCCUUCCCCAUCCUUGCCGCGCGCGUGGAGCUGGCCUGGCACGCCGCGACCGGUGCGGCCGCAAAUGGCGUCCCCGACACCGGACAUCCACGCUGGCGGCAGCGGCGCGUCGGUUCGGCCGGCGGUGGUAGAUUCGAUGAAGUGUGCGUCGGAAAUUUUGAGGACGAGCAGUUCGGGGGAUUGGGGAAGGACUGGACUCGCGCAUAUAUGCGGGGCGACUGAGGUGUUUUUGGCGUCCGCACAUUUUUACGGGAAGGAUUGGGGAGUUGUUGGAGGUAAAUUUUUUUAUUUUUCCCCUGAAUAAGGUUUUGGGGCAAUUUUAAGGGAGCUUUUGGAGUUGCUCUUAGAGGGAAGAAUGUGAAACACAGAUAAAGCCUUUGGAGUUGCUCUCCGAGGGAAGAAUGUGAAACACAGAUAAAGCCUUGAUGGUUAUUAAUUGUUAAUACCACCACAACUAUGACUUGGAACUAUUGACCAAAUCAAAUGAGAUAUGUACAAUAAUGAUUUGAUGACGUCUGUCAAUCACAGAUAGAUUUUGAUGUACAUUAGUCAAAUGGCCGUGCAUUGCAUCAUACCCUAAAUCUAGAUGACACCGCAAGUAUAAAUUCUAUGGAAUUAAUCCAACUCAAGAAUAUAAAAUAUGUACCUUUUGAGUAUUUCAUGUAGACUUGUCAUGUAUUGAAAUCAAUUUCCAAAAAUGUGUCAUGCAAAUUUGACACUGGGCCACCAGCCAGCCCUACCACCUUCCUCAUAUAUAACCGGGACUUUCAUGCCACCUGCCAGUCACCACCUCUUUUCUAAAGUUCUCCGAUUAGCUGCCACCAUUGAUGCCAAUCUCAAUUGGAAGGCCAAAAAAUGGGCUGCAACAUGCCAACAAUAGCUAAUAUAGCUCAAAGUAAUAUUUUUCAACCAAACACAUGUUGAAGAUACAUGGAGGUGCAACGCGAGGAAAGCUAUGAAUUGGAUGAAGAAUCAUACAAAGUAAUCAGUUAUUGGAUCGGAGUCUAUCGCAACAAGAUAAUAUAGAGUAUCUAUGUGUAGACAUUAUGUCAGAAAAUGAACAAAUGCAAGAGAUAGCAUAUCAAAUUAAGAUAAACAAUUUUGACAUGAUCAGCUAUAAAUCCACUAACUUCGAUACUUCUUAUAUUUCUUUCAAAUACUUAUGCCUCUUCAAAUUAUUAGUCCAUUCAUGAGCAUGGCUUAAUGGACUAGGGUGAGAUAAUCAUACCUUCUUGAGAAACAAAAUACAGACGUGGAUGCUCAUACACAAGCACUCACACCUUGAAUAUGGACACAUGUGACAAACAAUAACUUUGCAACCUUUCAUAUUAUUGUAUAUUAUUUAUGUACUUUCCUCCAUUGAGUCAAAUAUAAACCUGGACUGUGCAUACUUAAGCUGGAACAAUAAGAAAGCACCUAAGAGAGCCAUCUCUAUUGUUUUGUAUUGCCAAGAUAAUGGUCCAUGAUGCAAAUAUCUUUCUCUUUUAUUUGCAAAUCUAUUAAGAAAACCACAAUAAUUAAAAAUCUAAGAGUUUUCUCUAUCUUUCUCUAUUCUUUGUAUGAAUAAAAACAUUUAAAAUUAUCUCCUUUAGAACAACGAAAAAUUCUUAUUCAUGUGUUUAAUAAAUAUAUGGUGGCUUUAUAUGGUAACAACUUCAAUACCCAAUCAACAUUAUUUACAAAAGGUGGGGAACAAAAUUUUCCAACCUAGUUUAGACAUUUCUGAAGAACAUCAACAAUUUAUUACCUGAUUUAACAACGUUUCAAAUGUCAAUGGCUUAUGAUAAAGUGCAUAAUUGUUGGAAUAUGUAGCCCUGGUUCAGUUUCACAUUUAAGAGGGGGUUUACGUACCUACCGGAACUAAAGACCGUUUCUGUACUGGUGACUGUCUUUGCCCAUGCAUACGUAAGGGCUAGCUUCGUCAAAACACAUAUGACAAUCCAAUUGGAUUUCAAUAGGAACACAUUCAUUCCUGUUGGAAAAUUAGGCAAUUGUAUGAUUAAAUUCCGAACUAUAUUUCUUAUAUUUCUUAUAGCAAGAAUAAAACCUAGCAUGCAAAUCUCUAACAUACUAGGUAACAGCAAGCACAACAUCAUGUUCUCAUAAAACAUGCUGAAGUAAGAUCAGAUCACGGCGUACAUACUUUGCGGGUGCAGCUGUGAUGGGAAGCGGUGCCGACGGAACGACGACGGUAUUGCGGAUGGAGUGCAGUAGACAACGCUGAAGACGACGAGCCGCCGCAACGCCGGACUUGGACGGAAGACGAGCCGUGGUGAAGACCUUGAGCAGUCACGCUGAACGCUUCCCAAAAACCUUAUUCGCCCUCUCCCGGUGCAGGAUCACAAGAGCGAGAGGUUCCGGAGACCUACUCUCCCGUUCGUCGGUGCACGCCGACACUCGGGAUGGAGUAGAUUACGGUGGCGGCGCAACAGCGAGAAGAGACAAAAACCUAACUAGUACAGACCACCUUAGGGAUACCCUAACCUGGGGGCCUUCCCGUAUAGUAGUCUAUAUUGCGCCUUUUCCAUGAGGGAGGUGGUCCAUAUAUAUAGGGAGGAAAAGUCUCAACACCCUCAUCUAUUAGUAAUAUGGGACUAAUAGAUGGUGUACCCCCUCUUUACGCUAAUGGACCUUUGAGAUUUAUUCAGAAUUAUCAUUUAUAUGGGCCAAGCCCAUAUAUCUAACAAUCCCCCACCAGAUCUCAAAUACCCAUUUAGGUGUUUUGCACAUUUCUCACUAUUGUUUGAUAUACCAGUAUUUCAGCAAGGACUGUUAAGUUGAACUCUCGCCUAGAGCUUCAAGCUACAUUCAUCCACAACUUGAACAAUGGACUAAUCCUUGAAUUGCAAGUUUUGUGCGGACAAGUUUCACUCAAAAUCGGAACUAGUACCUGGCUGCCAGUAGCCUACCCCGCGGGUGGAGCAUAUACGUCAUACUCCCUAGUCUCUUCAUGAGCUUACUAGAGAUCACCCAAAUCUCAUAAACUGCGACGUUUUACAGUCGAGCUCAUAUAGGUGUGUUCUUUCAAGAAUGCUCUGUAGGACAGCAUCUUCGCUUAACCAAGCCAACAGAAACACAUUAAGGCAUAUUGCCAUCCUGCCUUACAGCACACAUGCCUUGCAGCAUAUCUGCCUCAACAUUUGAGAGUAUUGCAUCUUCACAUAGAGAGGGUUUAAAAAAUUACUCUCCUCAGUCAACCGAUAGCUUGUUCUUCCCAGAUCCUAAUUCACGGGAUCUCUGAUCACAUAGGUUGGGUUACUACUACAGCAACUCAAACGGGUCUCAUACCCAUCUCCCUCGAUGCACCUUCUAUCACAUUCCGUGAUAGCCCUUUUGUAAAGGGAUCUGCCAGGUUUCCAUCUGUUUGAAUAUAAGUCACACUUAUUACUCCGGAGUUUCUCAGUUUCCUAACAGACUUCAACCAUCUCUUGAUAUGUCUUGAUGACUUCGCAUUAUCCUUAGCACUGUUCACUUUGACUAUCACCGUUUGAUUGUCACAGUUGAUAAGGAUUGCCGGCACUGGUUUAUCAACAACAGACAAGUCCAUCAAGAGUUCAUGCAGCCACUUUGCCUCAACAGUGGUUGUUUCCAAAGCAGUAAGCUCCACUUCCAUGGUUGACUUCGUCAAAAUGGUCUGUUUACAAGACCUCCAUGAUAUCACACCACCUCCAAGGGUAAACACAUACCCACUCGUGGCAUAUAGUUCAUCAGCGUUUGAUAACCAGUUCGAAGCACUAUAUCCCUCAAGCGCAGCAGGGUGUCCAGAAUAGUGAAUCCCAUAGCUCAUUGUACCCACCAAGUAGUGCAUAACCCUUUCAAGUGCAUGCCAAUGAUCAAUGCCUGGGUUUGACAUGAACCUGCUCAAUUUGCUCACAGCAAAGGAUAUAUCGGGUCUUGUUGCACUAGCUAAGUACAUGAGUGAACCGAUUAUCUGAGAGUAUCUCAGUUGGUCUUUCGCCAUUUUCUUGUUCUUUUUGAGUAUCAUGCUGGGAUCAUAAGGUGUUGGAGAAGACUUACUACCUAUGUAACCAAAACGGUUCAAGACCUUCUCAACAUAAUGAGAUUGUGAAAGAGUAAUCCCAUUCUCAUCCUUAAUCAGCUUGAUGUUCAGAAUAACAUCAGCUUCUCCCAGAUCUUUCAUAUCAAAAUUCAGUGAUAGAAAAGACUUGACCUCAUUGAUCACAUCAAUGUUUGUGCCAAAGAUCAGUAUGUCAUCCACAUACAAGCACAAUAUAACUCCUUCACCCCCACCAUGGCAAUAGUACACGCAUCUAUCAGCCACAUUAAUGACAAAGCCCGCAGAAGUUAAAGUUCUGUCAAACUUAUCAUGCCAUUGUUUAGGUGCUUGUUUCAGGCCAUACAACGAAUUCAACAACUUACACACCUUGUUUUCUUGACCCUUCACCGCAAACCCCUCAGGCUGAUCCAUAUAGAUCUCCUCUUCCAACUCUCCAUUUAGGAAAGCUAUCUUUACAUCCAUCUGGUGGAUGAUAAGACUAUACGAGGCAGCCAGAGAGAGUAGUGCUCGAAUAGAGGUCAGUCUAGCAACAGGUGAAUAUGUAUCAAAGAAGUCUUCACCUUCCUUUUGUGUGUAACCUUUGGCCACAAGCCUAGCCUUGUACUUGUCAAUAGUAUCAUCAGGCCUAAGCUUCUUCUUAAACACCCAUUUACAUCCCACUGGUUUGCAGCCAUAGGGUCGUUCAGUAAGCUCCCAUGUUCCAUUAGAAAGAAUCGAAUCCAUCUCACUUUGGACAGCUGCUUUCCAAUCAUCUGCAUCUGGAGAUGCAUAUGCCUCAGCAAUGGACGUGGGAGUAUCAUCCACAAGGUACACAGUGAAAUCAUCACCAAAGGAUUUUGCAACCCUUUUUCUCUUGCUCCUUCUAGGAGCUUCACUGUCAUCCUUCUCUAGGACGUCCUCAUGCUCAAACUCAUUUGGUUGUUCAGAAGACUCAACAGGUGCAGGAGUUAUUUCAGCAGAAAGUCUAGAGUUGCUAUUCAUAUCUUUAAGAGGAAAGAUAUUCUCAAAAAAUGCUGCAUCAUGAGAUUCCAUAAUAGUAUCAACAUGCAUAUCAGGGACCUCAGAUUUAACUACUAAACAUCUAUAAGCAAUGCUCCUCUAUGCAUAUCCUAGAAAGACACAAUUCACUAUCUUGGGUCCUAACUUGGGUUUCUUCGGAAUUGGUAUAUUGACUUUUGCCAAACACCCCCAAGUACGCAAAUAAGAAAGUGAUGGUUUUCUCCCGAUCCACAUCUCAUAUGAAGUUUGAUCUUUGUUCUUGUUCGGAACUCUAUUCAAGACAUGACAUAAAGUCAAUAGAGCCUCCCCCCACCAUGCCUUAGAUAAACCAGCAGUAUCUAACAUGGAAUUAACCAAGUCAGUCAGUGUGCGGUUUUUUCUCUCAGCAACCCCGUUGGACUCGGGCGAAUAGGGAGGCGUCCUCUCAUGAAUAAUGCCAUGUUCCUCAUAGAAUUCAUCAGAAACUUUUGGAAAAUACUCACCACCACGAUCAGACCUUAGACGCUUGAUUUUUCUCUCAAGUUGGUUCUCAACCUCAGCCUUAUAAAUUUAAAGUAGUCUAAUGCUUCAUCCUUAGUUUGCAACAAAUAAAUGUAGCAAAAUCUAGUCGCAUCAUCAAUCAAAGUUAUGAAAUAUCUCUUUCCACCUUUUGUCAACACACCAUUCAUCUCGUACAAAUCAAAAUGUAUGAGUUCUAGAGGUGCCGAGUGUGUCUCCUCAGCCACCUUGUGAGGCUUCUGAGGUUGUUUUGAUUGCACACAACUCUGGCACUUGGAACCUUUGGCAAUGGUGAAGUUCGGAAUUAAACACAUGCUGGAUAGCCAAGACAUUAAACCAAAAUUUAUAUGACACAAACGUGAAUGCCAAGUACUUGCACCAUCACUUACGUUGCCACAAAUAUGGUUCACUGAUUUAUUACAGAAAUCUGCAAGGGAAAAGCGGAACAAGCCUCCGCACUCAUAGCCUUUACUAAUGAAUUUUCCAUGUUUAGACAUGACUAAUUUAUUGGAUUCUAGCACUACCUUAAACCCGUCCUUGCAUAGAACCGACCCGCUCACUAAAUUCUUGUUGAUAGUAGGGGCAUGCUGCACGUUCCUUAGCCGCACGAUCUUUUUCGAAGUAAACUUUAGAUCUACCGUACCAACACCAUCAACAACAGCAUGUGACCCAUUCCCCAUCAGCACGGAGGAACCCCGGGCGACCUAGUAAGAAGAAAACAUGGAGAUGUCAGCACACACAUGAACAUUGGCACCCGUAUCAAGCCACCAACUAGUGGAAUGAAAAACUGAAAGAACAAUAGGUAAAUUACCGUACCCAUCUCCAGUGUUGCCUAUGGUCACCAUGUUGACAUCCUUGGGCCCAUUUGCCUUUUUGCCCUUGCGGUCUGCACGCUUUGGACAAUCCUUAGAGAAGUGUCCAAGCUCACCACAAGUAAAGCAACUCAUCUUAGCCUUAUUUUUCUUCUUCUUGAAGGUAGUAGUCUUGACGACUUUGUUCUUCCCUUUGUUCUUGCCACGUGGGAAUUUUUGGACCAUGUUGACGCUAGACUGACCUUGGUCUCCUAUCUCAACAGUAUCCUUCUUCCGAGCUUUCUCCUCAACAUCAAGAGACGCUAUCAGAUUUUCAACUGAUAUCUCCUGUCUCCUAUGCUUCAGAGAAGUGGCGAAGUUCCUCCAUGAAGAAGGCAACUUUGCGAUUAUGCAACCAUCCACAAACUUGUCGGGUAAUUGACACUUGAGGAGCUCAAGAUCCUUCACAAUGCACUGCACCUCAUGGUGAACAACCUUCGCAUCUGUCAUGUCUAUGUAAACAUCGACCAGACGGUCAGAUAUGUUGCUGAUGAUACAUCCCACGAAAAGGUUGUUGGCAUCAUCGAACUUUUUCUGCGCUUCAGCAGUAAGUUCGCCUUCAGGUUUGCCAAGCCUCGUGUCCCAGAUGUUCAUAGCAUUAAACCAUAGGCGAACCUUAGAUUUCCAUCUCUUAAAGUUCACACCGGUAAAUUUUUUUGGCCUCAGUGACUCAGCAAAACCAGCCAUACCAGAAUCAACAGAUUGCCUAUAAUAAGGUUUUUGGAUUGUUGGAAAAUUAGGCAAUUGUAUGAUUAAAUUCCGAACUAUAUUUCUUAUAGCAAGAAUAAAACCUAGCAUGCAAAUCUCUAACAUACUAGGUAACAGCAAGCACAACAUCAUGUUCUCAUAAAACAUGCUGAAGUAACAAAUCAAAUCACGGCGUACGUACUUUGCGGGUGCAACCGUGAUGGGAAGCGGUGGCCGACGGAACGACCACGGUGUUGCGGAUGGAGCGCAGUAGACGAUGCUGAAGACGACGAGCCGCCGCAACGCCGGACUUGGACGGAAGACGAGCCGUGGUGAAGACCUUGAGCAGUCGCGCUGAACGCUUCCCAAAAACCUUAUUCGCCCUCUUCCGGUGCAUGAUCACAAGAGCGAGAGGUUCCGGAGACCUGCUCUCCCGUUCGUCGGUGCACGCCGACACUCGGGAUGGAGUAGAUUACGGUGGCGGCGCAACAACGAGAAGAGGCAAAAACCUAACUAGUACAGACCACCUUAGGGAUACCCUAACCUGGGAGCCUUCCCGUAUAGUAGUCUAUAUUGCGUCUUUUCCAUGAGGGAGGUGGUCCAUAUAUAUAGGGAGGAAAAGCUCCAACACCCUCAUCUAUUAGCAAUAUGGGACUAAUAGAUGGUGUACCCCCUCUUUACGCUAAUGGGUCUUUGAGAUUUAUUCAGAAUUAUCAUUUAUAUGGACCAAGCCCAUAUAUCUAACAAUUCCAUUAUCUAGCUGGGACCAAAACGUAGGUGAGCUGGGACACUCAUGACAAAGCAUGGGUUAUUUGAUUUGAAGAAUCACCUCAUGCAUUUUAUACGGAGCAUUCGGUUGAUUCCAUCAAUUUUAGUUGGAUGACUCCGUCGCUAGGCAUGAGGUGGUGACAAAUAGAAAUAUGAAGAGUGAAAAGGUGAUGCAUCACCGUAUUUCUGGGGCCAAACACCCCCUAGCUUUUCGAAGUUGUUUGCCUGAAAAUGAUAUGUUCCGCUCCAAAUGAUAGUGUCACUUUGAUCGAGUCUAGGACCUGUUCUUUAGUACAUUCGAGGCAAAUGUAUCCAAUUCGAGUUUAAUUAGCUUUAGUAUAUUUUAGUACUAAUCUGACUCUUCCAUCAGGACCUCAUCUGAUAUUAAACCAUGAAUGCUUUGAAUUGGCUAAAUGUUGCUGUAAUAUGGUGGUCAUGUUGCCGCAACCAUAACGCACUCUCAUAGAUAAUUAAUUUCAAGAAAAGAGUCAGGGUAUUAAUUUAAGGUAAGUAUUGGGUGAGAAAAUGUAAAAUUACUGCAAAUUCAUUUUCACUAGGCCCAUAAAUUUUCAAAAACUAUUUUUACAUAAAUGAUGCCAUUAAGCAAGUAUUUAUAUGCACCGUUUCCUUUAGUUAACCACACAGGCCAGAAAAGCCAUCAUCAUCCAUCCACCAUUUCCCUCAGCGCCAAACACACCCACACGCCAGCCCAUGUGAGGUCAGCCCAUGUCAGCCUAAAGCUCAAGUCUCUGAUAGCUAAAGUCAGACAACUUAAACUAUGGAUGUUUCUGUUCUACUAAAAUCACUGCCGUUAACCUGCCUUCCCGGUGCUUAGCAGCGGUGAUCAUGAUGAGUGAGCCUCUACCACCACAAAAUCAGUGUUAUAUCCAUGAGAAAAAAUAUUCGAGCAAGGAGGAAAAUAUGCUCAAGCUAGAAUAAAAGUGUUCGAGCCAGAAGAAAAGAAUGUUCUAUGGAGCGAAAAAAUAUUCCAUCAAAAAAAUAAAAUGGUAAUCACAGACGGUUCCAUAAGCGGACUGCUUGUGGUAAUGUAGCACGCAAAAAAAUAAAAAAGAAAAAGAAUUCAAACACCUGCAGAGCAUGCAGUUUUUCGUGCAAAAUACGCACGCAUGCGAUCUCUAGGACAGUAGGACUUGAACCUAGGACCACUGACCUAGCAUGAACCCUCCAUACUAUCCCAUGAAAAGUUGCUGCUAAUGGCAAUAGAAUAAAUUUUCUUUCGAGAUUUGUGGAAAAUUCCCAUAAGAAACGACAUGUGAAAAAUGACAUUUUCAUAGGUGUUCACGUGAAAAUGGUCUCAUUUCCUUUAUAUUUUUAGUUAUGUUGGGUGUGGAAAUGAAAUUUGGGUCUGUCUCCUUGCCAAAUUUGAGAUUUCCUUUUCUCUCGAUCACUUCUUAAAACCAUUAGAUCUACAUCCAAGGGUCCAUAUCCAUCAUUUCUUUCCUUCUCUAUUCUUUCUAUUUCUCCCAUCGUCUUCCUCCCGACAUCUUCCUCGCGCGACGCCCCCGCCACCACCACCUCCCGCUCGGCUCCGGCAGCCUCGGCCACCUCUACCGCCCAACACUAAUCCGCUUGGCCCAUACUCCCCCGCUGCAUCCGCCGCCCACCGGGGAUCCCCUACUGCCCGGCUCCGGUGGCGCCCACGCUGACUCCGCUCCACCGCCAUCUCUCCCACCUCCAUUGCCGGCCAACGAGCCUCCCCGGAGCUCCCUCUAGACCCAAAGGCCACAGGUAAAUCCCCCACCCCUGAACCCCAAACCUUAACCUCAAAUUCCAAUAUCCAAUUCAAUUUCUAGUAUAAGGUUGGGUGAUUGAGAGCUUAGCUAAAAAUCAAGCAUUUGAGGAGUAGCAAAUCUGAUGAAAUUUUGGGAGGGAUAUACCAUGUCCAUCCCCAUCUCUUAUAAAUUUGUAAACAUCUCCUUAUAAACCUAGUGAGAAUGUUAAAAACAAUCAUAAAAUCACAUAUAAUUAAUAACUUAAGCAUACCAUUUUUCCACUUGAAUGCAUUUUUUGUUCCAUAUAAACAAAUUUUUGUUCCAGUUAAAAAGACAAAGCUGAGGAAGGGGUAGAAUUUUUGUGCCUGUUUCCAAAUGUGUAGAUGUUUCCAAAAGACAAAGAUGUUUCCUAAUAUAUCUACCGUGCGCGUGCCUGUUCCAGUUAAUAUAUCUUCCCGGUAUAUAUAUUAGGAAACAUCUACACAUUUGGAAUAGGCACGCGCACGGUGGCCUGCAGCCACAGAUCGCUCUUCCUCCUCGCCGUGAUCCCAAGCCCCUCGGCCAUGUCCAGCUCCUCCGGCGCAGCGCCUCCGGGGAGCUCCCAGUCGAAGUGGAAGAGGAGGCUGGCGAGGCCGAGCUCCAUGACGGCGAGUCCAAGCGCUAUGCCCGGGCAGAUCCUCCGGCCCGCGCCGAACGGCACGAAUUCGAAGUCCGUGCCCCUGAAGUCCACCCCCGCCCUGGCGCCGCCGUCCUCGAACCUCUCUGGCCGGAACUCCUCGGCGUCGGGGCCCCAGCUCGCGGCGUCCCUGCCGAUCGCCCACGCGUUGACCAGCACCAUGGCGCCCCCGGGCACGUCGUAGCCGAGGACGCCGCGCGUCUCCUCCUGGCACUCCCUCGGGAGGAGCAGCGGCACCGCGGCGUGCAGGCGCAGCGUCUCCUUCAGGACGAGCUGCAGGUAGCGCAGCUCCGGCAGCGCGUCCUCCGACACGCGGCGCUCCCCGGCGAGCACGCGGCGCACCUCGGCCUGCGCCUUGCGCAGCGCCGCCGGGUGACGCAUCAGCUCUGCCAUGGCCCACUGCAGAGUCGUCGCCGUCGUCUCGCUCCCCGCACCGAAAAGAUCCUUCGCGGCAUCCGAAAGAUACAAUCUUGUCAAUUUCGUCAGGUGUCGAACACACAGCAGAAUGGAACAUAGUUUCGUCAAGUGGCGACUUGGGGAGCUUACGAUGAUCACGGCGCGUAUGGUGCCAAUGUCGAGGGGAACCUGCAGGCCGCCGUCCUUCUGGAUCCUGAGGAGCACGUCGAGGAGGUCUUCCUCCUCGUUGCCGGCGCCGGCCGCCCUCCUCUUCCUGUGCUCUUCGAUGACGCCGUCCAUGAGCCGGGUCAUCUCGCGGUGGUGCGCCCGCGCGCGGCGCGCCGCCCCGCUGAACGCGCGCGCGAGCCGUGAUGACGGGAACACGUCGGCGAGGCUGAACCCGGCGGCCACCUUGACGCCCUCGUCCAGCUUCUCCAUGAACGCAUCCCGGUCCCUGAUCCGGUCGCCCACCACGGCACGCACGAUCGCAUCCGUGACGUACGUGGCGAUGAGGGCGCUGACGUUCACGGGCUUGGGCGGCGCCGGCGCUGACGACAGCGAUGCGACGACGGACACGACGAGGUUGGCGGCCUCAGCCUCGCGCCCGCGGCGGAGAGAUCUGACCCGCCGCGCGCUGAGCAGCUCGGUGACACAGAGCUUGCGGAGCUGGCGCCAGUGCUCGCCAUGCGGCGCGAACGCGACGCCGAGCCCAUCGCGGGUGAGCUCCCGGAGGGUGGCGGUCCGGGGCCGCGUCGCGAACGCGGCGUCGUGGGUCCUCAUGACCUCUCGCGCGGCGCCGGGCGAGGACGCCACGACGACGGGGAGCUCGCCCAGGCGGAGCAGCAUGAGCGGGCCGUGCCGCCGGGCCAGGUCACGCAUGGCGCGGUGCGGGAGCGCGCCCACGAGGUGGUGCAGGCUGCCGGUCACCGGCAGCCGCCAUGGCCCAGGAGGCAGGUUCUUGCCGCGGUUGCAUCGCCGGAGCUUGACAGCGAGGAGAGGCAGCAGCAAGAUCACGAUCAAGGAGAUGUAAUGGUAGGAGGAUUGGAGUUCUUGGUCCAUGAUUGCGGUUGCAUCUCUGCUUGUUCCUCAAGGUUAUUGUAAUAGUACUAGUACACUAGUUCUCACGAAAAAACGAAAAAAAAAUCAAGUGCAGUGCUGUGGUUGGCAAAAUAAAACGUUCUAUGAGUUGAAAUGCGGUGUGGACUGGCAUUUUUUAGGCGAUCAGAUGGAUGGCGAGCGAAUUAUAGUAUGGAGAUUUGUGUUCAGAUCUAGAAGCAGUGAAUGGUCGAAGUCCAUGGAGAUGAGUAGAUGACAGAACAACGCCGAAUGAAAAUACAUAUUGUUUAUUAUGCGAUGAUCCCUGCAAGAUGAUUACAAGGAGUGUGCAAGUAUAGAGAAUUAGCCACGUCCUCAAAUCCCUAAAUAAAAACAUUUUGAUCAUCUUUUCUCAGUAUAGGGAGCUUGAUGGAGACAAUCACAAUUCAGUAUUAUAAUUUAUAACAAAAUGGUACAUGAAUUUUUCUACUCACUCAGAUUAUGCUCACUUAUAUAACUAGAGCAACUAUGACGAUUUACACAGAAUCCUAAAAAACACCUAUCCCAAAAACCAUGAACCAUGUCUUUUAUUUCAUUAUCUUUCUCUUGGUCUGAAUAAGUUUUUCCUCUCAGUUUCAGGACCUUCUGGAAUCAGGCCCAAGCUUGACCCAUAAAUUUCUGCAGCAGUAUUCUCCAUUCUCCAACAACAUGUAGGUUAGAAUAUGUCUGGAUUGCGAUGCCUGUAGGUGUUGCUGCAUUGUUUCGCUUGCUGAAGAUGAAAUGACAAGGCGUAGUUCUUCUCCUGGAUAGUACAGAAGAGAUUGUUAGUAGAGAAUGAAAGUUAAGAUUUAUCAUAGCAAAUAUUUCACAAAACCUACCUCUAAUGCCUUUAUUUGCUUCUGGUACUUCUCGAUAAUAUGGUUGAAUUGAGACCGCUCCUGCACCAUCUCCUGAUACUCCUUGAGCCGAUUGUGCUGUAUGAGGAAUGCCCGCUUCAGAACACCGUUCUGGUGAAGCAGGGCUCCCAGCAUCUGCUUCACUAUCUUGUGCUCCUGGAUUCACAACACUAAUUCAGGUGAGCCUGGAAGCAUGGAACCAAGUUUCAGAAUUAAGCCAUGAUAUUUAACUUUAGAUAAUACCUUGUGCACUUUGCCCUGUUCAUCUGGACUAACCCUAGCAGCAGAUUUUUCCAACAGUUUGAGUAUCUUGAGGGAGCGAUUCUUGGCGUCAACCAAAUCUGAAGCAGAGGACAUCUCCUUGACAAUAAGCUCUGCCCAUUCAGAGCCAUUGGUGGGAAUUGCCACUGGCAGAUCAACUGCAAUAGGCAUUCAUGAGGUAAGGUUUAAGCUAACUGAUUUAAAUGAUUAAGAUAACACUUUGUUGGCAUGGAAAUAAAUGUAGCUAAGAAAUUGGCAUCAGUGAGAACUGUUGAUUUUCCUAACUGUGACGAGUCUAAUGAUUGCAUGGUAAAUUGAAACAUAUGCAUAUGUUGCAUACUUUCAGAAAGGACGCCAUCGUCUGCGCCGUCGUUGGAUGUAGCAUAUGUUAUGGAAGAAGUAGAUUCUGAGCUUCUAUCUACCAGGUAAUCUUUGUAUGCUCUAAUUGCAGCUUCCAAAACAUUUCCUGACGCUUGUAAAUGUUCUUCAAGAAUCUGUAAAUUCAAGGAAAAAAGACAUUAAUUAGGUGCCCAGUUCCUAAUCAGUACCAAUUUGCAUGUUACAUAAAACCAAACAUGACUGAACAUAUUCAUUGGUACCAACUGGUCAGAACUCAGGACCUACGCUUGACCGGUUUAUGUUGGUUGGAUGGAUUGAAAUCCGAAUUUUGCAGUCAAGUUUUAUCAGCUAUUAAGGAUCUCACAAAUUCACAAUAAUCGCAGCACGCGCAAAGUCACUGUCGCUCGCUUGCCCUCUGCACUAUCGACGUGUUCUGUGACUGUUCGUCGUGGUUGAUUAGGACUAAUCCACGUAUCAAACCAGAGCACCAACACGAGAGAAGCAGAGCGCGAGCCAAAUUAACGUUGCUCGAUGCCACGUACGUUGACGUACCUGCGGAUCGGCGCCGGGGAAGAUGAGCUGGAGCGCGGUGACCGGAUCGAACUCCAGCGGGAAGCUGAGGCCUAGGUCGGCGGCGACGGCCGACAUCGAGCACCGGCCGCCGCGCUUUGCCAGGCGAGGCAGGUCGAAGGGGUCGUCGAGGAGGAACUCCGUGCCGCGCUUCCGGGUUGCCACGACGGUCGGCCCCAUGAGGAGGAUGGUAAGGGUGGUAGGGUUCCGGCCGUGGUGCUCGCCGUGAGCUUGGUGGAUUCUUGGAGCGGAGGUAGAAGAGAGCAGAGGCGGCGGGACUGUGCGGCGGGUUUCUGGGUCGCGCGUGGCGUGCACCGUGGAUAUAUAUAUCGGUCGGCGGCGGUUGGGUCGGGCGAAGGCGAAGCCUUGGAGGACACGGCCGGGUUACCGCGUGAUGGGACACCGACUCGAUCGCGACCGUCCCCAAUAUAGACCGGGUCCCAGCUCGGACUUGCACAGGGAAAUCGGACUCAUCCUCGUGCACAUCUUCGGCGGUUCUUCUCUUUCCCAAAAGACGGCUAGUAUUCGAAAGAAUUUGCUCAGCAGUCCUUUAAUAAUUUUUUCUUUCCUUAAUGAUUUUUGUUUCGUCCUAAUGAUUAGCACUAAUUCCUCUAAAUGGAGGGGUUGUGGCACCUGAAAAAUAUCGUGCGUCUUAUUUUUUUAUAUGUUGAAUUCUACCGCCUGCGUUGCCACUCCUUGUCCUGCCAGUAGCCGUCCCCUUCUAUCCGUGCAAGAGGCUCUUCAUGUAGGUUGUUGGUACCGUCGUAGCUCCAUCUGAGGAGGGAGCGAGGGACCCUCGCUAGGGAUGAAAGCGGUCGGGAAAACACUCUAAGUACUUUCGUUACUGUAUUUUUUUCGGGAACAAGAACAGGAGCAGGGAUGUUAGUUGGGAAAGCGAAAUCAGUUACACAGGAUGUCAGAAAUGAAACUAUUUGAUUGGAAACAUGUUGAUAACGGGCUGAAACCGGUAAUUCAAAUCGGGAAGAUCAGCACCAAUGCGCAGAGAAGCUAUAAAGGAAGCACCAUGAAUUUUCCUAUCAUGUUUUCAUCCCUAGCCCUCGCUGCCAAGCUAUUGCCAAAGGUUGGCUGGGCGCCAUCACUGCCCUUGUGCCUACUUACAGUGCCUAGCCGUGUUCGUUUAAUCAUCCGUUUAGCCAGUUUAAUGACCGUGUAAACAAUUUAAUUGUCAUUUAGUUCGAAUAAAGAGCUAAAUGGUAGAUGACCGACGGUUUAACGUUUAGCGUUUCAGAUAACAUUGCUUACAUCAGUUCUGUGCGUGCUCGAGGUACUUAGGGGGAUAUGAUGCCGUUAUGGCCUAGUUUAUUUUCAUGGUCUAUGUCUUGUUACUGAUAAUAUUCAAGCUUGUAAACAUCAUUCUGUCCCUCUUUUUAACAUGAAAGAUAAAAAAACAAGUACCUUCUUUGUGCAUCCUUAAACCUCUUAAAUAAACUUUUAGCACAAAAAACUUAUGGGUGUUUGUUAGAUCUUCAAAACGGAUGAAGAUAUCUGUAUUAUCCUAUUUAUAUAGGGCAAUUGUAUGCAAGUAUAGAUAUAUUCAAAUCCAAUUUCCCAAUUAUGGAUAUUGAUAGUAUCUAUAUUCAAAUAUGUAGAAAUAUUUCUCUAGAAUAUAAAUGGGAGUAACGAAGUUCUAGAUAUUUUCUCUUGUUCUUUCACUCUGUUUAUAUGCUAUCUAUUAUUUUAUAGUUGGGUAUUGUACUACAUAAACUGUAGGGAUAAAUCUGGCUAUUUAAUUUCACGAUCUAAAAUCAUCUUAAAACCUUGGUAUUGUAGCAAAAGUGGCUCACUACCACGUGACAGACGACAAUCCACUUAAAAUGAGAUUCCCUAUGUUGAAUCUAUGUCAUCAUGGUGUCAAAUAAAUUUGUUAUUUCAAAAUUUAUUUUUAGAGUGGUAGAAUAUUGACAUACAAACAGAAUCCAAUAUAUGUGGGUAUGGAUCCGAAUUCAAACAAUUCAAUUGAUAUUCACAUUUGAUUUGUACCAUAUUUGUGUAAAAACAUAGUUAGCAACAUGGAAAGCGGACUAUUUGAUUCGAAUAAAUCAACAGUAUUUAUCGUAAACGUCUUUAGAUGGCUAGCUAUAUUUACAUAAUUUACCAUUGAAUUGACAAUAUUUUCUGACCACACAUUGUGUUAGUCAACAUCAUGACAAUUUAGUUAGCGGAUGCAACCACUCCCCUCCCGACUUUUCCAUUUUAGUGAUUUUUCCUUUUGAUAACUUUUCAGUUUUAGAAACUUUUCAGAUAAAUUUCUAAAAAAACUUCGGUAACGCUAAGCUGAAGACGUCGGGACGCUUCAGGAAAUAUCGGACGUGGUCCCACCUCUUGAUUAUAUAAAAAAGAAAUUCAUCUUAUCCUCUCACCCAUCUACUCCCACAUCACUGUUCAUUCUUCUCUCCACCUAUCUCUCUUCCGUGCGUGCGUCUGGUGUCUCCACUGAUAUUCCUCCCCCAAAUCAAGUGACCAGUGCGCGAUGGAUGAGACAGAGGGCAACGAGGUGGUGGAAGGGGAUGAGGUAGCGGAGGGUGGCAGCUUGGACGGAGAUGUCGAUGCCCGUGCUGGGCGGCGGUGGGGAUGGAGAUGCUGAUGGCUGUGCUCGGCGGUGGCGGGGACGGAGAUGCCGACAUCCGUGCUGGCAGCGGUGGCGAAGAAGAUCGCUAUUGGUGCGAUGCCGCGCUCCCCUUUCCCUGACACAGGGACCUCCCAUGUGCUCCCUCCCUCCAUCCUUCUUCAUCAGGAACAAAUCGCGGGGGAGCCGAAGUUAGCUCCGGGCAAAUUCCAUCUUCCACAUGUUGCAUGUCCAGUUCCCCAUGACUGGGUAAGGCGUUAUUAGUGAUGUUGCAAUAACUAAAUCAUGAUGCUCUGCUUAUUGUUUCUCCAUGUUGCAACAUGAGAUGUUUGGAUGUUACAAUAUUUGAGAUUUUUGGAUGUUGUAAUUGAUGAUUCUCGUGUUGCAGCAACUGAUGGCCAUAGGAGCCUAGAUCUGAAGAUAGCCUUCCCGACUGACAUGUUUGUAACGACCCUGGUCAAAUCUUUCAAGUUAAUCUUAAUCCGAGUCCCUAAUCCCGCUGACUCAGCUCCCCGAGCUUAAGUGCUCAACCUCCAGUUCCGGUCCCGUCCCCUGAGAACUCGACCCCUUUCCGCCGGUUCCCAGCUCCGACCCCUGAAGACCUCCAACCCACCCCGCCGGAUCCUUCAAAGUCUCACCAACAAUGUCUCCUUUCAAUCUGGAGCAGAGGAUAAACCGAGACUGACCAGUGGACCCGCAAAUCUUUUCCCCGAUCUCCCAGUGCAGACGCACUCGAGUAGCAUGCCCGCUCCAGAGCUUCUCCGCCGCGUGGCUCAACUCCUCCGACCCCCGUCGCUCCGCCCAGUCGCCGGCCGCGACCGGACCCCAGCCGUGACAGUUCCUUUUCCGCCUUGCCAGAGGUGUGCCCGGCAAACCGCUGCUUCGCGCUCGCCCGCGCAGCCGCAGCCCGCUUGUCUUUUCACCUGUGCAACCUCGCUUAUAGCGUCGUUCCCCCUGUCACACCCAUCAGAUCCGCCGCUCGACGACGCCCGCCUCCGCCAAACCGCAACCACCGGCAAAACCGCGCCUGCGCCGCCUUGUCUCCAGUGCCCAAUGGCCGAAGACGCUAUCUCCGAAGUCCUGUUCCGCCGCCCAUCGCCGCUCAAUCGCCGCCAUGGCAGCACACUCCAUCUUCUUUCUUCCCGGUCUUCGUGCUGCUCCAACUCUCUCUCUCUUCCACGUAGCUAUAAAAGGGAAUGCCGGAGUCCCACCGGAGUUCCUUCGCCUUUGCUGUUUCACCGCCCUUACUCUGAGCACACUUGAGAAAAUCCCGCUGAACCUCUUGAGAGUUCCCCUUCUCCGCUCAACACCCUCACCUCCCAAUCCACCCAGCCGCCUGCUCCUCCGCGCAGUGCUAGAGCUUCCUUGCUGCUCACAAGAAGCUCCACCGCCGCCGGAGCACCGCCGGACAUCGCCGCUGCCCAAGUCUUAGUGCUUCAGUCCUUCCACCCGAGUCUACUCCUUCCCGACCCCAAAGCUUCACCUAUAAACCGAAGGUAAGCUGCCGACCCCUUUUCCGUCUCGCCCGACCCUAUCUGUCCGCCCGACCCCUUCUCCGUCUCGCCCGACCCUGUCUGUUUCACCGACCCUUUUCCGCCUCGCCCGAGGACUCGGCUGUAUCCUUUUUCCUUGACCCGAGGGUAUAUGUGUAAAAAUUGGGGAAUUCUCUGCGCUAAGUCUGAGGAUCCCCAGCACAGCUAUUCCUCUACUCUAGGGGUCAGAUCAUAAGUUUCUUCCAAUCUGACCCUUGGUCUUGUUCUCUAUCCACUGAAGCUGGAACCUCCACACUUUUUCCGUAGCUUUGCUACAAGUUUUUGGGCUAAAACUUGCAAGUGUUGCUGUUGAAAUAACCGUCUAAGUGCUAACUCCUGCAUUUGCAUUCGUGUAGAGUUGAAUCUCGCCGACGGUGUCUACGAACUGCAUCCGAUGCCAGAAGACGGAGCAGUAGCUGAGCCGCCGACCGCAGGAGCUGCAGCAGAACCCUCUGAAGACCAGUUCUCCUUCCCUCCGCUUGAAGGCAAGCCCCGGAGCAUGAACCCCAAAUUCCUAAACUUGCAUAUGCCUUCUUCAUCAUGUUUGUGCAUUUACGUCUAGGAGUUGUUGCAACCAUAGAUGCUUGACAUAGUUCCUUUGAUCUGAACACCAGUUUGUUGGACCGAGUAGUUGCUAUGCUUAAAUAGGAAUCGGUAAAAGUCGAGUGAUUUCCUGUCACUCGCGAGUUAUAGGAGUUGGUUGUUUCUCCUUCUACUACAACUAUAAGGACGAUGGACGGGGUAGGGUUUUGGUUAACUCAUUUGGUGGUCGGCUGAUCGCCCCGUCUGUCUAUGAAAUCUGUUAAGGCCCGACAGUGGUGGUGUUCGUGAUCAAGUGUUUGAAAGUACUAACCUCAUACUCAGUAUGGGAUGGGGAAGCCUAGUACCUGAUUGAACCUAGACGUGAGCGGUCGCCCCAUUGUCCUUGGAACGGAGUUCCCCUGCGGCCGCACGUGGUGGCAAGUGUGGUCACAGAACGGUAGAGGCCGGGUCUGUGGAACCUUGCACCAAAGGAAAUGGGCCCGACACGGGUUAGGGAAUUGAUGGGGAAGGCCGACACAGGAAGCAACCCUUGGGGGUGCGCGGAUGUCGUGAGGUUAGGUUCACCAUGCAUGGUUAAAGAACUCGAAUCGAUUCGUCUGCCUCUCACAGUUUGAGACUGCUUGAUCGCUAUGCUACACCGAGUAAGAAAGGAAUCUGAUGAUGACAUGGUCUUGAUGAUGUUUUAUAUACCCUUUGGUUGGAUCUAUGUUUGCUUAGAGUAAGUUGCCAACUUAGACCGGUUAAUGAACUUAGAAUCUGAGCUAAAACUUUGAAAAUAAGGAUCUAUAUAGUGCUUCUGGCAAACAAAACCCUCAGCCAAAGAGCCUUGCAUGUCUAGAAGGGUGGAGUAGUUUUACCACCGGUCGGUUAAGUCUUGUUGAGCUUAGCAGCUCAGCCUUGUUUGUGGCUUUCUUUUCAGGUGAAGUCGCAGCUCCUGAGUCUGCUCCUGUUGGCACUUGGCCGCCCCAACUCCCUCCAGGUUGGACGGUUGAGUGGGAUCCCUCCUCGGACGGCGGGGAAUGGGAUCACUGACGUCUUGGCUGGCCUCACCAAGGACGUCCGACCCUGACGAGUAGCUUCCGCUUGUUUUAUCUUCCGUCUGUUUUCUUCAGAACUUGUAAAACUCUGAUUUUCAACCAAGUGCGUAACAACUUGUAAUCUACUGUUGGACCUGUUGUAUUCUCUGGAACCACUCACCUUCGUGUGGGUUAUGCUAAACUCGGUCCUGUCAAGUGGUUAAAUCGGAUGAAAUCCGAUGGCACCUCGAGUUAGCACGACUAAGGCAUGAUUAUCGCAUCUUAAGCGACUUAACCAUGCUUUAGUUGAGUUAAUCCGAGGUGGUUCCGCCACAAUGUUGCAAUAGGUAUCUCAUGAUGUUGUAGUAGGGAUUCUUGGAUGUUGCAAGCACCGUAGAUGUGCACGGGUGUUGCGAAUGAAUGUAUCAUCUGAUGUUGCAUGAUUGAUUCUUCAAAGAUAUUUUGAUGUUGCAAUAGUUGACUUUGAUGUUUCAUCUGUCGAUUUUUCAUGUUGCAAUAUUUCUUCCCGUAUGAGCUCAACCCCAACUCAACAUAUGAUGAUUUGUUUGGAAAUGUUGCAUGAAAUAUGUGUUCGAUGUUGCGGUGGGAAUUUUCCCUCACGAAUAUUAUGUUUACAUUGAGCUAUUUUUUUCGCAUCUUUUUCAUGUUGCAACUAUAGAUUUUCGAUGUUGCAGCUAUUUUGUUUUGAUGUUGCAACGGAAUGUCGGAUAAUUAGUGGUAUUUAUUAUGGUACUACUAUAGCCGUUAGAUUUAAAACGGAUGGUGAUGCAUGCGUCCGACGGGAGUUGCUCCGUAUCAUCUGAUGUUGCAUGAUUGAUUCUUCUGAGAUAUUUUGAUGUUGCAAUAGUUGGCUUUUGAUGUUUCAUCUGUCGAUUUUUUAUGUUGCAAUAUUUCUUCCUGUACGAGCUCAACCCCAACUCAACAUAUGAUGAUUUGUUUGGAAAUGUUGCAUGAAAUAUGUGUUCGAUGUUGCGGUGGGAAUUUUCCCUCACGAAUAUUAUGUUUACAUUGAGCUAUUUUUUUCGCAUCUUUUUUAUGUUGCAACCAUAGAUUUUCGAUGUUGCAGCUAUUUUGUUUUGAUGUUGCAACGGAAUGUCGGAUAAUUAGUGGUAUUUAUUAUGGUACUACUGUAGCCGUCGGAUUUAAAACGGAUGGUGAUGUAUGCGUCCGACGGGAGUUGCUCCCGCCGGACGUCCGGGCACUAGCAAGCCCGACUAAGAACUUUAAGGAAGCUUUCUAGGGGGGAGAAUUUCCCAAUUAGUAAACUAUUUUAGGAAUGCUUUUAGAAAAAAAUCUUCAAAUAAGUUGUCAGGGUAGUUUUUUCAAAAUAAGUUUUGCAAAAAUUUCUUCAAAUAACCUUUUCACGUAGGUCCCACCCACACGAAAAAAGGAAAGUAAGUGGGAUAGCGGAUCGUAUGCUUUAAACCCAUGCUCGAAAAGCUAAUACCACGGCGCAUUGUGGCCUAAAGAAAGGGACUAAAAGGAAACCGGUUGCCCUCGCUCCUUACAUUUCCUACACACACACCACUUCUUUCUUGCCUAUCUGCCAUGAUGCACAACAUUGCCAAAACAUAUCGUCCCACUGUUUCAAUAGCUCAGAUCACUCACCUCUCUCUACUAGAACAUGGAAGCGCUUGCCAUGUCGAAGAGGAUGGGCGGGGCCAUGACUGCUUGAAGGAAGUCGACAGUGCAACACCGACCCAUAUUGAGGAGGAUCCUUUACUUGUUGCUCUAGACUACAAAAGAGUGGUUGUGCACAAGCCACAUCAAGCAACACUGUUAGAGAAGACUACAAAAGAGUGGUUGUGCACAAGCCACAUCAAGCAACGCUGUUAGAGAAGAAGGUUAACUUCAACCUUUAAUUUGUUCAAAUUUUCCUUCUCAUUAGAAAUUUCCAUCUUGAGUUAGAUUUUUAGUAGAUUUUCUUCAAUCAUUUUUUAAAAUGAAUGGUGGAAGAGGAAUGGGGAAAGGACGAAGGAAUAAGGAGUCAUUUCCUUGUCUCUUUAAAAAAAUUGCUAGGAAGUGCGUAAUAGGAUCUCGUUUAGUGCAACUUUCUGCAUUUCCCAGAUUAGACACGCAUCAUGACUAUUGGUUUUCCUCCUCUUGCCACUGGGGAACCAAAUUGUCUUGCAUUAGAUUCUGUUCAAAAUGUAUUUGUCCAUUACUGUUUCUCACUAAUUUCCUCAGUUUGAUUUGAUUUGCAUUGCUAUUACAAGCCAAUGGACACAAUAAUCUUGUUGUGGAUUAGACCCUGUAAUGCAAUGAUGUUGUGUAUGUAUUGAAAAGAUAUUCCUCCAUUAAUUGUGACACACAAAAUGAAUAUUUUAGAUUAUGAGAAAUAUACACUAAUAGAUAUAAGGUAUAGAUAUAGAUGUAGAUGUAGAUGUAGAUGUAGAUGUAGAUGUAGAUAUAGAUAUAGAUAUGAACAGAUAGAGUACGUGUCUAUAACAUGCUAUACUCGUAGUUCUUUUUGGUCUGCAGCAGCACAAGCUAAUUUCCAUUUAAAAAUAUGGAACUAUCUGUUUAUCUAUUGCAUAUUUCAUGAAGUGAAAUAUAUCUCUUUUAAAAAUCUAACAGUUUGGAUUCCCCUCAAUAGUAGAAACGUGAAAUAAUAAAGUUGGAACAUUUUAUUUGUCUACUUGGAACAUUUUAUUUCACCGUGGGAACGUUCUUAAUUAGACUAGAACAUCGCAAAUAUGACAGAUUUCUGCUAGAAAAUCUAUAACCCCUUUGAUUUUUAUGAACAUUUUAUUUCUCUACCUAUAACAUUUAUUUCACUGCUGGAUUUUUUAGGUUGGAACUUUGCGAAUCUUACAGAUUUUUGCCAAAAAAAAAUCUAUUGACAGUUGUAUAUCAUUUCUCAAAUAUAUAUCAUAUAGAUAUAUAGAGAUACAUAUAAGUCUCUUCCUCGUAUAACUGACUUUCCGACAGCAAUGCGCAAAGCGUGCAAAGAAGCACGCAAACACACUUACACAGACUGACACACGUGCCCUAUAAGUACUUCCAGUCACUCGCCACUGGAUCGACCCAUGCCAAAGACAUGGCGCUUCCGGUGGUAUAUCUCUUACUCCUCCCUCUCCUGGCCAUCGUUCCACUCGUCUUCCUCAGCCGCGCUGUGUCGCGCCGGCGAGGCGGCGCCGGCGGCAGUGCCCGGCUGCCUCCGUCGCCGUGGGCGCUCCCGGUGAUUGGCCACCUGCACCACCUCGCGGGCGCGCUCCCGCACCGCACCAUGCGCGACCUCGCCGCGCGCCACGGGCCGCUCAUGCUGCUCCGCCUCGGCGAGGUCCGCGUCGUCGUCGCCUCCUCCGCCGACGCGGCGCGCGAGGUGAUGAGGACGCGCGACCUCGACUUCGCGACGCGCUCGAUGAGCCGGACGGUCCGGCUAGCGUUCCCCAGGGGCACCGAGGGCAUCAUCUUCGCCCCCUACGGCCACGGCUGGCGGCAGAUCCGCAAGCUGUGCACCGUCGAACUGCUCAGCGCCCGCCGCGUCCAGUCCUUCAGGUCGGUCCGCGAGGAGGAGGCCGCCCGCCUCCUCCGCGCCGUGGCGGCGGCGGCGGCGCCGCCGACGCCGGCGCGGGCGGUGAACCUGAGCGAGCUGAUAACGGUGUACGCCGCCGACUCGGCGGUCCGCACCAUCAUAGGGAGCUCGUUCAAGGACAGGGAUGCGUUCCUGAAGUUGCUGGAGCGCAUGGUGAAGAUGGUCGCCAAGAUGAGCUUGCCGGACCUCUACCCGUCGUCUCGCCUCGCCAUGCUUGUCAGCCGAAUGCCGGGCCAGAUGAAGCGUCAGCGGCAGGAACUGGUGUCGUUCAUCGACAACAUCGUCCGGGAGCACGAGGAGAACAAAGCCGCUGACAACGACGGCGACAAGGAAGACUUGCUCGACGUGCUCCUGAGGAUUCAGAGGGAGGGUGAUCUCCAGGUCCCCAUCACGACUGACAACAUCAAAUCAGUGGUCGGAGUAAGCAGUACUAUAUACACGCCUGAAUCAAAAAGAGUAGCUACUAUCACCAAUGUGUUUUCCAUUAUGUACUUUACUGUACUGAUGAUGAUAAUCUGAUUAUUUGUUGCAAAGGACAUGCUCGGCACGGGCAGCGAUACGGUCGCGACAGUCCUUCAAUGGAUCAUGGCUGAGCUUAUGAGGAAUCCGAGAGUGAUGCAAAAGGUACAAGAUGAGGUCCGGUGUAUACUCGCCGGGCGCCACCAAGUAACCGAGGACAACCUACGCAAUCUGCACUAUAUGAACCUAGUCAUCAAGGAGACCCUUCGGCUACAUCCACCGGCACCCCUACUAUUUCCACGCGAUUGUAGGAGUUCAUGCCAAGUAUUAGGGUUCAGUGUGCCGAAAGACGCCAUGGUUCUCGUGAACGCGUGGGCUAUUAGUAGAGACCCCAAAUACUGGGACAUGCCCGAGGAAUUCGUUCCGGAGAGAUUUGAAGAUUCCAAGAUUGAUUUUAAGGGAACGGAUUUUGAGUACACGCCGUUUGGGGCAGGGCGUCGGAUGUGCCCGGGCAUAGCGUUCGCGUUUGUGAACAUGGAGCUCAUACUGGCUAGCCUCUUAUACCAUUUUGAUUGGGAGCUGCCGUGUGGAAUGGAGGCAGCAGAUCUGGAUAUGACGGAGGAAUUGGGAGUCACGGUUCGACGGCUCCAGGACCUCCAGCUUGUUCCUGUUGUCCGGGCGCCCUUACCAGUGGAGUAGUAGCAGUAGUACAAUGCUUUGCAUUUCUAUCUUCACUGGUGGAAAAUUGGGCUUUAGUUCCGGUUGGAGAGACGCAAAGAUAUCAAAAAUCCAACCGAGACUAAUUAUUCGGGACUAAAGGUCACAUCUUUAGUCCCAGGUCAUUCACCCGAAACUAAAGCCUACCUUUUGUCAUGCCUUGUCAUGCCUACUCGCGCCGCCGCUCCUAUAGCUCCGCCUCGACCACCACCACAUCGAGCUCCAACUCCACGGAGAAAAUCAAAUUCACAUAUGACCAUCACACAAGGAAGAACACAGAACCAAUCAGUUCUUAGAAGACCUGAUUCACAACACAUGAGUUUGAUUUGACUUAAGGAUCCACACAAUACAUGAGUUCGAAUUGAUUCACAACACGCAGAGGAUUCAUCAGCACAAUCACAAACGAAUCCUUCACCAACAAAUCAUGCACUACUGAUCACUCAUGAACAAACAUGCUGGGUCGCCUGCGCUGUGCCGGGCAUGCCGGCCGCCCUCACUGCCGAGUUUAAAGAUACCCCCGAGCUGCCCUGGCCGCUCCCGUCGCUAGGGCCGAAACUGGCUUCCCCCGCUGGGCUGCUGUGCCCCGCCGCAGGGUCGCCGCUCUCCUGCUGCUCGGUCGAGUGCCGCAGGGAGCUGUGCCCCUGCUGGUCGGACCGCACGCCGCGGGGAGCCGCGCACCCACUGGAGGUCGGGCCGCGCCAGCCACGUCGGCUGACAGGCCCCCACAGGAGGCCGUUGCGCUCCUGCCACUAGGUGACGCGCUGCGGGGAGCCGCGCCCACGCUGGUCGGACCGCACACCGCGGGGGGCUACGCCCUCACUGGAGGCCGGGCCGCGCCGGUCGCUGGGCCCCACAGGAAGCCGCGCGUCGCUCCUGCCACCCCUAGCAGGCCGGCCAUGCCCUACUGCUCUGCUUGGAAGAAAGGAGGAGGAGGAGAGAAGAUAAGGAAGAAAGGGAGAAAGGCUACUUCUAGGGCACAUACACCCGACUUGGGAACUCCUGGGAUCUGAAGAGUUGCAAGCAGAAGUCGGGCAAAACCCUCCGGGAUUACAUCCGACGAUUCUCAAGGCAAUGUAACAAGCUCCCCAACAUAGCCGACGCAGACGUAGUCGAGGCUUUCAUCUCCGGCACGACUUGCCAAUCCCUGGUGCACAAGCUCGGAUGCUCGAAGCCAUGAACCACCAAGGAGCUGCUGGAUAUCGCCACCAACCAUGCCUCAGGGGAGGAAGCUGUGCACGUGGUGUUCGAGUGCAGCAAAGGGAAGGCAAAGAGGGAGGAAGAUGAGGCCACAACCUCCCAUGGGCGCAUGAAGAAAAUGAAGAACAAGCCACAAUGGGAAAGCGAGCUUGUCGCGGUGGCAGAACGAUCGGAGAAGAAGGGUAGGAAGCCCCCAACCGACUACUUUGAGAAGAUGCUCGAGUGACCAUGCCCCAACCACGUGUUCCCAGCCAAACACCUCUACAAGGACUGCUCCCUCAUGAAGAAGUACCUGCAGGGAAACCUCAAGCUGGCAGACUCGAAGAAGAAGAAAGCUGAGGCCCCCACCCUGACAGACGGGGGGGAGGGGGAUGACUUCCCUGAGCCGGACAGGUGCCUCAUGAUAUUCGGAGGCCCAGACACCUAUGAGUCGAAGUGGCGGCAGAAGAUGUCCCAUCGGGAGGUGAACACCGUCGAAUCAGUGGUCCCAACGUACCUGAAGUGCUCAGAGUCCGCAAUCACCUUUGAUAGGUCGGACCAUCCCGAUCUCGUAUGAUGCCCAGGAAGGUUCCCACUGGUGGUAAACCCAAUCAUCGAGCCCAAGAGUCUCUCCAAUGUACUAAUGGAUGGUGGAAACGGCCUCAACAUCCUCUAUGUCGACACCCUUGAUUUGAUGAAGAUCAGUCGUGAGAGCAUCCGGCCGACUGGGGCGCCCUUCCAUGGUGUGAUCCCCGAGAGGCACGCCGUCCCACUCGGGCAGAUUGACUUGCCUAUGAUGUUUGGAGACCGGAUGAACUUCCAAACCGAAACUCUCACGUUCGAGGGGGUAGACUUCAGGGGCUUCUACCAUGCCAUCCUUGGGAGGCUGUGCUACGCAAAUUCAUGGCCAUCCCCAACUACGUUUACCUCAAGUUGAAGAUGUCCGGGUUGAAGGGCGUCAUCACCGUCGGGCCAAGCUUCGCACACGCACAACAGUGCGACCAAGAUAGCUUCCAACUCGCCUCCAAGAUCGUCGCGAAAGCAGAACUAGCGGAGAUCAAGAAAAACCUCAUCCCGACUGUGUUGGCUUUCCAAUAGGCCAAGGAGACCAAGAAAGUUGAGAUCGACAGCAACAACCCAACCAAGAAGGCACACAUCGGGUUGACCCUCUCCGGCAAAUAGGAAGAUGCGCUCGUCGACUUCCUAUGCUGCAAUCGGGAUGUCUUCGCGUGACAACCAUCCGACAUGCCAGGAAUUCUGAUGGAAGUCGCCGAGCACCACCUCCGCAUAAAGUCGAACACGAAGCCGACCAAGCAGCGCCUGCGGCGCUUCAACGAGGAAAGGCGAAAGGCAAUCGGUGAGGAGAUCGUGAAGCUGUGGGCGGCAGGCUUCAUCAUGAAAGUGUACUAUCUGGAUUGGCUCGCCAAUCCUGUGCUUGUAAUAAAGAAGAAUAGGAAAUGGAGGAUGUGUGUUGACUAUACUAGCCUGAAGAAGGCUUGUCCCAAAGAUCCCUUCCUGUUACCACGAAUCGACCAAGUGAUCGAUUCAACCGCAGGAUGCGUAUUCUUGUGUUUUCUCGACGCCUACUCCGGCUACCACCAAAUAUCAAUGUAUGAGCCCGACCAGCUCACCACAUCGUUCAUCACACCAUUCGGCUCAUACUGCUAUGUAACAAUGCUAAUCGGACUUAAAAAUGUGGUCGCAACCUACCAGCGAUGCAUGUAACAAUGCUUUCGAGAUCAGAUAGGGAAAAAUCUGGAGGCAUACGUCGAUGACAUCAUGGUAAAAUCAAAAAGGGCAUGCGACCUUGAAGCCACCUUUGCUAAUCUAUGAAAGAAUAGCAUUAAGCUGAACCUCGAAAAAUGUGUGCUCGAAGUCCCAAAGGGGAAGCUCCUUGGUUUCAUGGUUUCCAAACGCGGCAUAGAGGUCAACAUGGAAAAGAUCUCCACGAUCCAGAACAUGGGUCCGAUCACUAGCAUUAAAGGAGUGCAGAGGCUCACAGGUUGCCUUGCCUACCUAAGCAGGUUCAUCUCACGGCUAGGAGAACGUAGCAUGCCGCUAUACAAGUUGCUCAAGAAGUCCAACCAGCUCUGUUGGACCAAAGAAGCCCAGGCAGCCCCUGACAAGAUAAAGGCCUUCCUAACCAUGCCGCUGGUGCUGGUCUCCCCGAUGGCAGGUGAACCCAUCCUGUUGUACAUCACCGUGAUGAUGCAAGUCGUAAGCGUCGAGUUGGUAGUGGAACAGGAGGAGCCCGACCACACGCUAGCCGUGCAGUGCCUGGUCUAUUUCGUCAGUGAUGUCUUCUCCGACUCCAAAACCUAAUAUCCACAGAUCCAGAAGCUCUUGUAUGCCGUGCUCAUAGCGAAAUGGAAAUUGUGACACUACUUCAAAUCCCACCCGAUAUCGGUAGUGUCCAGCAUGCCCCUCAGCGAGUUCGUGCACAAUUAGGAUGUGACUAGGUGAAUUGCGAAAUGGGUGAUCAAACUCAUGGGAUGCGAAAUCUCGUACAUUUCUCGAACCGCAAUCAAGUCACAAGUCCUGGCCGACUUUGUCACCGAAUGGAUCGAGGUUCAGAUCCCGACUGAUCCCCGGGUGCACAAGUGCUAGACCAUGUACUUCAAUGGGUCGGUCUUGAAGGAGGGUGUGGGGGCGGGAGUGGUUCUAAUCUCACUGCACAGAAACAUGCUCUGAUACACGGUCAGACUACAUUUCAAAGCCUCAAAGAACAUCACGAAAUACGAGGGGCUAGUCAACGGACUACGAAUCGCCUCCGGGCUAAGUGUGCAACAACUCUACAUACUAGGCGAUUCCAAGUUAGUCGUUGAUCAAGUCAUGAAAGACCUGCCUGCCAGAACCCAAAGAUGGAGGCCUACUGCCAGGAGGUCAGAAAAUUGGAGGACAAAUUUGAGGGGCUCGAGCUCCACCACAUCCUCCAAAAAGAUAAUCAGGAAGCGGAUGACCUGGCUAAAUUCACGUCAAGCAGAGGACUCGCCCCUGAUGGCAUUUUUGUCAACGACCUCCACGAACCAUCCUUCCGACUCAAACCAGUGGAUGAAGCUUGCCGAGGCCCUGGAGGACAAGAUGCGAGAGCUCGCCACACCCUCAGCUAACAAUGAUAGCUGACCCACCAUGACCGAAGCCAUGCUCAUAGCAGGAGAAGCUAAGCCUGGGGAGCCCGACUGUAGAACCCCUUUUCUCGACUACCUAUUAUAGGAUUUACUCCCUUCCAACAAAACGGAAGCGAGACGCCUCUCCCAACGAGCAAAGACCUUCGUGGUAAUCGGGGACGAACUCUACAAGUGAAGCCUGAGCGGAUCCGCAUGCUUUGCAUCCCCCGCGCACAGGGCAGGUAGAUCCUUCAUGACACCCACACCGGGGUUUGCGGACACCACGCAACCCCAAGAACACUCAUGGGCAAAGCCUUUCGACAAGGCUUCUACUGGCCGACCGCUGUGGCCGACGCCAAACACCUAGUGCAUACGUGCUAGGGAUGCCAGUUCUAUGCAAGACAAACACAUCUCCCAGCACAAGAGCUACAGACGAUCCCCAUCACGUGUCCCUUCGCGGUCUAGGGGCUUGACAUGAUAGGACCCCUCAAGAAAGCGCCUAGGGGCUACGACCACCUUUUGGUCGCGGUCGACAAAUUCACCAAAUGGGUAGAAGCUAAGCCAAUAACGUCACUCAAGUUGGAGCAAGCAGUCGAGUUCAUGUUGGAUAUCGUCCAUCAUUUCGAGGUACCCAACUGCAUCAUCACCAACAACGGCAGCAACUUCACCAGGAAAAUGUUCCUGGAGUUUUGUGAUAGUUAUGGCAUUCGAAUCGACUGGGUGUCCGUAGCCCACCCGCGAACCAAUGGCCAAGUAGAGCGGUCCAAUGGCAUGAUCCUACAAGGCCUCAAGCCUCAUAUCUACGACAAACUCAAGAAAUUCGUUGGGUGAUGGGUGGCCGAGCUCCCCUCUGUGCUCUGAAGUUUGAGAACGAUGCCCAAUAGGUCGACGGGCUUCACUCCCUUCUUCAUGACCUAUGGUGCCGAGGCAGUGCUCUUGACUAAGCUAGAUUACGGCUUGCCAAGGGUCCAUGCAAUCGGAGCAAGCAUGGCAAGAUGACAUCGACAUGCUAGACGAAGCCCAAGACGUCGCCCUAAUCUGGUCAGCAAAAUACCAAUAAAACCUGCGACGAUACCACAACAGAUGCAUCAAAGCACGCUCCUUCAACGUCGGCGACCUCAUCCUCUGAAGGGUGUAAUCCUCUAAGAACAAGCACAAACUAUCGCCGCCUUGGGAAGGGCCGUUCGUCAUCGCGGAGGUGCUAUGGCCAAGUGCGUAUCGUCUCAAAGAUGCCGCAGGCAACAUCAUCAUCAACUCAUGGAACAUAGAGAAGCUAUGUCGUUUUCCCCGUAAAAGUGUACCUGACUUAAAGCAAGUCGUAUGAUAUGAAUAAAAGCACAUGUCAUGUCUCGACUGAGCAACCCGUGCCCAUCCACAAGUCGAUCCGCACGGGUCGCUCGGGGGCUAACCAACUUGUAAUAACUCAACCCGUUUGAAGCUUAUCACUAAACCUGGACUCGUUCUCAAGAUCGAUAAGACUAAACAGCCAAACAGCCAAAAACCACAAAUGGGACGACCCAGGUUUUCAAGGGCUGCAGCAAAAAAAGUCUUACCAACUCGAAAAGGGUAGAAACCGGAAGUACGACAGAUAAACAAAAACUACAAAAUGGGUUCACCAUACGAAGUUCACGAAAGAAGAACACACAUAAAUUGUUCAUACAGCCCACACGCAGGAAAUAACCAAACAAUAGUAGCGGCACAACUAAUUCUUUUUCACCUCCUUCCCGAGCUCGAGCUCUGGCGGGAUCCUCUCAGUCAAGGCCUGGGUGCAGGGGGUCACCUCCGACUCAAUACUCAGCAGCUCGACUUCCAGAAUAGGAGCAAACCCACCCACCAGGGCAGCCAGGUCUAGCUUGCCGUAAUAGGAAGCAGCCAUAGAGAGGGUUGUAUGAGCCCCAAGGAAGUACGCGGAGUGGAUCGCCGAUUGAACACGGUCGGGAAGACUUGAGAGGUGGCCCAGAGUGUUGCUACUUCUGCUCGGGGGCUGAAGUGCCUCGCACGCUACCAUGGCAAUGUUGUGGAACUGCUCCAACUCCCCGGUCACUACCGUAAGAUCCUCACGCGCCCGAUCUCUAUCCGCCUGUAACGUUGCCACCACCAUCUGAGAAUCUGUAGGAGAAAACAAAACACUCAGGACAAGGAUCAAUAGGGGACCCACCGUGGAGCAGCAAAGUACAAGCUACCCAUGAUAAUCUGCGGCAAUCCUAUGUUGAAGAUCCUGGUCCAAGUGCUCCUUAGCCCUUUCCACCGACACUCGGUUGGCCCGCUCGUCGUCACGCGCCUCCUCCAACACCUUCACGUGUUGCUCCAGGUGACUGCACCGGUCCUCCGCCAUGUGAGCCCUCUCCCCCGCCGCAACAACUAGCUCUGCGUAGAAGGAGAAAAACAAGGAUAAUGAGGAGAAGGCUGAGCGUGACAAGACCGACCAACCGUAAGUAAAAAGGAUAACUAACCUUGGGUGUGCUCAGCCUCAGCUAAGGUGGCGUCCCUCGCCGAUUGAAGGUUCUGGGCCUCCGACAACACCUCAUCAUGAGCCGACUGCGCCUGGAGUAGUGACGCCUACCAAUCCACGGCAACCUUCUUUGUGGUCUCCACCAGGUCGGACAUCCGCGACUCCGUGCUAGACAUGUCCUCCCAGAGUUGCCGGUUCUAGACGGACAAGCGCUCGAGCUCCUCCCACGCCGUGGCAAGCUGGGUUUCGACCUACUCGCGACGGCGACGCUCGUCCCCCGCAGCCCCCGAAGGAAGGACCAUGCAGUGGAGGAAGUCGGACUUGUCUUGAGAAUGGGAGAAUAUCCACUGAAAAGAAAACAAAGCUAAGAGAGCAACGCCAACAAGAAGCUGCCGAACAACACAAGAAAGAGGUUACCUCCUCGCGUGGAAGUAGAUCGCUCCACAAAAGGCAAAGGAUGUUCUCCAACCCCAGAUCUACCCGAGACGCGACGUGUCUCGAUUGCUCCCACUCCUGGUGCUCUGCCUCAUCGUCUAGCCGGAACACUUCCCUGUCUGGGAAUUGGCGGUCAGCCCACACGAGCGGCAUCGCAGUCGGACGGGCCGACGAUGAGCCAUUGCCGACUGCCGUCACAAUAGGGCCCAACCACGACGCCACCAAAGAUGGCUGAGCAUCCCUCGAACCAACUUCCAUCGCGGCCCAUCUCAUGGAUGGCGCCUCCUAACAAGCAAUGACAGGAGAGAAGGCAACUGCCAGCGGGAUGGUUGCGGCCAGGGAGGAAGACGUCCCGUCUGCGACACGAAGCAACGGAGAAAGUGGGAAGUCAAUAGCUUCGAUCACCAAUGGAGGAGACAGCGGCGUCUCUACGGUCGCCGAGCCCUCCAUGGGAGGAGUAGCCAGACCCCCCUCGAGCAACGGGAUCCGACGGCUCAAGGAGGCAACGCCAACGAUAGCAACGUCCAAGGAGUCCUCACUCGCCGUGACCUCAGGCUAAGGACCCGACGGCAUCACCACCUGCACCGACUGAACCAUGGCAGGGUCACCUUGUGGGACGGAGCCGUGACUACACCAGAAACUGCCGCACCCGAAGGCGCGACGGACAUGGACGGAGCUUGCGAGGAAGCAGGAGGCACAGUCGGGGUGUCGGCCGCACCCCUCUUGGAUAGUGGCUGGGCGGGACCCCUUUCAUACGCAAAACAAGAACCUGUGGCGCAAAGCUCAAAAUCCCAAUAACAACCAAGAAAAUGAGAACAGGAACAAACUUGGGCCAGAAUACACGUGGGACUCCGAGAGCUCCAGUCGGAGCAGAAUCAGGACCUUCAGGAGGAGGAGCAGUGCUAAAAGCAACACCCGCCGACGGACCCUCCACACGCGCACGCUUAGAGGCGUCAUAGUCAAUCACGAUCCCCAGCUCGUGCUUUCGAGCCGAGGCAAGGAAGCGCAGCCUGACCAGUCGGGAGCGCCAUUUUCCAUGCCCAAAAGGAUGGGACAACCACUUCAGGACAAAGGUCUCCAGUCAGGAGCAGCGCUACAAUGUUGUUCCGUACCAUACUCGGUCGUGCCUGCCCGGUCUCCGCCCGCCAUCAUAACGGUUCCAGGUGAUGUGACCGGAGGCAGGCGCUGCCUUCGGAUAUGCAUAGGGGCCGGGUUCGGUGACCGAGGCAACCGAACGGAUAGGCCCCGAAUGAAGGUUUCAACGGGAAUCGAGUGGAAAGGAAUCCGAUUGAGGGGUGGGACUCACAACAACUAGCCGGAGGGGGACGCCCGACUGAAUGAGAAAACACGACAGUGCCUCCCCAUGAGCCGUGUAUAUAAGGACGUGGGGGGGAGGGGACGAGAGAGGGGAUUCGACUCUAAGUAGAACACACACAUACAUACUGUUUGUAACCCUCUAGUACAGACUUGAGCUCCUGAGCCUAGGAAUAAAGACUCUGCAUCUUGAACUAGAUGUAGGGCAAGUUGCGUGCACCAGUAUAAACCUCCCGUGUCUCGUUAGCUAACCCAUCCGAGGAUUUAUAGGGCAAAUCUUCACUGGUUGGCGUUACUAAACGUCAACACCGCUCGUGCCAAAUAUCGAGAUGCUACUACAACCAAAUCCUAAGGCGCUGGCGUAUAAAGGGGAUAGCCCAAGUACACGAGCAGCGUAUACCUGAGUAGAUAACUUGCAAAUGAGAAGGAGAUUAUUUUUUUUUCAAAAGACAAAUCAUACCCACAUAACCACAAGGUUCAGCUAACUGGUGCAGCAGCAGGUUUGGUAAAACAUGUUGUUCCCAUGUUACAGUACAUCACAAUCUAUCUGUCUGUAUUUCUUAUGUUUUUUGCUCGGCAUGCAGCAGCAGUAGCUUGGUAGGUUUAAUUUAUUCCUGGCAAAUUCAUUUCAACUACUUAGUUAAUUGAUUCAUGCACUGUUUUUUUCUUGUUCCCUGUAGUAGCAUAGCAAUUGCAGUUUGCCUCGUGCGGUUUAAUUCAGAGUUGCAGAUCAGUGAGAAUACACUUCUACGAAUAGUCAUUUUCGUAUUAGUAUGGCAAUUGCAGUUUAAAUUGUGCAGUUCAAUUCAAUUCAGAGUUCUAGCUCAGUGAGAAUUCACUUCCUGUGAAGGGUCAUUUCCUUACCACAGUGGGCAAUCAUCAUUGCUUGUCUGGUGGCUCCUGUUCUUUUGUUUACUCUUUCAAGCUAGCCCGGUCGGAAGGUAAAACAGCAUCUAGCCCGGUCGGAAGGUAAAACAGCAUCAGUUUGGUCCCUAUUUAAUUAGUUGCAAUAGUGUUUUGUGUACUGUUAUCUAGUGCUAGGUAUGGGAUUUUUUUAAAUAUAAGGCUGGGGUUUGGUUGUGUAGGAUUCCUGUCACAUCGAAUGUUUAGAUACUAAUUAAGAGUAUUAAACAUAGACUAAUUAUAAAACCAAUUGCAUAGGUGGAGGCUAAUUUGCGAGACGAAUCUAUUAAGCCUAAUUAGUCCAUGAUUUGAUAAUGUGAUGCUACAGUAAACAUGUGCUAAUCAUGAAUUAAUUAGGCUUAAUAAUUCAUCUCGCGAAUUAGCCUCCAUCUGUGUAAUUAGUUUUAUAAUUAACUCAUAUUUAAUCCUCCUAUUAGCUUUCGAAGAUUCGAUAUGACAUGAACUCGACUUUAGCUUAAGGAUCCAAACACCCCCUAACUUUAGUUCACUAGCUAGCUGAUCAGUAGUUCAAGUAAGCUCUCAAUCCUAUCCAUAUGCUUUAUUUUAUUGCGGGUAUAUAUCCAUAUGCUUAUUGAUUAGCACUUUGCUUGACCUUCUUGUUGCAAGUUACUCUCUUCGUUCCAAAUUGUAGAUCGUUUUGACUUUUCUAGAUUCAUAGCCUCCGUUCCAAAAAUCAGAAUUCAAAAUUUCCACUAACACCCAGCCAGGUCAGUCUUCUCUCUUUAGGGUCACUUUGGUACCGUGGCUUCUCCAAAAGCUACACCACAGUUAAAAGUAGAUUUUGGCUAAUCUCAGCACCCUCACUCUCACUUGUGCUUUCACCUGCGGUGAUUUUCAACUUUUCACAAAAAUUAUCCGCCAGGCAUUGGUUAAAAUGUGUACCGGUUAGUUUUUUUUCUUUCUUUCCUAAUCUUCCCGUCGUGCAGGACCUCGUGAACUCUUCCAUGACCGGCGGCGCCCCUCCCCGGUCUCCUCCUCUCCCUACGGCACCCCUCCCCACUCCGGCCCCCUCCUCUAUUCUUGGCGGCGCCCCUCCCCGGUCCCCUCCUCCUCUCUCCCGGCGACGAGGCUAAAAACGGCCGUGGAAACUCGAUGCACGCAUGAAACUGAAGGAGAGAUGAGCAUUUGUGGGUCUUGGAGGUUCGAUUUUUAUACCUAGAUGGAGUAGGAGACAGCCGGAGGUAGGAGUUCGGACGACUGGCGGCAAUGGAGGUCGCGAGAUCCGUGAUUCCCAUCGAGGUUGAGCUCGGCUGUGCCUAGGGCUUGGUCUUGGAUGGAGAUGGGAAAGUUGUGGUGCCGUGGGUGAGAGGAAUCGGCCGGAGGUGGGGUGUGGCCUGUGAAUUUUGCCGGGGUGCGGGAGCUGCUCUAUCUGCUCUGUUUUGGGCGGGGAAGAAGAAAGGAAGAGAGAGGGAGAAGGGGAGGAGGCCGGUUGGCCACGGAGGGGGCUCGGCCAGGUAGGAGUUGGGUGCGAAGCGGAGGCAGCUUGGCCAGGCGGCGGUUCGGUGCGGAGCGACCAUGGCCGGCGUCGCAUGGACGCGGCACAGGGCUGGGCGGCGGCUCGACCAGGGUUUGGACAGGGAUGGCCCGGCGGUGUAGGAGCCUCCCACUAUCCACGCUCGACCUCCUUGUGUUCAAGGAUUCAACCUUUGCGAUUUCGAUAUACGGACUGAUUAAGGGGGUGUUUGGAUACGAGUUGCUAAACUUUAGGAGGGUCACAUUAGAUGUUCAUACGCUAAUUAGGAAGACUAAAUAUGAGCUAAUUAUAAAACUAACUGCAAACCCCUAUACUAAUUCGCGAGAUGAAUCUAUUAAGCCUAAUUAAUCCAUCAUUAGCAAAUGGUUACUGUAGCACCACAUUGUCAAAACAUGGACUAAUUAGGCUUAAGAGAUUCGUCUCGUGAAUUAGACUACAUCCGUGCAAUUAGUUUUGUAAUUAGACCGUAUUUAAUACUCCUAAUUAGUAUCCAAACAUCCGAUGUGACAGGUAGGGGGUGUUUCUUGGUUUUGAGGUGCAAUUAUUACGGUUGCCAAUUUUCAUGUUCGUGCAUGGUUCAUGUUCGUGCAUGGUUCGAUGGACGAGCAAAGUCCAUUAAGGGGGUGUUUGGCUGCCACAUGCUAAACUUUAGCACCCAUCACAUCGGAUAUUUGGAUACUAAUUAGGAGUAUUAAACAUAGUCUAAUUAUAAAACUAAUUACACAGAUAGAGUCUAAUUUGUGAGACGAAUCUAUUAAGCCUAAUUAUUCCAUGAGUUGAUAAUGUGGUGCUACAGUAACCAUUUGCUAAUGGUGGAUUAAUUAGGCUUAAUAGAUUCGUCUCGCAAAUUAGCCUAGGGAUUUUGCAAUUAGUUUUAUAAUUAGCUCAUGUUUAGUCCUUCUAAUUAACAUCCAAACAUCCGAUGUGACCCUGCUAAAGUUUAGCACCUCACAUCUAAACACCCCCUGACUAGUGAUACUGAAGGCUUAUUGUUGAUGGUGUUGCGAGCGGGGCGUGGGACAUUACAUACAAAUUAGUGAACUAACACUGUGUUUUACAAUAAGUUUGUAUCGAGAAAAGCUAGACGUCGCUCGAGUAUUUCUCAGGAUGCCAUCACUUGAUUUUUAGGUCGUACAUUCCUUUAACCUCUGUGAUGCGUCAGCGCUUCGAUCUGAAUAUAUGAUGCGGAUUGCGGUGUUUUUAUUUUUCUUUUUUGUUUUCUUUUUCUUUUAUAUCUGAAUCUGAGGCCUGUUAGGCUAAUCCCAGUGGAAGUUUCAUAGAGGUUUCAUGCACAUUAAAUACGGUGACACAUCAGCAUAUGUGAUGACAUGGCAUGAUAGUUAUGGAGUGAGAGAGGGAAGGAGUUUCAUCAGGAUGAAACUGUGUAUACACUGUUUCCAAGACUAUGAAACCUAUUGAAACUUGCAUUGGGGGCUAUAGAGUUUCAUUUCAUCUAACCAUAUCCAAUCACAUGCCUCACAAUUAAAUGUCAUGGGCAUCCUAUGAAAUCGUGAAAUGAAACUGUGCACUGGGACUUCCUGUUUCAUUCAUGAGAAUACACCUCAUGGGAUGAUGUGGCAUCCUUGGAAACAGUACAAUGAAACCUUGCACUGGGACUAGCCUUAUUCAUUCUCUAAUAAUUCACACCACGGGAGUCUGUACCUCCAUCUCUUCAUCUUCCUGGUUGAGUUCUCCAGGUAGGCGAUUGCUAGGGUUGGGCGAUUUCGAUCUUCUUUGAUUUUCCUCCUCAGAUUCUUUGCGAUUUGAAUCCAGUAGUGAGAUAAGGUUUGUAGGUGUUGGUGAAUCAUUUGUGGGGUUGUUGUGGUUGAUGAUUUCGAUCCCCAUCUCGAAAUGCUUAGUUCUUCGCUUGAUUUGAUUGUUCCAUGUCUCGUUUUUAGCUAUGUUCCUCCUUUUGAUUUGAGUUCCGUUGAUGAGAUAAGGAUUUGUGGGCUGUUCUCUCUUCCAAUGGGUGAUUUCUCUGCCCGUUUGUUGCGCUUUGGUGGUGAAUAAGUUGGUACGGAAUCUGUCUUAAUCUGGUCUGUUCUAUUGGGAUCCUUACCUUUCAAUUUGUCAGGUCUUAUACAUAUCUUUAUUCCCUUGUUUAGUAGUUGGAUUGUUCGACUAGGGUUUCAUUUUCCUCUUUUAUUUUAAAAAUCUACAUCAUCCAUUUUCGAAUGGUAUGGUUCAUGUGGAGUGAUGCGUGGUGAUUUUGUAGGAGUUCGAGAUUUUUGUUUUGUUGUUCAUUCAUAUCUGUUUUGCAAGGUGGUUUGGUUUUUUUUAUUGGACGCCUAUUGUAAUCCAUAUUGUGGGGAAUGGAAAUGCAAUUUUUACAACUAGAUGUUGAUUGCAAAUGUAGCCUGCUGCCCCGUUUUAUAUCUGACAUUCUUUGUUUUUGCAUUUGUUGAAAGUUCUAUAUAGCACUGAAAUUUUUGAAUCUCUAAAACAGGCUACCUGAAACCAUUUUUUCCACUAUUCUCACUUGACAUUUUAGAGAUUAGUUUGUUGUAGGCUAUAUAUUAAUGCUAUGUGUGACGACCGUGGUCAAAUCAUCCGAGUUGAUCUUGAUCCGAGUCCCUAAUCCCACUGACUCAGCUCCCCUGAGCUUAAGUGCUCAACCUCCAGUUCCGGUCCCGACCCCUGAGAACUCGACCCAUCCCGUCGGUCCCUUCUGAGUUCCCCAAGGCAGUGCCCCUUUUCAAUCUUGGAGCUGGGUAACAACGGAGACUAACCGUGGACCCGCAAAUCUUUUCCCCGGAUCUCCCGAUGCAGACGCACUCGAGUAGCAUGCCUGCUUCAGAGCUCCUCCGCCGCGUGGCUCAACUCCUCCGACCCCCGCCGCUCCGCCCAGUCGCCGGUCGCGACCGGAUGGAUUCCCGCGCCCUCCUCCCCAAUCGCAGUGGAAGCCCCUCUGCAACCCUUUCUGCAGCGUCUCGUCUCGCUCGCGCCCUCGCCGGCCGCGCCUUGGUGCUCCGACGCCGCUGUGGCAGAGCUUGCCGCCUGCUGCGUCCAAACUGCCUCACUGCUCGCGCCCAUCAUCACCUCACCGGAUCUCCUGCUGCAAGGCCCGAUGCCUUCUGGCUUUUCCGGCGCCUCUCCACAGUCGCGCCACUCCGGACUCACUACGCGACGAUUCCUCCAUCGCCAACCCCGACUUUGGCCAUGACAGUUCUUUUCCGCCUUGCCAGAACUGUGCCCGGCAAACCGCUGCUUCGCGCUCGCCCGCGCAGCCGUAGCCCGCCUGUCUUAUCACCUGUGCAACCUCGCUUAUAGCGCCGUUCCCCCUGUCACACCCAUCAGAUCUGCCACACGGCGACGCCCGCCUCCGCCAAACCUCAACCACCGACAAAACCGCGCCUGCGCCGCCCUGUCUCCAGUGCCCAAUGGCCGAAGGCGUCAUCUCCGAAGUCCUGUUCCGCCGCCCAUCGCCGCUCAAUCGCCGCCAUGGCAGCGCACUCCAUCUUUUUCUUCCCGGUCUUCGUGCUGCUCCAACCCUCUCUCUCCCGCGCAGCUAUGAAAGGGAAUGCCCGAGUCCUACCGGAGAUUCCCUUCGCCGUCGUUGCCUUGCCGCCUUUUCCUCUGUUUCGUGCUUCAGCGCUGCCACCUAAGUUCUUGGGGAACUCCCAUCCCCGCUCAACACCCGCACCUCCCAAUCCACCCAGCUGCCUGCUCCUCCGCGCAGUGCUAGAGCUUCCUUGCUACUCACAAGAAGCUCCGCCGCCGCCGGAGCACCGCCGGACAUCGCCGCUACCCAAGUCUUAGUGCUUCAGUCCUUCCGCCCAAGUUUGCUCCUUCCCAAUCCCAAAACUUCACCUAUAAACUGAAGGUAAGCUGCCGACCCCCUUCUCGUCUCGCCCGACCCUGUCUGUUUCGCCCGACCCCUUUUUCCGUCUCGCCCGACCCUGUCUGUUUCGCCCGACCCCUUCUCCGUCUCGCCCGACCCUGUCUGUUUCGCCGAUCCUUUUCCGCCUCGCCCGAGGACUCGGCUGUAUCCUUUUCCUUGACCCGAGGGUAUAUGUGUAAAAAAAUCGGGGACUUCUCUGCGCUAAGUCUGAGGACCUCGAACACAGUUAUCUCCUAAAGUUUAGGGGUCAGAUCAUAAGUUUACCCCAUCCGACCCUUUGAUCUUGCUCUCCACCAACUAAAGUAAUCUCUCCCCACCUUUUCUGUAGCCUUGCUACUAGUGUCCGAGCUUUAACUGCAAGUGUUGUUGAAUUAACCAUCUAAAACACUAACUCCUGCAUUGCAUUCGUGUAGAGUUGUAUCUCGCUGACGGCGUCUACGAGCUGUACCCGGCGCCCG
rnacentral:lncRNA from 1 species